rnacentral:lncRNA from 1 species
CAUGCUUACCUGUUUAGCUUUCAAAGAGCCGUAUUAUUUUGUCUUCUCCUUUGUGUUUGCCUGCAGAUUCAGCUUAGUCCAAUGCGCUUAUUAUCGUUUUCAUCGCUCAAUCGUGCAAAUGAAAGGCAACAAUGAUGGUAUAUGAUGAAGUGACUGAGACUGAAAAGCUGGUAUGAACUCUAUCUAUUUUGUUUUUGUAAAUAUGACUAGCUUGUCGACCCAGAUUUAGCUUUGUUGUGAGAGAACCAUGUUUGCAAUGACAACUUAGAGAUCAUAGUUUCUGAUGCCAUGCUUAUUUAGCUCAGAGCUUAUAAUGGUUUGUCUUGAAUGCCAACAUAGAUUUUGAGAUGACUAUGAUGUAGUAUGAUAGGCUGGUAUUCUCCUUUGAAUUUUUCAAGUGGCUUGACUUGGCGCAUGUUCAUGCAUGUAGUUGAAACAAAAUCAACAUAACCUCUAUGAUGUUCGUGUUCAUGGUGAUUUAUAUCCUGUUCAUGCUUGCAUUCAAUGUUAGUCAAACUCAUUGCAUCUUGAUGACUGUUGUCGCUCUCUAGUUGGUCGCUUCCCAGUCUUUUGCUAGCCUUCACUUGUACUAAGCGGGAAUACUGCUUGUGCAUCCACUUCCAUCAACCCAAAAGUUUUUCCAUGAGAGUCCACCAUACCUACCUUGCCAUUCUCUAAACCUUCAAGAAAGAAAUCUGUUUUGCAUCCCCGAACCGCUCAUGUGGUGACAAAGGGCUAUUGGUAUCUUCCAUGCUAGGAGUGUUAUCCUCGACAUGUGUUUAUUCACAGUCAUUCACGAGAAAGGGGCCGGUAUUUGGGAUCCCAGUUCCAUGUUUAAAUCAAAAACAUAACUGUAAAACAAGACUCCCCUCGGAUUGAUGUUAGUAUGGACGGUACCCGAGGAUUCGGCUAGCCGUGGAGUGUGAUUGAUUGGUGGUGGGGGAGUUAAAACUUUACUUUUCUGUUUGGGAACCGCCUAUAGCAUGAGUAGCAUGGAAGAUAUUGAGAACUCUUGGUCAUUGCGUUGACAAUGAAAGCAUGCCACCCAAAAUUAUUAUCUCUGUUUUCAAAGCUUGACCUCUGGCACCUCUGCAAAUCAAUGCUUCCCUCUGCGAAGGGCAUGUCUAUUUAUUUUCCUGUUGAGUCAUCCUCCUCUUAUAUAAGCACCAAUUAGAGAGCACCUCUGUCAUUUUUAUGCUUUGCUUUUGAUUGAUAUUGAGUGUGACUAUGACUGGAUCUUCGUUGCUAUGAAUUACAAUGUUUAGUCAGCCCUUGAUCUUUGAAAGUGCUCUGCAUUUAUGUUUUGCGGUCUCAGAAAGAGCUAGCGAGAUACCACCUAUUCAUAUUGCUUCAUGCUUGUUUUGAUUGAAGUGUUGGUAUUUGAAACUCAUUAUUAUUUGCUCGUUAGCUGAUUAUGCCAUUGAUAUUAGUUUACCGUGAGACCUUUCUGUCAUUUGCUUAUGUGGUUAACUUGUGAUCUUGCUGAAAUUCUUGUUAUGAGUUAGAGAUAGUUGCCACAACAAGAUCAAACAAAGUUUGUCAAAGUUUUUAUUUCUCUCUCAUUCUGUCAACUGAGUUGCUUGAGGAUAAGCAAGGUUUUAAGCUUGGGGGAGUUGAUACGUCUCCAACGUAUCUACUUUUCCAAACUCUUUUGCCCUUGUUUUGGACUAUAAUUUGCAUGAUUUGAAUGGAACUAACCUGGACUGACACUGUUUUCAGCAGAAUUGCCUUGGUGUUAUUUUUGUGCAGAAAUCAAAGUUCUCCAAGCGUCCUGAAAAUUUACGGGGAGCAGUUUUGGAAAAUAUCAAAAAUACCUGCGCUAGAAUCCACCUGAGGGGGUGGGACAGUGGGCCACAAGCCCCUGCUCCGCCACCACCCCCCCUGGUGGCGGUGGUUAGGCUUGUGGGGCCCACAGGCACCUGCCGCCCCCAAUUCCAGCUCUAUAAGUUGUCUUUCGUCCCAGAAAAAAUAAAAAGAGAAGUUUUCGUCGCGUUUUCGAUACGGAGGCGCCACCACCACCUGUUCUUCAUCUGGAGGGCAGAUCUGGAUUCCGUCUUGGACUCCGGAGAGGGGAAAUCGUCGCCAUCGUCAUCAUCAACCUUCUUCCCUCUCCAAUUCCAUGAAGCUCUUCGUCGUUCGUGAGUAAUCUAUUCGUAGGCUCGCUGGACGGUGAUGAGUAGGAUGAGAUCUAUCAUGUAAUCGAGUUAGUUUUGAUGGGGAUUGAUCCCUAGUAUCCACUAUGUUCUGAGAUUUGAUGUUGCUACUACUUUGCCAUGCUUAAUGCUUGUCACUAGGGCCCAAGUGCCAUGAUUUCAGAUCUGAAAUUAUUAUGUUGCCACCAAUAUAUGUGUGUUUUAGAUCCGAUCUUCCAAGUUGUAGUUACCUACUAUGUGUUAUGAUCCGGCAACCCCGGAGUGACAAUAACCGGAACCACUCCCGGUGAUGACCAUAGUUUGAGGAGUUCAUGUGUUCACCAAGUGCUAAUGCGUUGGUCCGGUUCUUUAUUAAAAGGAGAACCUUAAUAUCCCGUAGUUUCCUUUUGGACCCCGCUGCCACGGGAGGGAUGGACAAUAGAUGUCAUGCAAGUUCUUUUCCCUAAGCACGUAUGACGACACACGGAAUGCAUGCCUACAUCACAUUGACGAACGGGAGCUAGCCACAUAUCUCUCCAUGUUAUAGUUGUUGCAUGAUGAAUAUCAUCCAAACAAAUCACCGACCCAAUGCCUACGAGUUUGUCCUACUAUUGCUACUGCCGUUACUUGUCUUGCUCUGCUGUUGCUACUGUUGUUACUUGUCUUGCUCUGCUUCUACUACUGUUGCUAUUGUUGUUACUGUUGUUACUUGUCUUGCUCUGCUGCAACUGUUGCUAUUACUGUCCCUUGCUACUUUUGCUACUUGCUACUGUUGUCACUACUGCUGUUCCUUGCCACUGCUAUUGCUCGUUACACUCCGAUACCCGCUACUUUGUUGCUACUACUUUGCUGUCACUAUNNNNNNNNNNNNNNNNNNNNNNNNNNNNNNNNNNNNNNNNNNNNNNNNNNNNNNNNNNNNNNNNNNNNNNNNNNNNNNNNNNNNNNNNNNNNNNNNNNNNNNNNNNNNNNNNNNNNNNNNNNNNNNNNNNNNNNNNNNNNNNNNNNNNNNNNNNNNNNNNNNNNNNNNNNNNNNNNNNNNNNNNNNNNNNNNNNNNNNNNNNNNNNNNNNNNNNNNNNNNNNNNNNNNNNNNNNNNNNNNNNNNNNNNNNNNNNNNNNNNNNNNNNNNNNNNNNNNNNNNNNNNNNNNNNNNNNNNNNNNNNNNNNNNNNNNNNNNNNNNNNNNNNNNNNNNNNNNNNNNNNNNNNNNNNNNNNNNNNNNNNNNNNNNNNNNNNNNNNNNNNNNNNNNNNNNNNNNNNNNNNNNNNNNGUCGAAUACUCUACCCUCAAAAACUGCUGCGAACCCACGCGCUGGUGGGCCAUCAACAACAUUCUUCCAGUUUCAUUGCCGGGGAGUGCUAGCAGCAUUCUUCUGGUGCCGUUGCAGGAGAAGGUUAGUUGUUAUAAGCAUUCGCCUAGCUAACACUAGAGAUUGCAGGAUCAACACUUUUCUGGAGCCAUUGCCAGGGAAGCACAGCUGACGUCAAUGAUCUACUCCGGCAGGGCUUCACCUAAGCUCUGCAGAAAUACGAUCUAGAGGAAAAACUGUGUGCUAUAGGGUCGAGCUGAACGUGGCAAAGUUGUGUCUCAAAAACCCUCAAUACCUCUAGUAUAUAUAGGAGGGAGGGAGGGGAGGAGGCAGCCUCAAACCCUCAAGGUUUGGCCGAAAUUGNNNNNNNNNNNNNNNNNNNNNNNNNNNNNNNNNNNNNNNNNNNNNNNNNNNNNNNNNNNNNNNNNNNNNNNNNNNNNNNNNNNNNNNNNNNNNNNNNNNNNNNNNNNNNNNNNNNNNNNNNNNNNNNNNNNNNNNNNNNNNNNNNNNNNNNNNNNNNNNNNNNNNNNNNNNNNNNNNNNNNNNNNNNNNNNNNNNNNNNNNNNNNNNNNNNNNNNNNNNNNNNNNNNNNNNNNNNNNNNNNNNNNNNNNNNNNNNNNNNNNNNNNNNNNNNNNNNNNNNNNNNNNNNNNNNNNNNNNNNNNNNNNNNNNNNNNNNNNNNNNNNNNNNNNNNNNNNNNNNNNNNNNNNNNNNNNNNNNNNNNNNNNNNNNNNNNNNNNNNNNNNNNNNNNNNNNNNNNNNNNNNNNNNNNNNNNNNNNNNNNNNNNNNNNNNNNNNNNNNNNUUUUUUCCUUCUCAAACCGUAUGGGCCUUAGUGGGAACUUAUUCCAUCCCACUAGGGGCUGGUUUAUCUCUUCCCAUAGCCCUUGAGACCCCUUGGGGCGUGACACCCCUCCCGAUGGUCCCCGACACCCCUCCCGGCACUCCCGGUACACUACCGAUGAGCCCGAAACUUUUCCGGUGACCAAAACGGGACUUCCUUUAUAUCAAUCUUUACCUACGGACCAUUCCGGAGCUCCUCGUAACGUCCUGGAUCUCACCUGGGACUCCGAACAACUUUUGGUUACCAACACCUAUAACUCAACUAUACCGAAACGUCACCGAACCUUAAGUGUGCAGACCCUGCGGGUUCGAGAACUAUGUAGACAUGACCCGAGACACUCCUCAGUCAAUAUCCUAUAGCGGGACCUGGAUGCCCAUAUUGGAUCCUACAUAUUCUCCGAAGAUCUUAUAGGUUGAACCUCAGUGUCAAGGAUUCAUAUAAUCCCGUAUGUCAUUCCCUUUGUCCUUCGGUAUGUUACUUGCCCGAGAUUUGAUCGUCGGUAUCCGCAUACCUAUUUCAAUCUCGUUAGAGGCAAGUCUCUUUACUCGUUCUGUAAUACAAGAUCCCGUGACUUACAAUUAGUCACAUUGCUUGCAAGUCUUGUGUGUGAUGUUGUAUUACCGAGUGGGCCCCUAGAUACUCUCCGUCACACGGAGUNNNNNNNNNNNNNNNNNNNNNNNNNNNNNNNNNNNNNNNNNNNNNNNNNNNNNNNNNNNNNNNNNNNNNNNNNNNNNNNNNNNNNNNNNNNNNNNNNNNNNNNNNNNNNNNNNNNNNNNNNNNNNNNNNNNNNNNNNNNNNNNNNNNNNNNNNNNNNNNNNNNNNNNNNNNNNNNNNNNNNNNNNNNNNNNNNNNNNNNNNNNNNNNNNNNNNNNNNNNNNNNNNNNNNNNNNNNNNNNNNNNNNNNNNNNNNNNNNNNNNNNNNNNNNNNNNNNNNNNNNNNNNNNNNNNNNNNNNNNNNNNNNNNNNNNNNNNNNNNNNNNNNNNNNNNNNNNNNNNNNNNNNNNNNNNNNNNNNNNNNNNNNNNNNNNNNNNNNNNNNNNNNNNNNNNNNNNNNNNNNNNNGUCUUGAUCCAUACUAACCCAACGGACACCUUCGGAGAUACCUGUAGAGCACCUUUAUAGUCACCCAGUUACGUUGCGACGUUUGAUGCACACAAGGUAUACCUCUGGUGCCAGUGAGUUAUAUGAUCUCAUGGUCAUAGGAACAAAUACUUGACACGCAAAAAAAAUAGCAAUAAAACGACACGAUCAAUAUUCUAUGUUCAUAGUUUGGGUCUUGUCCAUCACAUGAUUCUCCUAAUGAUGUGANNNNNNNNNNNNNNNNNNNNNNNNNNNNNNNNNNNNNNNNNNNNNNNNNNNNNNNNNNNNNNNNNNNNNNNNNNNNNNNNNNNNNNNNNNNNNNNNNNNNAUGAUAUGGCCAUCAUCACGUGCUUCUUGAUCUCCAUCACCAAAGCACCGGCACGAUCUUCUUGUCACCGGUGCCACACCAUGAUCAUCCAUCAACGUGUCGCCAUCGGGGUUGUCGUGCUACUUAUGCUAUUACUACUAAAGCUACAUCCUAGCAAAAUAGUAAACGCAUCUGCAAGCACAAACGUUAGUAUAAAGACAACCCUAUGGCUCCUGCCGGUUGCCAUACCAUCGACAUGCAAGUCGAUAUUUCUAUUACAACAUGAUCAUCUCAUACAUCCAAUAUAUCACAUCACAUCGUUGGCCAUAUCACAUCACAAUCAUACCCUGCAAAAACAAGUUAGACGUCCUCUAAUUUUGUUGUUGCAUGUUUUACGUGGUGACCAAGGACCUCCUCAGUCAAAUCCGAUUCAACUNNNNNNNNNNNNNNNNNNNNNNNNNNNNNNNNNNNNNNNNNNNNNNNNNNNNNNNNNNNNNNNNNNNNNNNNNNNNNNNNNNNNNNNNNNNNNNNNNNNNNNNNNNNNNNNNNNNNNNNNNNNNNNNNNNNNNNNNNNNNNNNNNNNNNNNNNNNNNNNNNNNNNNNNNNNNNNNNNNNNNNNNNNNNNNNNNNNNNNNNNNNNNNNNNNNNNNNNNNNNNNNNNNNNNNNNNNNNNNNNNNNNNNNNNNNNNNNNNNNNNNNNNNNNNNNNNNNNNNNNNNNNNNNNNNNNNNNNNNNNNNNNNNNNNNNNNNNNNNNNNNNNNNNNNNNNNNNNNNNNNNNNNNNNNNNNNNNGUCAAAUCCGAUUCAACUAAAGUUGGAGAAACCGUCACUUGCCAGUCAUCUUUGAGCAAAGGGGGUUACUCGUAACGAUGAAACCAGUCUCUCGUAAGCGUACGAGUAAUGUCGGUCCAAGCCGCUUCAAUCCAACAAUACCGCGGAAUCAAGAAAAGACUAAGGAGGGCAGCAAAGCGCACAUCACCGCCCACAAAAUCUUUUGUGUUCUACUCGAGAAGACAUCUACGCAUGAACCUAGCUCUGAUACCACUGUUGGGGAACGUCGCAUGGGAAACAAAAAUUUUCCNNNNNNNNNNNNNNNNNNNNNNNNNNNNNNNNNNNNNNNNNNNNNNNNNNNNNNNNNNNNNNNNNNNNNNNNNNNNNNNNNNNNNNNNNNNNNNNNNNNNAGUCCAGAGUACCUGUGCAAACACAAAAGAGCUUGCACCCAACGCUAUAAAGGGGUUGUCAAUCCCUUCAAGAUUGAUUGCAAAGUGAGAUCUGAAGGCGGAAAGUGCAACGAAGUAAAAUAGUAAGGCUGAAAAUAUGGUGUGGAGUAGACCCGGGGGCCAUAGUGUUCACUAGAGGCUUCUAUAAAAAUAGCAAAUAUUACGGUAGGUGAACAAAUUACUGUCGAGCAAUUGAUAGAACCGCGCAAAGUCAUGACGAUAUCUAAGGCAAUGAUCAUACAUAUAGGCAUCCCGUCCGAGACAAGUAGAUCGAUACUUUCUGCAUCGACUACUAUUACUCCACACAUCAACCGCUAUCCAGCAUGCAUCUAGUGUAUUGAGUUCAUGACAAACAGAGUAACGCCUUAAGCAAGAUGACAUGAUGUAGAGGGAUAAACUCAAACCAAUGAUGAAAACCCCAUCUUUUUACCCUUGAUGGCAAUAGCAUGAUGCGUGCCUCGCUACCCCUUCUCUCACUGGGUGAGGUCACCGCACGAUAUGAACCCAAAACCAAUCNNNNNNNNNNNNNNNNNNNNNNNNNNNNNNNNNNNNNNNNNNNNNNNNNNNNNNNNNNNNNNNNNNNNNNNNNNNNNNNNNNNNNNNNNNNNNNNNNNNNGGCAGCGCCGGCUGGGUCGCCUGGGGCAUCAACCCCGGCGGCGCCGGCAUGCCGGGCAGCAACGUGUUCGUCGCCUCCCAGAGCGCCAGCGGCGUGUCGGUGCUCACCACCGUCCUGAGGAGCACGGCCCCGGCCCUGGACAACACCACCCUCCAGUUCGACGUGCCGGUGCCGCCCGCCGCCGAGUACGCGGCCGGCGCCUACACGAUCUACGUGACGGUGGCGCUGCCGGGGAACUCCACGCAGCAGAACACGGUGUGGCAGGCGGGGCCGCUCGGCGCCGGGGACAUAUUGCCGCACCCGACGUCCGGGCCCAACUUGCAGAGCCUUAUGAGGCUGGACUUCCUGUCCGGCUAGAGCGCCCAUCGGUGCCGACGCCGAGGUCCCCGCGCCACGCCGCACCGUCACGGUGCGUAUGGGUUAUAUGUAAUUUUUUGUUAGUGUCAUCCUCAUCAUGUAUAUAAAUAAAUCACACGACAUAUUUCUCGCGAUUCCUGCUAUUACACUUCUCAUAUAUCAAUAGAAGAACACCUCGACUAGUCACUUCUUCCUAACUAAUCACUCGUCUAAUUUUAUUUUUUCUAAUUCUAAUCACUCAAUUAAUCGUGACUAUGAUGGAGGAAGAGCAUAUCGGCGUUCAUUCCGAGUCAUACAUGCAUGCACAUUAAUAGACAAAAGGAGGAUAUCGGCAAAAUAUUCUUUUUAUUUUCAAACUUCAAAAUACUUUGUAGCUUAAAUCAUCGCUCAAUUGUUUUCACAUAAAAGAUUCAUCGCGAGGAGAUCUUCAAAAUCAGAUCCCAUCUUAGCAUGUUUUGACGACUUUUUUUGAGACAAAAAUUUACCAUGUGUGUGACAUGCAAGUUAAGAUAAGUUAUCAUGUUGACUACACAUAAUUUAUCAAAGCAUAAAAAUAAUUCCUCUAACAUUCUUUUUCGCAUGCAUGCGCUAGAGGGGGAAAAUUGAUGGUCCGUGAUGCAUAUAUUACAGUGUUAUUUGCAUAGAACUCACCGGGGUAUGUUUCAACAACUUUUUAUUCGGGUCUAAAUUUACAGCGGUCUUUGUACCUAAGUUAUCCGUUCUGCGACGUGUGAAUUACCAUGCUUUUUUUCGCAAAAGUUACCAGGGGGAUGGGGGUUAUAUUUCACCAACAGCCCUCCCCGCUCAUCACCAUCGUCGCCAAUGUUACCGGGAUUGUGGUACAUAAGUUAUCAGAUUUCCGAUGUGUGAUUUAUCAUGCCAUUGACACAGAUAGUUGCCGCGGCAUAUUUUACCAACAACUCCCCCCACACCCACUCCUCACCACCAUCGCCAAAGUUACCAGAAUUGUGGUACAUAAGUUAUCAGCUCUCCGACGUGUGAGUUAUCAUGAUAUUUACACAACAAAUUACCAGGGAUAUAUUUCAUCAACCAACGCCACCCCGGUCACCAAAUUUACAAAGUCUAGGGUACAUUAGUUAUCAGGUCUACGAUGUGUGAGUUAUCGUGCUAUUCACAUAAAAGUUACCAGGGGUGUAUUUCAUCACCCCUCCCUCGCGAAAAGUAUCAGGACCGGGGUUCAUAAGUUAUCGGGUCUUCGAUGUGUGAGUUACCAUGCUAUUCACACAAAAUUUACCGACGGAUACUUGAUCANNNNNNNNNNNNNNNNNNNNNNNNNNNNNNNNNNNNNNNNNNNNNNNNNNNNNNNNNNNNNNNNNNNNNNNNNNNNNNNNNNNNNNNNNNNNNNNNNNNNAGAGGCAAUAAUAAAUUAGUUAUUAUUAUAUUUCUUAGUUCAUGAUAAUCGUUUAUUAUCCAUGCUAUAAUUGUAUUGAUUGGAAACACAGUGCAUGUGUGGAUACAUAGACAAAACACUGUCCCCAGUAAGCCUCUAGUUGACUAGCUCAUUGAUCAAAGAUGGUCAAGGUUUCCUGGCCAUAGGCAAGUGUUGUUACNNNNNNNNNNNNNNNNNNNNNNNNNNNNNNNNNNNNNNNNNNNNNNNNNNNNNNNNNNNNNNNNNNNNNNNNNNNNNNNNNNNNCAGGCAAGUGUUGUCACUUGAUAACGGGAUCACAUCAUUAGGAGAAUCAUGUGAUGGACUAGACCCAAACUAAUAGACAUAGCAUGUUGAUCGUGUCAUUUUGUUGCUGCUGUUUUCUGCGUGUCAAGUAUUUGUUCCUAUGACCAUGAGAUCAUAUAACUCACGGACACUGGAGGAAUGCUUUGUGUGUAUCAAACAUCGCAACGUAACUGGGUGACUAUAAAGAUGCUCUACAGGUAUCUCCGAAGGUGUUCGUUGAGUUAGUGUUCGUUGAGUUAGUAUGGAUCGAGACUGGGAUUUGUCACUCUGUGUGACAGAGAGGUAUCUCGGGGCCCACUCGGUAAUACAACAUCACACACAAGCCUNNNNNNNNNNUGUCACAACGUAAUUGGGUGACUAUAAAGAUGCUCUACAGGUAUCUCCGAAGGUGUUCGUUGAGUUAGUAUGGAUCGAGACUGGGAUUUGUUACUCUGUGUGACAAAGAGGUAUCUCGGGGCCCACUCGGUAAUACAACAUCACACACAAGCCUUGCAAGCAAUGUGACUUAGUGUAAGUUGCAGGAUCUUGUAUUACGGAACGAGUAAAGAGACUUGCCGGUAAACGAGAUUCAAAUAGGUAUGCGGAUACUGACGUCGAAUCUCGGGCAAGUAACAUACCGAAGGACAAAGGGAAUGACAUACGGGAUUAUAUGAAUCCUUGGCACUGAGGUUCAAACGAUAAGAUCUUCGUAGAAUAUGUGGGAUCCAAUAUGGGCAUCUAGGUCCCGCUAUUGGAUAUUGACCGAGGAGUCUCUCGGGUCAUGUCUACAUAGUUCUCGAACCCGCAGGGUCUGCACACUUAAGGUUCGACGUUGUUUUAUGCGUAUUUGAGUUAUAUGGUUGGUUACCGAAUGUUGUUCGGAGUCCCGGAUGAGAUGCAGGACGUCACGAGGAGCUCCGGAAUGGUCCGGAGGUAAAGAUUGAUAUAUAGGAAGUCCUGUUUUGGUCACCGGAAAAGUUUCGGGCUCAUCGGUAGUGUACCGGGAGUGCCGGGAGGGGUGCCGGGGACCAUCGGGAGGGGUGUCACGCCCCAAGGGGUAUCAUGGGCUAUGGGAAGAGAUAAACCAGCCCCUAGUGGGCUGGAAUAAGUUCCCACUAAGGCCCAUAANNNNNNNNNNNNNNNNNNNNNNNNNNNNNNNNNNNNNNNNNNNNNNNNNNNNNNNNNNNNNNNNNNNNNNNNNNNNNNNNNNNNNNNNNNNNNNNNNNNNCCGCGGCCGACCUCAACCGCCACUGCUGCCGAUCUCAACCCAUCCGCCUCCGCGGCCGUACCUCUCCCCGCUCACUGCCCCUGUUGCUGCGCUCAAGCGCAUCGCGUCGACCCUGGUCCACCCUGGCAUGUGCCCAGGCCGCUGCCACACCACUCGCCGCCGCGGCCGACCUCAACCACCACUGUUGUCGAUCUCAACCCACCCGCCUCCGCGGCCGUACCUCUGCCCGCUUGCUGCACCCUGUUUCGGCGCUCGAGCACAACUUCUGGAUCAAAUCAACGCGACAGCUACAGUGACUGGGGAUGAUGCGUCUGCUCGAUGCAGAACGGCGGCGGCGCGCGGAUAAGGCGCGGCGGAGCGAAGUACUUGCAGGUGGAGGCGGGCCUNNNNNNNNNNCUGUACCUCUCCCCGCGUUGCGGCGCUCGAGCGCAUCACGUCGACCCUGGUCCACCUUGGCCUGUGCCCAAGCCGCUGCCACACCACUCGCCGCCGCGGCCGACCUCAACCACCACUGCUGUCGAUCUCAACCCACCCGCCUCCGCGGUCAUACCUCUGCCUGCUUGCUACCCCCGUUUCGGCGCUCGAGCACAGCUUCUGGAUCAAAUCAACGUGAUAGCUACAACGACUUGGGAUGAUGCAUCCGCUCGAUGCAGAACGGCGGUGGCGCGCGGAUAAGGCACGACGGAGCGAAGUACUUGGAGGUGGAGGUGGGCCUUCAUGGCUCACACGGGGAACUCCGAGGUUAUGGCGCGGCAACGGCGACUCCUUAUGACCAGAUAGAGGCGCCUAACCCUUGCUCCCCUCAUCGUAUCCCCUCCUCCGGCAGGAACUCAUCAUUUGGUGAGAUCCCCUCCCCAUGCCUCCAACCGUGUGCCAAGCACCGGCAAGAAAUUUUGUUUUGUGAGAAUUUUUUUGCUGAUGAAUGAAUGUAUUGAAUGUAAGAUUGCAUUGUUGUAGAGAGAGAAAAUGGAACACCACCUUCAGUUUGUCAUCUGAUCCCACAUUCUCUACCCNNNNNNNNNNGGUGAAAUAAGAUAACAGUCCAUUGAUCAAUUCACGUAGCCUCUUUGUUUUGCUUUGCUUGUCCCGUUCGAUUUCUCAUCACGGUGGAAUUAACAAUGGACGGGUUGAUUUCUCAACAAAAUAGGAUAGGACUGGCUACAUUAGUUAGUUAACUUAUUAUUCUAAUAAAUCAAAAUGAUUAUAAAAAGAUUAAAAGCGUGUGGUAUUUUCUUUCUCCCGUUGCAACGCACGGGCCCUUUUGCUAGUAUUAAUAAAGCUUUGUGAAUUCGUCGGAAAAAAAAUACUAAUCGCCGUAAGCCAUGUCCCUAAAUCCGGCUGGGAGCGUAUAAACAGUGUUUAGCGCACACUUCAUUUGAUACGACGUCGACGUCUAAUAGCAGGAACAUGAGGAAUAAGCCGUGCGAUUUAUUUUAUACUCCAUGAUCAUGACACUGACAGUAUUUGCGUACAAACAUAUGCCUCGUCGGGCGCUCUAGCCGGACAGGAAGUCCUGCCUCUUAACGCUCUGCAAGUUGGGCCCGGACACCGGGUGCGGCAUUAUGGCCCCGCCGCUGACCGGCCCCGCCUGCCACACCGUGUUCUGCUGCGUGGAGUUCCCCGGCAGNNNNNNNNNNNNNNNNNNNNNNNNNNNNNNNNNNNNNNNNNNNNNNNNNNNNNNNNNNNNNNNNNNNNNNNNNNNNNNNNNNNNNNNNNNNNNNNNNNNNUGAGACCGAAAGGUCGAGCAUGAAUCGUAUAGUUGAUAUGAUUAGCAUAGAGAUGCUUACCACUGAAACUAUUCUUGACUCACGUGAUGAUCGGACUUGAGAUAGUGGAUUUGGAUCAUGUACCACUCAAAUGACUAGAGAGAUGUACUUUUUGAGUGGGAGUUCUUAAGUAAUAUGAUUAAUUGAACUAAUUGUCAUGAACAUAGUCUAAUGGUCUUUGCGAAUUACGAUGUAGCUUGCGCUAUAGCUCUACUGUUUUUAUAUGUGCCUAGAGAAAAUUUAGUUGAAAGUUGAUAGUAGCAAACUUUGCAGAGGAUUGUCCUCGUUGCUGCGCAGAAGGCUUAUGUCCUUAAUGCACCACUCGGUGGGCUGCACCUCGAGCGUCGUCUGUGGAUGCUGUGAACAUCCGACAUACACGUUUCUGAUGACUACACGAUAGUUCAGUGCAAAAUACUUAAUGGCUUAGNNNNNNNNNNUCCUAGAGAAAAUUUAGUUGAAAAUUGAUAGUAGCAAAACUUUGCAGACUGGGUCUGUAAAACUGAGGAUUGUCCUCGUUGCUGCACAGAAGGCUUAUGUCCUUAAUGCACCACUCGGUAUGCUGCACCUCGAGCGUCGUCUGUGGAUGCUAUGAACAUCAGACAUACACUUUUCUGAUGACUACACGAUAGUUCAGUGCAAAAUACUUAAUGGCUUAGAAGCAAGGCGCCGAAAACGUUUUGAAACGUCAUGGAACAUAAGUGAUGUUCCAAAGAGAUGAAAUUGCGAUUUCAUGCUUGUGCCCUUGUUAAUAGGUACGAGACCUCCAACAAGAUUCUUUGUCCACAAAGUAAAGGAGAAAAGCUCAAUCGUUGAGCGCGUGCUCAGAUUGUCUGAGUACGACAAUCACUUGAAUCAAGUGGGAGUUAAUCUUCCAGAUGAGAUGGUGAUGGUUCUNNNNNNNNNNACGAAGACGUUUUGAAACGUCAUGGAACAUAACUGAUGUUCUAAAGAGAUGAAAUUGUGACUUCAUGCUUGUGCCCUUGUCAAGAGGUACGAGACCUCCGACAAGAUUCUUUGUCCACAAAGUAAAGGAGAAAAGCUCAAUCGUUGAGCGUGUGCUCAGAUUGUCUGAGUACGACAAUCGCUUGAAUCAAGUGGGAGUUAAUCUUCUAGAUGAGAUAGUGAUGGUUCUCCAAAGUCACUGCCACCAAGCUGUGAGAGCUUCGUGAUGAACUAUAACAUAUCAAGGAUAGAUACAAUGAUCCUUGAGCGAUUCACGAUGUUUGAUACUGCGAAAGUAGAAAUCAAGAAGGAGCAUCAAUAGUUGAUGGUUAGUAAAACCACUAAGUUUCAAGAAAGGCAAGGGCUAGAAGGGAUACUUCGUGAAACGGCAAAACAGUUGCUGCACUAAUGGAGAGACCCAAGAUUAAACCCAAANNNNNNNNNNNNNNNNNNNNNNNNNNNNNNNNNNNNNNNNNNNNNNNNNNNNNNNNNNNNNNNNNNNNNNNNNNNNNNNNNNNNNNNNNNNNNNNNNNNNCGCGGGGCGGAUCGAGGGACGUGAGGACGUUCCACUACAUCAACCGCGAUCUCUAAUCGCUUCUGCUGUACGAUCUACAAGGGUACGUAGAUCACUCAUCCCCUCUCGUAGAUGGACAUCACCAUGAUAGGUCUUCGUGCGCGUAGGAAAUUUUUUGUUUCCCUUGCGACGUUCCCCAACAGGGGCAACCCGAGGUUUGGUUCCCGUCCACUUUGCAUAGACAGUCUGUCUUGAGAACGAGAGACGCGGCUCCUAUCGGGUUUGUCGACACACCGGGUGGCCUUGCUGGAUUAGUCUUACCUUUGACGAGAUAUCUUGUGCAUCCGGAUUCCGGUGAUGCUUUGGGUAAUCUCAGAGUUGAGGUUUUCCACUAGGGAAUCCGACGAGAUCGCAAGCUUCGUGAUUGAGGAUUUCUAUGCGGCUUGUGGUAAUUUGUGAUGGACAAGUUGGAGCACCCCUGUAGGGUAAAUCUUUUCGGAAAGUCGUGCCCGCGGUUAUGUGGCAACGUGGAAANNNNNNNNNNNNNNNNNNNNNNNNNNNNNNNNNNNNNNNNNNNNNNNNNNNNNNNNNNNNNNNNNNNNNNNNNNNNNNNNNNNNNNNNNNNNNNNNNNNNAGGGAAACAAAAAAUUUCCUACGCGCACGAAGACCUAUCAUGGUGAUGUCCAUCUACGAGAGGGGAUGAGUGAUCUACGUACCCUUGUAGAUCGUACAGCAGAAGCGUUAGAGAACGCGGUUGAUGUAGUGGAACGUCCUCACGUCCCUCGAUCCGCCCCGCGAACAAUCCCGCGAUCAGUCCCACGAUCUAGUACCGAACGGACGGCACCUCCGCGUUCAGCACACGUACAGCUCGACGAUGAUCUCGGCCUUCUUGAUCCAGCAAGAGAGACGGAGAGGUAGAAGAGUUCUCCGGCAGCGUGACGGCGCUCCGGAGGUUGGUGAUGAUCUCGUCUCAGCAGGGCUCCGCCCGAGCUCCGCAGAAACGCGAUCUAGAGGAAAAACUAUGGAGGUAUGUGGUCGGGCAGCCGUGAGAAAAGUCGUCUCAAAUCUGCCCUAAAAGCCCCAUAUAUAUAGGAGGAGGGAGGGGGACCUUGCCUUGGGGUCCAAGGGAUCCCCAAGGGGUCGGCCGAGCCAGGGGGGAGGACUCUCCCCCCCCCCAAACCGAGUUGGACAAGGUUUGGUGGGAGGGAGUCCUUCCCCUUUCCCACUUCCCCUUUUUUUUCUUUUCUCCUUUGAUUUUUAUCCUUGGCGCAUAGGGGACUUGUGGGCUGUCCCACCAGCCCACUAAGGGCUGGUGUGGCUCCCCAAAAACCUAUGGGCUUUCCCGGGGUGGGUUGCCCCCCCCCCCCCNNNNNNNNNNNNNNNNNNNNNNNNNNNNNNNNNNNNNNNNNNNNNNNNNNNNNNNNNNNNNNNNNNNNNNNNNNNNNNNNNNNNNNNNNNNNNNNNNNNNNNNNNNNNNNNNNNNNNNNNNNNNNNNNNNNNNNNNNNNNNNNNNNNNNNNNNNNNNNNNNNNNNNNNNNNNNNNNNNGUUUCCGGACCAUUCCGAAAACCCUCGUGACGUCUGUGAUCUCAUCCGGGACUCUGAACAACAUUCGGUAACCAACUAUAUAACUCAAAUACGCAUAAAACAACGUCGAACCUUAAGUGUGCAGACCCUNNNNNNNNNNNNNNNNNNNNNNNNNNNNNNNNNNNNNNNNNNNNNNNNNNNNNNNNNNNNNNNNNNNNNNNNNNNNNNNNNNNNNNNNNNNNNNNNNNNNCAAUGUUUUAAAGCAAAUUAUAAUAAUUGUUUGAAUCAAAUAGAACAUGGAAAAGUAAACAAAGGUAGAUCAUGGGACUUGGCGCCGUCCAGCCAACUGCCACUGGUGCUCUACUUGAUCAUCCCGGAGCUGCCACUGGUACGCACUAAACCCCAUGAUACCGACGGCGUAUCUACGAUGCUUGAAGUAAUCUGAGUCAGCCUCACAAUCGGUGACAAUUUUUACAAACAAACUACGACACAUUCGGUACCUUCUCCGGAAGAGGCGAGGUGGGUAUGUCGGUACCUCCGCGAAGUAGUCUCGCAUCAAAUGUUCAUGUCCGAGACAGCGGUUCCGGUAGAUGGUGACUCGCGCCAUCUUCGACCCUCUCCUCUGAUCCAUCAGCUUCACGCGGUCUUCAAACUCUUUCACGUCGACGAGGAGGCCCAUCAUCUCGAUGUCAUUGUCUUGAAGCAAGUCCUCAAUGUCCGAAUCGUCCGAUGACGACCAACCGGAAUCAUCGGACAACACAUCCAUCUACACAACACAAAACAAAAAAUGUAGUGUUGUUCUGUAACAAAAAUACAGGAAACAGGGCCGGCCGGAGCCCACGAUGGAGGAGGCCGACGGUGUGGACGAGCUCAGGGCGGUGGAGGAGCUCGGGGGGCGGCGGUGGAGGAGCUCGGGGCGGGGCGGCGGCGGUGGCCCGAGAUGCUGUCGGCGGCGGUGGAGGAGCGCGGGGCGGGGCGGCGGCGGUGGCCCGAGAUGCUGUCGGCGGCGGUGGAGGAGCGCGGGGCGGGGCGGCGGCGGUGGCCCGAGAUGCUGUCGGCGGCGGUGGAGGAGCGCGGGGCGGGGCGGCGGCGGUGGCCCGAGAUGCUGUCGGCGGCGGUGGAGGAGCGCGGGGCGGGGCGGCGGCGGUGGCCCGAGAUGCUGUCGGCGGCGGUGGAGGAGCGCGGGGCGGGGCGGCGGCGGUGGCCCGAGAUGCUGUCGGCGGCGGUGGAGGAGCGCGGGGCGGGGCGGCGGCGGUGGCCCGAGAUGCUGUCGGCGGCGGUGGAGGAGCGCGGGGCGGGGCGGCGGCGGUGGCCCGAGAUGCUGUCGGCGGCGGUGGAGGAGCGCGGGGCGGGGCGGCGGCGGUGGCCCGAGAUGCUGUCGGCGGCGGUGGAGGAGCGCGGGGCGGGGCGGCGGCGGUGGCCCGAGAUGCUGUCGGCGGCGGUGGAGGAGCGCGGGGCGGGGCGGCGGCGGUGGCCCGAGAUGCUGUCGGCGGCGGUGGAGGAGCGCGGGGCGGGGCGGCGGCGGUGGCCCGAGAUGCUGUCGGCGGCGGUGGAGGAGCGCGGGGCGGGGCGGCGGCGGUGGCCCGAGAUGCUGUCGGCGGCGGUGGAGGAGCGCGGGGCGGGGCGGCGGCGGUGGCCCGAGAUGCUGUCGGCGGCGGUGGAGGAGCGCGGGGCGGGGCGGCGGCGGUGGCCCGAGAUGCUGUCGGCGGCGGUGGAGGAGCUCGGGGGCGGGACGACGGCGGCGGCCCGAGAUGCGACCGAAGGCGGCCGGGUCGGCGCGGGGGCGGGACGGCGGUGGCGGCCCGAGAUGCGGCCGGCGGCGGCUCGGGGGAGGUGCGGGAGGAGGUUGGGGAUGGGAAAUUUCCCUCCGGCGCGUGGCCGGGUCGAAGUGAGGGUUGAGGUAGAUUUUGCCCCCCAAUCCUCACUUCUACAGGUUGGAAGAGGGUUUGCAGGUCCGAUCCUUAAAUUUUUUUAAGGGUUUAAAAGUUAAGGGGUUCUAGUCAACGCGUUUUUUUCGCCCAACCCGUAAAAAACGGUUAUAUCUGUUUUUUUUAGGGUUUAAGGGCUCUACCAGACAUGCUCUUAGGAGGACUGUGGUAUCUCAUGUCCACCACAGACGUUGAUGCUUGCAUUUUUCUGAAUUUAUUUCAGGUCUUCUGACGAUGGGUUUUCAGUGGAAGGAGGCGUUCCUGUCGACAACGAAGGCGCGAGUGACGACUUCAUCAAUCUUAAGAUGAUGUGCCGGCUUAGUCUCUUGAAAGUGCUCAUAAAGAUAGGAUGUGCGUGAGUGCGUUUAUAGAAAUGAGUGUACACGUGUGUGUAAGCGACUUUGAUUGUACUUUGUGAACAGGAAAAAGAAAAGAAAAAAGGGGCCCGAGAUCGCAAGAGAUAAACCCGUCGUCAACUCUGGAGCUUUCCACCCGGGCACGUACCUCCAGCAUCCCAGCUUUCACGUCGCCGGCCGUAUUACAAAUAGCCCCCCUCCACCUUCACGCUUGCUGCCACCACACGCUGUUGCAUCUCCGGCCAGCUCGGAGAGCCAAAACGAAGCAACGUCUUGAGCAGCACGAGCAAGGCUCCAUGGCGCGGCUCCUCCUCGCAACCGUAGCCGCCACCGUGCUGCUGCUCGCGGCCGGCGCGACGGCGCAGCAGCAGGGCUGCGAGAACGCGACGUUCCCGGCGGGGCGGUCGUUCGCGCGGUGCAACACCCUGCCCGUGCUCGACGCCAGCCUGCACUGGACGUACCACGCCGCGAACGGCACCGCCGAGCUCGCGUUCCGCGCGNCGGUCGUUCGCGCGGUGCAACACCCUGCCCGUGCUCGACGCCAGCCUGCACUGGACGUACCACGCCGCGAACGGCACCGCCGAGCUCGCGUUCCGCGCGCGUUCCAGCGCCACCGGCUGGGUCGCCUGGGGCAUCAACCCCGGCGGCGCCGGCAUGGCCGGCAGCAACGUCUUCCUCGCCUCGCAGGGCGGCGGCGGCGGCGCCGCCGUCUCCGUGCUCACCACCGUCCUGAGGAGCACGGCCCCGGCCCUGGACAACACCACCCUCCAGUUCGGCGUGCCGGUGCCGCCCACCGCCGAGUACGCGGCCGGCGCCUACACGAUCUACGUGACGGUGGCGCUGCCGGGGAACUCCACGCAGCAGAACACGGUGUGGCAGGCGGGGCCGGUCAGCGGCGGGGCCAUAAUGCCGCACCCGGUGUCCGGGCCCAACUUGCAGAGCGUUAAGAGGCAGGACUUCCUGUCCGGCUAGAGCGCCCGACGAGGCAUAUGUUUGUACGCAAAUACUGUCAGUGUCAUGAUCAUGGAGUAUAAAAUAAAUCGCACGGCUUAUUCCUCAUGUUCCUGCUAUUAGACGUCGACGUCGUAUCAAAUGAAGUGUGCGCUAAACACUGUUUAUACGCUCCCAGCCGGAUUUAGGGACAUGGCUUACGGCGAUUAGUAUUUUUUUUCCGACGAAUUCACAAAGCUUUAUUAAUACUAGCAAAAGGGCCCGUGCGUUGCAACGGGAGAAAGAAAAUACCACACGCUUUUAAUCUUUUUAUAAUCAUUUUGAUUUAUUAGAAUAAUAAGUUAACUAACUAAUGUAGCCAGUCCUAUCCUAUUUUGUUGAGAAAUCAACCCGUCCAUUGUUAAUUCCACCGUGAUGAGAAAUCGAACGGGACAAGCAAAGCAAAACAAAGAGGCUACGUGAAUUGAUCAAUGGACUGUUAUCUUAUUUCACCCAUGGGGUAGAGAAUGUGGGAUCAGAUGACAAACUGAAGGUGGUGUUCCAUUUUCUCUCUCUACAACAAUGCAAUCUUACAUUCAAUACAUUCAUUCAUCAGCAAAAAAAUUCUCACAAAACAAAAUUUCUUGCCGGUGCUUGGCACACGGUUGGAGGCAUGGGGAGGGGAUCUCACCAAAUGAUGAGUUCCUGCCGGAGGAGGGGAUACGAUGAGGGGAGCAAGGGUUAGGCGCCUCUAUCUGGCCAUAAGGAGUCGCCGUUGCCGCGCCAUAACCUCGGAGUUCCCCGUGUGAGCCAUGGAGGCCCGCCUCCACCUGCAAGUACUUCGCUCCGCCGCGCCUUAUCCGCACGCCGUCGCCGUUCUGCAUCGAGUAGACGCAUCAUCCCAAGUCGAUGUAGCUGUCGCGUUGAUUUGAUCCAGAAGCUGUGCUCGAGCGCCGAAACAGGGGCAACAAACGGGCAGAGGUACGACCGCGGAGGCGGCUGGGUUGAGAUCGACAACAAUGGUGGUUGAGGUCGGCCGCGGCGACGAGUGGUGUGGCAGCGGCCUGGGCACAGGCCAGGGUGGACCAGGGUCAACGCGAUGCGCUCGAGCGCCGCAACGGGGGCAGUGAGCGGGGAGAGGUACAACCGCGGAGGCGGGUGGGUUGAGAUCGGCAGCGGUGGCGGUUGAGGUCGGCCGCGACGGCGAGUGGUGUGGCGGCCGCCUAGGCAUAGGCCAGGGUGGCCGAGGGUCGAUGGGAGGAGGCGGUGCGUACGGGUAUAAUUUUUGCAGCGAAUCGUUUUUUCCUUUUGCAUUACAGAUAAAUGAUGGAGUGCGGGUUGAAUAACAAAAAUUACAGUUUUUUUAUAAAAUGCCAUGAUGGGUUUUCCGACGGAAGCAAUAGCCGCUUUAUUAUUAGGUAUAGACUAGCAAAAGGUCCGUGGUUGCAACGGAAGAAAAAAUAUCACACGGUUUUAAUUUUUAUAAUCAUUUUAAUUUAUUANNNNNNNNNNNNNNNNNNNNNNNNNNNNNNNNNNNNNNNNNNNNNNNNNNNNNNNNNNNNNNNNNNNNNNNNNNNNNNNNNNNNNNNNNNNNNNNNNNNNNNNNNNNNNNNNNNNNNNNNNNNNNNNNNNNNNNNNNNNNNNNNNNNNNGCUAACUAACUAAUGUAGUAAGUCCUAUCCUAUUUUGUUGGAAAAUCAACCCGUCCAUUGUUAAUUCCAUCAUGAUGAGAAAUUGAGCGGGACAAUCAAAGCAAAACAAAGAGGCUACCUGAAUUGAUCAAUGGACUGUUAUCUUAUUUCACUCAUGGGCUAGAGAAUGUGGGAUCAGAUGACAAACUGAAGGUGGUGUUCCAUUCUCUCUCUCUACAACAACGCAAUCUUACAUUAAAUACAUUCAUUCAUCAGCAAACAAAUUCCCACAAAACAAAAUUUCGUGCCGGUGCUUGGCACACGGUUGGAGGCAUGGGGAGGGGAUCUCACCAGAUGAUGAGUUCCUGCCGGAGGAGGGGAUACAUUGAGGGGAGCAAGGGUUAGGCGCCUCUAUCUGGCCAUAAGGAGUCGCCGUUGCCGCGCCAUAACCUCGGAGUUCCCCGUGUGAGCCAUGAAGGCCCACCUCCACCUCCAAGUACUUCGCUCCGUCGUGCCUUAUCCGCGCGCCACCGCCGUUCUGCAUCGAGCGGAUGCAUCAUCCCAAGUCGUUGUAGCUAUCACGUUGAUUUGAUCCAGAAGCUGUGCUCGAGCGCCGAAACGGGGGUAGCAAGCAGGCAGAGGUAUGACCGCGGAGGCGGGUGGGUUGAGAUCGACAGCAGUGGUGGUUGAGGUCGGCCGCGGCGGCGAGUGGUGUGGCAGCGGCUUGGGCACAGGCCAAGGUGGACCAGGGUCGACGUGAUGCGCUCGAGCGCCGCAACGCGGGGAGAGGUACAGCCGCGGAGGCGGGUGGGUUGAGAUCGGCAGCGGUGGCGGUUGAGGUCGGCCGCGGCGACGAGUGGUGUGGCGGCGGCCUGGGCACAGGCCAGGGUGGCCCAGGGUCGACGGGAGGAGGCGAUGCGUACGGGUAUAAUUUUUGCAGCGAAUCGUUUUUUUCUUUUGCGUUGCAGAUAAAUGAUGGAGCGCGGGUUGAAUAACAAAAAUUACACGGGCUUUUUUAUAAAAAUAUCGUGGUGGGUUUUCCGACGGAAGCAAUAGCCGCUUUAUUAUUAGGUAUAGAAAAGGUGUUCGCUGAGCAAUCAGCCAACAGGCUGGUCACGAGAAAACUAGGAGUUUCAGUAAGCCAACUCUCGGUAGCCCCGCUAGCGCAAGCACGCUUGGCACACAUGUGAGCUGGGCCGUUCGCUGCUCUUAAUACAUGCUGAAUUACAAAAGAGGAAAACAUAAGAGAAAGCUCUUCGAUCUCGGAGAAUAUAGUUGUAACGCCCCGGACACACCCGCCGGUGGUCGUUACUCCUGGCGGGAUCUAGACUGGCCCCACAUAUCAAUACUAGUCUUUUCCGUGCACUUUGUCCUCACUCAUGCGCACUCGGGAUCAACUUCCCGGAUGGUCACCCAUCCUAGAACUACUCCAAGCCAAGCACGCUUAACCUGGAAGUCCUGUUCGAAUGGGCUCCCAGAAAAGAAGGAAUUCCUUAUUGAUAUGAGUAGUCUAUCAUCCCUAAUAAGCCAGGCUAUCACAAUAGUGGCCACGACAGAACGACCAUCACGGCGAUCACGCCAGAGAUUAACAACCUCCAAGCAAUCUGUCUCCAUAGCAACUUCGGAAAAGCCCCGAAGACUUGCGAAGAUGACUCCUUCUUGCAGAGCCAACACUUCGGCAAUGAGAGGAUCGGUGACCCCAAGUUGAGGCUUUCCCCAAACACCCAACAAGGAGCAACUCGAGCGAGCCACACCUCCUGCAGCACUUCGUUGGUUCAAAACAUCUACCGCCGCAUCGGUAUUGAUCUUGAUCUGGUUGCCUUCAGGUGGCGACCAGCCAUACCCAGGCAGUGUCACCGCUUGCACAAUGGGGAUCUCCAACACCGCUAGUGAUUCCCUGAUGUACUUUAUGGAUUGCACCAAAUCAAACUUCUCGCCCUCGUGUGUCCAUUUGUUCCGCGAAGUCCAAAUGGCCCACAUGAUAGUGAUGAUCGUGGCUCGAUCCUUGGGGGAGAGACAAGGAUCAGAGAGAAUGUCCUUCUGCCAAGAACCAGACUGGAGCGUUGGGAGUUGUACGUCCAACAGCGCUUGCGCCUCGGCCCAAUACCGACGGGCAUUAGAGCAGUGCAAUAGCGCAUGCUCUAAAUCUUCCUCAGCAAGGUGACAUAGCUUGCAUAGACUUGUUUCUCUGAUAUGGCGAUAUUUUAACGUAGCUUCGUCAGGUAGAAUCCCACGCAUGACUCUCCACCAGAAAACGCGUACCUUAGGGACGACCUUGAGAGACCAUAACAUCUUCCACAAGCGUUGAUGAUCCACUGAAUUACCAAUAGCCUGCCCUUCCACUUGAGCAGAAUGCUCGUUAUGUGUCAUUAGAGGUCGGUAUGCUGAUUUGACUGUGUAGUUGCCAGAUUUCUCAUGUGCCCAGGCCAUAAAAUCAGCCCCCCUCCACGCCGAAGUGGGAUAUUCAGAAUCGCCUCGGCGUCCGGCGCAGCAAAACUUUCCCUCACCUGAUCCACCCUCCAAGUUCCCGUUUCAAUGUCGAUGAGCUCGCUAACAAAGGCAACGGUCGCCCCAGGGGUCUAGUAGUGGGAAUCAUUGUUGCAGUAGUCGGGAUCCACUUAUCCGUCCAAACAUUGAUAGAAGUGCCAUCCCUAAUACGAUGGAUAAGGCCCAGUUUCAACACCUCUCUUCCCGCCACAAUAGCACGCCAAGUAGCAGAUGCCGAGUGUGGCACCGAAGCCUGGAUGAACUCGGUGUCUGGAUAGUAUCUUCCCUUCAACACUCUUGCGCACAAGGAGUUAGGGUUGGUAAUCAGGCACCAACCAUGCUUACCCAGCAGGGCCAGAUUGAACCCAUGGAAGUCUCGAAAACCCAUCCCUCCUUUGCAUUUUGGCGUUGCUAGUUCUUUCCACGAAAUCCAGUGGAGAGACCGUCUGUCAAUGGAACUACUCCACCAAUACUUAGCCAUGCUGGAAGUUAGACUUUUGUAGACUUUCUUGGUGAGCAAGAAACAACUCAUACUGAAUGUGGGAAUAGCCUGAAUCACUAAUUUCAGAAGUGUUUCCCUUCCUGCAUAAGCAAACAACCUCUCAGACCAUCCCCUCAUCUUGCUCCUCGAGCGCUCCCCAAUGUGAUCAAAGGAUCCACUAGUGAUACGACCCACCGCAGUUGGGAGGCCGAGAUAGCGAUCGCUAAAGGCUUUCACCGAAACCCCGAGAACUCCUUUUAUGCACUGGCGCAAUUCAGAGGGUGUAUUAGGGCUGAAGUAUACUGCACUUUUCUCACGAUUUACACACUGGCCCGAAGCUUCACCAUAUAUCCGUAGUAUUGCAGUGAGCCUCUCUGCACUCGGGGAGUGAGCAUUAAUAAAGAUCAAACUAUCAUCUGCAAAUAGUAGAUGACUUACCCAGGGAGCACGAAAACUUGCCGUGACUCCUCUGUCAAUGUAGCUGUAGUUCUUGAGCAGCGAGGAGAAUCCUUCAACACAUAAGAGGAACAGAAAAGGCGACAGAGGAUCCCCCUGCCGCAAGCCCCGAGUUGGGGUGAAGAAAGGUUGUAACUCCCCAUUAAUCCUCAUAGUAAACCGGACUGAAGUAACACACUUCAUUAUCAGUCGAACAAAAGAAGAGCUGAAUCCCAGUCGAAGAAGAAUUGCCUCCAAAUAAUGCCAUUCUACCCGAUCGUACGCUUUCAUCAUAUCCAGCUUAAGAGCACAGGAGUGAUUAUUUCCCUUUUUCCUUCUGCGAAUCGCGUGGACACACUCGAAGGCCACAAGUACGUUAUCAGUCAACAAACGACCAGGGACAAAAGCACUCUGUUCCUCACUAACAAUCUCAUCCAUGCAAGUCCUAAGCCGGUUAGUGAUCGCCUUGGAGGCCACCUUAUAUAGAACCGAGCACAGGGAAAUAGGACGGAACUGGGAGAUCUUUUGGGGAUGUCGUACCUUGGGUAUAAGGGUGAUCGAUGUAUCGUUGAGGCCCAAAGGUAGAUCACCUCCAUUCAAGAAGCCAAGCACCGCCGUUGUAACCGACCCAUUCAGCAGAUUCCAAUGUUUUGGAAGAAACCCGCGGUGAAACCAUCUACACCCGGGGCUUUCGAUGGCGUCAUCUGGAACAACGCAUCCCUAAUCUCCUGUGCUUAGAAGGGUUUAUCAAGCAGUCCAUUCAUCUGAGGUGAAACCUUUACAGGAACGUGUGUAAGGAUCUCCCUCAUGUCACUCCUACCUUGAGAGGAAUAUAGGUCUUGGUAGAAUGACAGUAUCUCAGUCUGGUCCUCCUCACUGGUCGCACAAACUGAGCCGUCUGCCCGCACCAGGCCACAGAUCUUAUUCAUACGUUGUCGUUGCUUUGCCUGGGCAUGGAAAUACUUUGUGUUGCGGUCACCCUCUUUCAACCAUCUUACUCUGGAUCGUUGCCGCAUCCAGAUUUCUUCCUGCUUCAGAGCCAACCGGAGUUUCGCUGCAGUUGCCUUUUCCUCAUCAGAUGGGCCACGCCCAACCGAAGACCGCCGCAGCUUAUCAAGCUUGCGCUGUAACUGACGGACAGACCGGGCCAAACAACCAAAUUCUUUCGCACCCCAUGGCUCGAGGGUUCUCUGUAAUGUUCCCACCGACUCCAUGAUCCUGUGACAACCCGAUGCCGACGUUCCAGAAGAUUCCCCUCUCUUUCUGUUUUCGUCGCGUGUCUAUUUUAUUUGUUGCAUCACCAUCGCAUCAUGCACAUCAUCUGCAUGCCAUCGGUGUCUCCGUUGCCGCCAGUUUUCAAACUUGCACCCGUUGUUAGUUGCCGGUUAACGUCGUUGUUCAUUCCGAGCCCGACCGCACUCGCACGCGCCCGCGGCACCGUCGAAACCCUGUUUUUAAAGUGCAUUUAAAACUUUCUCUGAUCGAGGUGAAACUUGGCACGCGGUCGCGAAUAGAUAUAGCUAGGCCGCCUGUCGAAUUUCGUCGCGAUCGGAGACCGUCUGGUACCCGAACGGUCGACCGUAGCGGCACCGUAUUCGGGCUACCGUCGGACGUCUGUCAGUGUUUUAAAAUUCGUGCCGCGCCGCCCGUUCUCCCUCUCAUCUCCGGUUAUCCCCUCUACACGGCCGCGUACCCAUACCCGUGUUCGAAAUUGUCCAAAUCCGACCCCGUGGUUGGAUCCGGAGCGCGAUUCCGGUUAACCGAGCCCCCCGUUUGUCUAUAUAUAGGCCCCUUCCUUAAUUUUAGGCAACCAACCCUAAUACCACCUUGGGAUCCGCGCCGCCCCACCUCUCCUCUCUCUCCCGCAGCCUCUCUCCCCACCAGCCUCGCGGCCCCGCCAGGCCCAGAUCAGGCCCGGCCGAGCCCAUCCGGCCGCCGCCGCCCGUGCCCGCAGCAGCAGCCCGAGCCGCCUCCAGCCGCCCGCCGCCGCCGGAGCCCUCUGCGCCUCGCCCACCGGAGUUCCUCGCCCCGCCACCGUCGGGAUCUCGCUGGAUCCGGCCGCCGCACCCUCGCCUGCGCCGUCCGCCGCCGUCAGCCCCUGGUCGCCGCCUUCCCUGCGGGCUUGCCGCGCCGUCCUCUGCUUCCCGUGCUGGCUACCUUCGUCCCUGCCUCGAGUUGCCUCGCCGCCGCCUCGGUCCUGCAGGUCCGGCCGGUCCCGCCGCCGCCAUGCGCCGCCACCCGAGCCCGGAUCCGGUCCCAGUGCUCGCCGUGGUUGCCCUCGGCCUCCCGUCGGCGACCUGCGCCGUUGCUGCUUCCGAGGGCACGGGAGGGCGCUCCUCGACCCCGCGUUGACCGCGAUCUGCCUCUGCUGGGCCCGAGCCGGCCCAGGACAGGGUGCUCCCGCAGUGGCCCAGCUCGCGCCUCGCCCUCGGCCCAACAGGAGCAGCAGCUCCAUCCUCCAGCGCCCGCCAGUGGGCCCCGCGGCCGGCCCAGCUCGCCAGUCCCGUCGGCCCAAGCGGCCACGCUGGUGAGCCCACUCCCUACCUCUAUCCUCCGCCAUGGCGUCAUAUAGCUAGUACGCGCAUGCCCCUCUGUUUAGGCUUGUUAACAGAGUCGGCCCAGUAGAUAUUUAGGAUUUAAUCCGAAUUUAAUCCGUUUUCAGAAAAAUAGACGUUUAAUAAAAACCCCGUAACUUUUUAUCCGUAAGUCGGAACGACGCGUAUUAUAUAUGGUUUUGUGGUAGUUUCGCGCGUAGAAUACGAAUUUGAAACUUGCAUAUUUAUUUGACGUCGUUUAGCGUGCUGGUUGCCUAGAUAAGCGUGCUGUCCUAAUAGGUUUCGACUCGUAUUUAUUUUUCGUGCAAGACCGGGUUCCUCGAGUGCCUUAGAUAAAAUGUAUAUGUUUUAGGGACUAUUUAUCCAUGUAUUUUAGACCAGUCAUUUGUAUUUUUGCGUGUACGGAUUUGCCGGUAGUUUAUUUUCCCGUAUAUAGGUGUUUAUUUCGCAUUAAUGUGUGGCUUUAUUAUGUGUUGCAAACCCCACAUAUUUUAUAUGUUUCCGGGGUAGAAAAAUCCAUGGGAUUUUUCUGUGCAGUUAGUUUUAGCUUUUGGAUAAGUUAGUUCGCGAGAUAUGUUACCGUGUUGGCCUUUUGAUUAAUUCGUAGGAUUUAUUCCGUGCCUCGUUUGAGUUAGUUGUCAACUAGGGAGUUGAUCUUGGAUGUUUUGUUUAGCCCCUGAUAUUUUUAGUUGCAAUAGAAAUGCAUGUUUAGGUGUGUUUCGAUAGCCCUCAAGUUGCUAGAAAUAGUGCUGUUUUAGACGUGCUGAAAUAUUUCUAAGUCUGGAAUCUGGUAUAUUUUGUUGCUGUCUUGUCUUGCUUCUAUCUUUNNNNNNNNNNNNNNNNNNNNNNNNNNNNNNNNNNNNNNNNNNNNNNNNNNNNNNNNNNNNNNNNNNNNNNNNNNNNNNNNNNNNNNNNNNNNNNNNNNNNAGUGUUCCGCGUGCGCAACUGUUUUGCACCCGUUGUAUGUGAACGUUGAGUCUAUCACACCCGAUCAUCACGUGGUGUCUCGAAACGACGAACUGUAGCAACGGUGCACAGUCGGGGAGAACACAAUUUCGUCUUGAAAUUUUAGUGAGAGAUCACCUCAUAAUGCUACCGUCGUUCUAAGCAAAAUAAGGUGCAUAAAAGGAUUAACAUCACAUGCAAUUCAUAAGUGACAUGAUAUGGCCAUCAUCUCGUGCUUCUUGAUCUCCAUCGCCAAAGCACCGGCACGAUCUUCUUGUCACCGGCGCCACACCAUGAUCAUCCAUCAACGUGCUGCCAUCGGGGUUGUCGUGCUACUUAUGCUAUCACUACUAAAGCUACAUCCUAGCAAAAUAGUAAACGCAUCUGCAAGCACAUAUGUUAGUAUAAAGACAACCCUAUGGCUCCUGCCGGUUGCCGUACCAUCGACGUGCAAGUCGAUAUUUCUAUUACAACAUGAUCAUCUCAUACAUCCAAUAUAUCACAUCACAUCAUUGGCCAUAUCACAUCACAAUCAUACCCUGCAAAAACAAGUUAGACGUCCUCUAAUUUUGUUGUUGCAUGUUUUACGUGGUGACCAAGGGUAUCUAGUAGGAUCGCAUCUUACUUACGCAAACACCACAACGGAGAUAUAUGAGUUGCUAUUUAACCUCAUCCAAGGACCUCCUCGGUCAAAUCCGAUUCAACUAAAGUUGGAGAAACCGUCACUUGCCAGUCAUCUUUGAGCAAAGGGGGUUACUCGUAACGAUGAAACCAGUCUCUCGUAAGCGUACGAGUAAUGUCGGUCCAAGCUGCUUCGAUCCAACAAUACCGCGGAAUCAAGAAAAGACUAAGGAGGGCAGCAAAACGCACAUCACCGCCCACAAAACCUUUUGUGUUCUACUCGAGAAGACAUCUACGCAUGAACCUAGCUCAUGAUGCCACUGUUGGGGAACGUCGCAAGGGAAACAAAAAUUUUCCUACGCGCACGAAGACCUAUCAUGGUGAUGUCCAUCUACGAGAGGGGAUGAGUGAUCUACGUACCCUUGUAGAUCGUACAGCAGAAGCGAUUAGAGAUCGCGGUUGAUGUAGUGGAACGUCCUCACGUCCCUCGAUCCGCCCCGCGAACAAUCCCGCGAUCAGUCCCACGAUCUAGUACCGAACGGACGGCACCUCCGCGUUCAGCACACGUACAGCUCGACGAUGAUCUCGGCCUUCUUGAUCCAGCAAGAGAGACGGAGAGGUAGAAGAGUUCUCCGGCAGCGUGACGGCGCUCCGGAGGUUGGUGAUGAUCUUGUCUCAGCAGGGCUCCGCCCGAGCUCCGCAGAAACACGAUCUAGAGGAAAAACUAUGGAGGUAUGUGGUCGGGCAGCCGUGAGAAAGUCGUCUCAAAUCAGCCCUAAAACCUCCGUAUAUAUAGGUGGGAGGGAGGGGAGGAGGCAGCCUCAAAACCUAAAGGUUUGGCCGAAAUUGGAGGUGGAGGAGUCCUACUCCAAUCCUACUUGGAGUAGGAUUCCACCUUCCCACUUGGAAACUCUUUCCACCUUGUGUUUUUUCCUUCUCAAACCUUAUGGGCCUUAGUGGGAACUUAUUCCAGCCCACUAGGGGCUGGUUUAUCUCUUCCCAUAGCCCAUGAGACCCCUUGGGGCGUGACACCCCUCCCGAUGGUCCCCGGCACCCCUCCCGGCACUCCCGGUACACUACCGAUGAGCCCGAAACUUUUCCGGUAAUGCACGAAAACCUUCCGGUAACCAAAUGAGGUCAUCCUAUAUAUCAAUCUUCGUUUCCGGACCAUUCCGGAAACCCUCGUGACGUCCGUGAUCUCAUCCGGGACUCCGAACAACAUUCGGUAACCAACCAUAUAACUCAAAUACGCAUAAAACAACGUCGAACCUUAAGUGUGCAGACCCUGCGGGUUCGAGAACUAUGUAGACAUGACCCGAGAGACUCCUCGGUCAAUAUCCAAUAGCGGGACCUGGAUGCCCAUAUUGGAUCCUACAUAUUCUACGAAGAUCUUUAUCGUUUGAACCUCAGUGCCAAGGAUUCGUAUAAUCCCGUAUGUCAUUCCCUUUGUCCUUCGGUAUGUUACUUACCCGAGAUUCGAUCGUCAGUAUCCGCAUACCUAUUUCAAUCUCGUUUACCGGCAAGUCUCUUUACUCGUUCCGUAAUACAAGAUCCCGUAACUUACACUAAGUUACAUUGCUUGCAAGGCUUGUGUAUGAUGUUGUAUUACCGAGUGGGCCCCGAGAUACCUCUCCGUCACACGGAGUGACAAAUCCCAGUCUCGAUCUAUACUAACUCAACGAACACCUUCGGAGAUACCUGUAGAGCAUCUUUAUAGUCACCCAGUUACGUUGCGACGUUUGAUACACACAAAGCAUUCCUCCGGUGUCCGUGAGUUAUAUGAUCUCAUGGUCAUAGGAACAAAUACUUGACACGCAGAAAACAGUAGCAACAAAAUGACACGAUCAACAUGCUACGUCUAUUAGUUUGGGUCUAGUCCAUCACAUGAUUCUCCUAAUGAUGUGAUCCCGUUAUCAAGUGACAACACUUGCCUGUGGCCAGGAAACCUUGACCAUCUUUGAUCAACGAGCUAGUCAACUAGAGGCUUACUAGGGACAGUGUUUNNNNNNNNNNNNNNNNNNNNNNNNNNNNNNNNNNNNNNNNNNNNNNNNNNNNNNNNNNNNNNNNNNNNNNNNNNNNNNNNNNNNNNNNNNNNNNNNNNNNUUUGUAAUAAAUUGAAUUAAUAUUAUGUGUUUGAAAAUACUAUUCGAUGUUAUUGAGAUGAUGAAAAUUAUGAUAUAUCAAAUGACAGUUUUAAGGGUUGGGAUUGAGGCAAAGACUAGAACCCUCAAAUGCAACCCUUAUAACAGAAUCCCUCAAACCCAACCCUUAUAACGGAAUCCGUUAUMRKRGUWGGUGGUUUGAGGGUUCUAGCCUUUGCGUUUGUUUUUCAACCCUUAAAAGUGUCAAAAAUAACCAAUUCUUUAACCCUUAAAACUGGUUUUAGAUUUAAGGGUUUGAGGACUCUACUAGACAUGCUCUAACCAUCCAACCACGGGUUGGUUUGCCUAUCUCGGGCCCUUGAUAGCAUCGCAAGCAUAACUUCCUCCGCAGUGCCGGUCGUACUUUCCAUUUCAUCAGAUCAUAGGGUAAAAUUCGGCGACUCUGUAUAUGAAAACCGACCAAAUAUCCACUUUGCUAAGCAACCCCGUUCUGACUUUUCGCGGGAUGACCGCGAUAUUUCUACCGUACAUUGCAUACGUUGGUCCCGUGGCAAAUACGAACGGCUGGUGUUUUUUCCGGGAAACACCAACACCAGCCGUGGCCGGUGCGUCUAAAAAUCUGGGGAAGUAUCCCCUCGUUUCGCCCGACCGUACACGCCGUAGCAACCCAUUCGCCCCGCUGUUGCCGCGACCGUCGUUAUUUUCCUCGGAAUGGAUCAAUGGAAGCAGCUUCGUGUUCAUUGGUCAUCGCUGCAACACGCCUUGACGAGAAGGCUUCGUUCAUCCACACACAAGAUAGGCUGCAGCGUGCCCGUCGUUAUCGACGGAAGCAAGCUGAGCGUACACUAUCAGUCGCAAAUGGCGGUUCAAUCAAGCCGCUGCAGGUGCCGGUGCGUACUGUCGCCUAGAAAACAGGCGUUGACCAGUGCAUACUCGCUGGGAGCACAAAAUAAGUUAAAAUACUAACCAUCAACUUCACUGAACAACCGCAUCGCAGAUGUGAAACAGCAAACACACCAUGCAACGGUCGCAGAACAGAUAAAACCAUCAACUCAAAUUUCCCACGACAUCUUAUCUUCCAGGUCAGCAAAAUCUAUCCUUGACAUGUCAUCAACAAAGAAAGCCCACGCCACGAAAACGCGGCGCCCAAAAAAAACCCGGCCAAAAAGCAAACAAUCUAGGUUUUCGACAUUAUCCAAAAGCAAAAUUUACAUUACGCUAGGAGCUAGCUAGGUUUCCUGAGCAUAUCUCGCCCUCUCCCUCCUAAUGAUGCUGUCUAGUGCUUCUUAGGAUUAACGACCAAGGCCUGGCAGCACGAAGAGAAAGCAUCUGACACGUCGAGGAUCGGGGGGAGAGUGAAAGGAGGGAGGACGCCGCCCUUGUCGUGCGCAAAGGUUGUCAAGGCAUUCCCAGCGAGGGUGUGCGCCAUCGCGGUCUGCUGCUUGUUCAACCCCUCCAUGAUGCACGAGAAUGCUGCGAAGGUGGCGCAAUUCUGAAGCAGCGCUUGUGGUGUACCUGGAUUCAAGCAAACAAGCGUGUAAGAAAAUCAUGCCACCAAAGCCUCAACAAUUUAACAAAAUGACAGUGGUUGAUAUUAAUAAACAUAGUCGGUUAAAGGUAGCAGCCUGGGGGUAGCAAGUGCAGAUAUGAUCUUGAUUAAACAAAAUCAUGCUUGAAAUAUCCUUUCAGUGCAAACUUCUUCUUUUGUUAGAACAACUGAAGAUUGCUGCCUAGAGCUCCUUAGGCCAUGUACAAUGCAAGGCGCUUAGGGGAGGUGCUUGUAGAGAAAUAAACCAGCGUUUAUUUAAGCACCGGUGCUUAUUUGUAGAGGGUAGACACUUAAUUAGGCGUCUCUCCUAUAGAAACAGGCACUGGUGCUUCAGAGAAACCCGGUUUAUUUUUCUAAGCACCUACCAUUGUACAAGGCCUUGGACACUUGGGGUGUGUUUAGUUGCUGGAACGGACCGGAAUGUCACGGGUCCGACCCGUCCCUGGGCCUCGUUCUUGUGUUCAGUUAACAGAUGGAACGAUCACCACCUCGUUCCCAUAAACCGAAUAUUCGUCCCAGAUCCGGAACCGUGUGAGACCUCCAAAACGAGCGGACGACGCGGAACCGGCUCUCUCCUCACACUCCCACUCCUCCUGGCCCGCUGCCUCCCCCUCGCCUCUCUCUCUCUCGCUCGAUCUGCGCCGCCCCGCCCCGCCCCGAUUCCUUCCCUCGCCGCUGGCGAACUGCUUUUCUUGAUCUGCAGCGCUGCUCCACCUCCGGUCCCUGAUCUGGCCAUCCCGGGCGCAUCCCUCGUCUCCCUGUGUAGCACUCCUCGAUAGCAACGACGACGCGUUCCUACAGGCAGCGGCUGGAUUUUUGGUGGCAUUCCUUGGCAGCAGCGUCUUGCGGGGAAUCGAUUAUGCUUGCAACCACGGAGCAACAACCAUGGAGUAGCAGCAGCUGAGCCUCGGCAGGAAGUGGCUAGCAGGCAGCGGAGCGAGAGCAGCAUCGGCUUGCACAGAGAUGAGAGGCAGUAUAGGAAUUGCUUGGUGCGUAUGUUCGAUUGCUUCAACAUAGAGCUUAAUUAGUAUAUAUAGUAGCAGCAUCUAAUUUCUCAUGAUUUUUGUUUGAUGCGUAUGUUGGAUUGCUGGGUAAUGAUUUUUUACCUAUAUAUGUGUCUUGUUAAAUACUCCCUCCAUUUUUAAAUAUAAGGUGUAUUAGUUUUUCAAAAAGUCAACUGUUGUCUAUGUUUGACCAGCAUUAUAGCAAAAUAUAUAAAUAUUUACAAUACCGAAUAUAUAUAAUAUAAAAAUAUAUUUCAGGGUGAAUCUAGUGAUAAUGAUUUCAUAUUCUAGGUAUUGAUAUUUUUGUCAAUAAACUCAAACUUUGACUUUUUUCAAAAAUAAUACACCUUAUAAUUAGGAGAGGGGGUAGAAAAUAGUGUGAAUUUAUGUUUGUAUAUGCUUGAGUGUAUUUAUAAAUUGUUGGCCUUGGAAAAAAAAUUCAAAUGUUUAUCAGUAUUUGAUUACUCUGUUGCUGAAAAUACAAAGAGUAAAAUUGUUCAUAGUGUUGGUGAAAAUCAUUCCAUUCCCAACUCCCAAACCAAACACACAACAGGACCAUUCCAUUCCAGCUAAAUCUCAUAGCCAAACAUAGGAAUGGAACCGACCUAUUCCCGUGGAAUGGAAGCAUGACAUUCCAUUCCGCUUCGUUCUUGAACCAAACACACCCUGAAUACUACACUUGUUGAAAUGGCAUGACUGCCAUGAGCCAGAAGCACAUGCGCCACUGCCAGUAAAGCAACAGAGAGAUGCAGUGUGAACAGAGUGGGUAUGUGUGAUGCAUAAGAUUGUGUUUAGCACAUCACCAACUUAAACUAUAAUUACCACCACUGAUAAACACAUGCGCAUUGCAGUUUAAUUGGAGUGCAAGAUGUGAAGUCCUUAACAGUAUCUCAAAGAAUUCAAGGGCUUGGUCAGUUAAAUGGACUCUUUGCAUUGUUGCCCAGUGGCUGCAGGACUCCAUAACAAGCAAGACAGGCAGUUAGUGUCUUCUACUGUUAAAAUUGUAGAUGAUGCUUCAUCUUAUCAUGCAAACAAUAACUCCUGAUUUUAGUGAAUUACGUACAAGUGAUAUUGGGCUUAUUGUAAAUUAAUUUACUUGAAAUUCUACAAUGAUAAUAAGUAAUUCAGUCUUGUAUUUCCAGGCCAAUUUCAGUGCAUGUUUGUACUCAGUUUCUCUAAGUAAGUAUGAUAACAAUAUACAUCAUGAACUGGACACACAGCUAAAAUUAAACUUUAUCACUCAAUGGAUAAAUUACACAGUUGGAUAACAAACUAGAAACCUAAUUAUAACAUGUUCGAAGUGUUGAUUACAAGGACCAUCCCAGAAUCCAUGCAUAGGAGCUUAGCAAUUCAUAUUUACAGAAAUAACAUUUUCUGAUAAUCUAAAGAACAAUCUUUUUUAUGUAUUCCAGCAACAAGAAUAACAACAAAGAGUACUUUGUCACCAGAAAGUGAAGACAAAGCCAAAAACUGCUUUCAACUACUACCAAAUUUUUUCAGAACAUUAUGCAAUACCACCGAAUAUCGCAUCACAACAUCUUCAUACUAAUACUAAGCAAUGGCAAUCACAAUCUAUAUCUAUAUCUAUACCUAAUAAUAAAGCGGCUAUUGCUUCCGUCGGAAAACCCACCGCGGCAUUUUUAUAAAAAAGCCCCUGUAAUUUUUGUUAUUCAACCUGCGCUCCAUCAUUUAUCUGCAACGUAAAAGGAAAAAACGAUUCGCUGCAAAAAUUAUACCCGUACGCAUCGCCUCCUCCCGUCUACCCUGGGCCACCCUGGCCUGUGCCCAGGCCGCCGCCACACCACUCGCCGCCGCGGCCGACCUCAACCGCCACUGCUGCCGAUCUCAACCCAUCCGCCUCCGCGGCCGUACCUCUCCCCGCUCAACUGCCCCUGUUGCUGCGCUCAAGCGCAUCGCGUCGACCCUGGUCCACCCUGGCAUGUGCCCAGGCCGCUGCCACACCACUCGCCGCCGCGGCCGACCUCAACCACCACUGUUGUCGAUCUCAACCCACCCGCCUCCGCGGCCGUACCUCUGCCCGCUUGCUGCACCCUGUUUCGGCGCUCGAGCACAACUUCUGGAUCAAAUCAACGCGACAGCUACAGUGACUGGGGAUGAUGCGUCUGCUCGAUGCAGAACGGCGGCGGCGCGCGGAUAAGGCGCGGCGGAGCGAAGUACUUGCAGGUGGAGGCGGGCCUCCAUGGCUCACACGGGGAACUCCGAGGUUAUGGCGCGGCAACGGCAACUCCUUAUGACCAGAUAGAGGCGCCUAACCCUUGCUCCCCUCAUCGUAUCCCCUCCUCCGGCAGGAACUCAUCAUCUGGUGAGAUCCCCUCCCCAUGCCUCCAACCGUGUGCGAAGCACCGGCAAGAAAUUUUGUUUUGUGGAGAUUUGUUUGCUGAUGAAUGGAUGUAUUGAAUGUAAGAUUGUAUUGUUGUAGAGACAGAGAAUGGAACACCACCUUCAGUUUGUCAUCUGAUCCCACAUUCUCUACCCCAUGAGUGAAAUAAGAUAACAGUCCAUUGAUCAAUUCACGUAGCCUCAUUGUUUUGCUUUGCUUGUCCCGCUCAAUUUCUCAUCAUGGUGGAAUUAACAAUGGACGGGUUGAUUUCUCAACAAAAUAGGAUAGGACUGACUACAUUAGUUAGUUAGCUUAUUAUUUUAAUAAAUCAAAAUGAUUAUAAAAAGAUUAAAAGUGUGUGGUAUUUUUUUCUUCCGUUGCAAUGCACGGGCCCUUUUGCUAGUAGUAAGUAAGCGGUGAAAAAUGUUGUUAGUUCAAUGUGAAUGUACCUGGAAAACUCAAAGCAAGACCUGUGCAACAACCAGCAAUGCCGGAAUUGAUAACUGCAAAAGGAACAUGUUAGUUCAUACUGUGUAUCCAACUCCCAAGGUGUUAAUAAAAAGGUGACCACUAAAAAGAUGCACAUACUAUCAUCUUUCCCACGCAGCUUCCUCAACAAGCACAAAACCAAACUCUGGACACCAGAUAGAACCGCAAAACUCUGGUCCAAGAAAUUUAUACCAUCAGCAAGCAGUUUAUGAAAAUGAUAGGGCAAUUUCCUAGUUAAGAAUAUGCACACAAAGGUGGACACAAACUUUGGCAGAAGACCCUGCAUUGCCGAGUGAGCCCUUGAAGCCCUUCUUAGUUAGCAAACCUUGUCCUGAAAAAAGAACCCCGAGGUGCAAUGUAAGGAUUUUAUGUGAGGGAAUUAAACGGGUGUCACAGGUGUUGUUAGUGACAGCAUGUAGAGCACUAGUGCCUCCGUUAUGCUAACAGAAUAAGUAUCUAAAUAUUUGAAGAGAAAAUAAGGAUAUAAAUGAAGAUUAAAUGAAUACAAACAAUGGGAGAUUAUAGUUAACUAAAAGGAAUUGUAUCAAAUGUGCACAAUCAUAUAAUCUUAGAUUCUAGCAAGAACUGGGUGCAAAACCUAAGGCAACGGAAUUUCCUAAUAAGAACUGAACACUGAUAACAGAAAAUUCUCAGACCGCCCGCGACAGAAUUAACCAAAGCAUCACGGCAGAGGAGAGUAAUCCGGAAAAGGAUAAGAGGGGGGGUGGGGGGUUGAUUACCAUAUCCAAAGAUAGAUCCGACGAAGGCGCCGCCGGCGAAGUCCCCGGCGGACCUGAGGACGCAUACGGCUGGACCGGCGGCAAGAGGCGGGAGGGAUAGGGAGGAGCCCCCCUCGGCGGGGUUGGUCCCCACGUCGCCGUCCGACUCGUUGUCGUUCCUCGCCGCCAUGUCCGUCCUCCCUGCAAGUUCCGUUAUCGUUUGCCCAGGCCCAGGGUUGGAGACUUGGAGUAUAGAGGACGGGACUCCAGCCUCUGGUAGGCGGGUCCCGCUGCCAGUUCCCCCGGGUUGGGUAGCCCGGCCGGCCGGCCGGCUUUACAAGCCCAAUCGAACAAACCAUAUUAAACAAAGCCCAAUCAAACAAACCAUAUUAAAUAAGCCCAAUCGUAGCGGACGACAGACAAAUCGUCCGUUGCAGAGGUGCCCUCUAAUCAGUUUUUCCUUUUUUCUCAAAAAAAAUAUAAAUAAGUUUUUCCUUUUGCCUAAAAAAUACUAUAAAUUAGUUUUACUGACUUGUUUCUAGGGGAAAUUUUGCGACUCCUUUUAAGUAUUUUAUUCUUAAACUUUGGAACUUGUUUACCACAUUCGCACGCAGAAUUUAUUUAUAGUACAUUUAAUCAUGUACGUUCAAGUUCGUCAAAAAAAAAAGAUCAUGUACGUUCAACAAAAGAAAUUCACCCAUGUGGCAAUCUGAACUCUGAAGACGCAUGAGGCGAGCACUGUGAACUGCCUCAGAACAAUGUGUACCGUCUCAUUAACGAUUCAUAUACCCGUCUACAGUUCCUGAUUACUGUAACUUGUUCCAUAUGCUGCCAUGGUAAAUUGUUCUGAACUUGCAACAUUUCACCUCAAAACAUCAGGCGCCACCUCAACUGCUCAGGAACCCAACACAGGGUUCUUCCUAUUAUUGCUAUAUACUCCCUCCGUUCCAAAAUAAGUGUCGCUGCUUUACUAUAAAAUUUGUACUAACUUAAUACUAAAUUUGCGUCACUUAUUUUGGGACAGAGGGAGUAUAUCUUUAUACGCAAUUGCCUGAAGCAAUUGUAGCCAGAUGAAGGCAGUACUCAUCAGCAUGAGUGUGCCGAUACCGCACACAAUUAGCCUGUAUCAGUUUGGUACUUUGGUGAAGACCAGCCACUGAUGCAUGUCCACUGCAGCACAACUUGGGACACAUAAUCAGAUGUCACCAGCUUCCUAUGGUCAGAGGAGAGCUCAACGGGAGUUCAGCUGCAGGCGCCUCCAAUGUCACCUGAGAGAUAGGGAUAAUGAGCUCUAGCAAGGAAAGAUGGAGCAGUAUGCUAAAAGAUGGUAUUUGCAGAAGUGGGAGUGUCAAAAAUUAGUACCUCCUUAAAAACUGCACUGUGGGAAGCAUCCUUGAAGCCCUGAGUUCAGACCACAGAACAUACAAUUAUGAUCCAGCAAUCAGAAACAAACGAGGAGAAGGGGGGCAAGAACGGCGGGUUCAUCUGCUCACCAAUUUUCUGAAGAGCUUUAACGAUGCAGUAUUUGAGUCACUAAUUUUUGCUCUGAAAGUGUGAAUUCCGUAUUUCUCUACUGCAAACGACAUCAUCAUUAAGGUCACUUCUUGACCUAGUCCCUUUCCACGGCUGCAACACGAAGCAAUGGAAGUAUGGAACCAUGAGUAACAUAACUGAACACCAUCAGUCUAUCACAAUCUCAUUUCAAAACAAUCUGCUAAACUCUAUAUUAUGAAUGAGUACUGCAUCAAGUAAUAACAGUAGAUGUAAAGCAACUACGAAUUACGUUGUGUUUGUUAACAAUUUAAUCACUUUAUAACACUGAGAUCAUGUCAAGGGCUUUCACAGGAGCAUAAGCGUUUGGGGCUUUGGGCAAUACAGAGGUUAAAGAUUUGCAACACUAAGUUUAUAUUAUCUCUCUGUUGCAGGUACACAAAACGGGCUGCGAGAAAACAUAAUUCUAGCGGAUUAUUAAAUAGUAGCAUAUUGGUGAAAUUUCCUACGAGUGCAGUUGGUGAAAAAGUAUCAGUGUAUCACACUACUGAUAAUUCAAAGGAUAAUAAGUUGAGUAGUUGCAAUUGUAACCAGUUUUUAAGCUAAAACAGAUACUCAUGACAUACACAAUUCAAUGUGAAGCCCAAAUUGGACUAUCAAAGCAUGUUGGCUGUCAGAAUGGACAGAGUAUGCAUGUAAUUUCCCAUGAAUAAAAAAUAAUGAAAUAUAGAACAUAUAUCUAAGUUGAUGAGAAGAGGUACUAAACCAACACUUAAAAGAUGGUACCUCUUUUGUUCAGCUAUCAUAAUCUCUAUCUCCGCAAGUUCCAAAUCAUCAGGGUCAUUCAUAUAGAUGUUGACAUCGCCAAUCAUAGCUGCAACAGAUUAGGAAGAGCAUUAACACUAGCAGGACCUGGCAAACUGCUAAAUAUGAAAUCAACGCAAAUUUAACUAAUCACAUUCAUACAUAGAUGCUUUCAGUAGGGCACCACUGGAUUGUUUGAGGAGACCUUACUUGUGCUAAACCAACCUAUUGCUAGGAGAUUCUUGUACAUUGGUCGGAAGUCUGAAGUUAUGAACAUAUACUAGUAAUGAAGGCUGAAGGACAGGCAAGUGAGCUACAGAACCUAGAGGAGGAGAACAGUCCUUGUCUUAACUGUUGUAUGCAUACAACAAUGAUCUAGACUUAGAUCACUACAUCAACAUCAGGAUCCUCUAAACACUAUAGUAGAGAUGUGAAUUCAAAUUUUAACUUGAAGACUUCAUUUGCACCCUACAAAUACUGGUAGUGAAACGUCUGUAAAUUCAUUUGAGUAGCUUUCUGUGUCAACUAGAGAUAUGAAGUUCAUAUAUAACUAACUGACAUCAAAUAGUACACAGUUUGAUGAUCAUGAAGUCAAAUGCGUAUUGUUUUCUACCUGAAAAAUGUGUAUCAUCUUUCAUCUAUAUGUUCUAGUAACUCUGGCAUAUAAUUGAAGGACUGAACCGGCAUUCCUCCUCCCCUUAUCCAUUUUCCACCCAGAAGAUCUGGGUGCUCUCCACCCCCGCUUGACAGCUGAGGCCUCCUCCUCCCAACACCGUUGCAUAAGUCUAACAUGCUACUGUUAGCCCAUUAGAUUGCUCCAAUAUUUAAUUCCCAAACCGUUCCUCCUUUGAGGAACCUCAUUGCGUAAUGGUCUACACAUUCCAUCUCAUCUGACCACAGAGAAGAAUCAAAGGUACAGAAAUGGCAUGGUUUUGUUUUGGUAUUCUAAAUAUUCGAGUCUCAGUCAAUCUACGCUUACACCAGAGCCACAAUAUCCUCCUCACAACAUGUAUGCAAAACUGCAACCAGAAUCGUACCAGAUUCAUGUAACCUCUGAUUCCCAAUUCCUAUCAUGGACUGAGCUAAUCAAGUUAAAACAUUACUGAGCAACGUGCAGAAGAGAGUAGCAAACCUUCGGUGUGUGGGUUCCCGACCACGAAGUCUCCCUCGAUCAACUCCUUAUCCAGCACUAUGAAAGUGUGUUCUGCACACACACACACACACACACACACACACACACAAACAAGCAUCUCACUGAAUCAGUCGCAGCGCGUCAGCUCACCACCAAAUCUGGGGCAAACUAGAGGAAGGAGAUCGGGGAAGCAGCGAGGGGGAAGGAGCUCAACUGAGAGGGUCGAGGGUCCAGGAGCGAUGGACCUCGAACUCCUGGGCGAGGGAGAGCGGCUCCGACGCGGUGGCCUCCAGCAGCGCCGGGUCCUGCAUCCACUCGUGGUACCGCGGGACGUGCUCACGCAGGUACGGCACCAGCACCGCGCGCUCCCCCACCGCGUACCAGCUUCCCUUCCGCCCCCUCCCGUCGUCAUCUCCGCCCUCGGCCGCAGCCGCCGCGGCCACCGCCGGCUCGGCGGGCGCCUCCAUUGCAGCCGCAGGCAGGGUUUCAGCUUCGGCCCACGGUCCACGGAACAGUGGGCCGCCGCGUCAACUUUCUUACACAUUAAUGACCGAUUUAUCUGCCUCUAAAAAAAUGACCGAUUUAUCAGCAAGUACGCCACCGUCAAAGGAAAACGUACUAGUACAGUAUUUCGUAAGCUCUCUACGAUGGUGCUACACUAGAGCAGCGAAACAAUUACAAGGCGGAAUUCUGAAGCAGUGGAAUCUUCACAGCUUCACGCAGACUGCUAAACGAAGGGAACGGUAAACCCCAUUGUUAGCUGCUCAUGGAGGAAGGGUGAUCGGGUGAAAGAAAUGAUGGAAAGAUAGAUUGGCCUCGCGAAAACUUGGACUCGGAGGGGUAUAAAUAUAGCCAUCACUGCUGGUCUAUCUCUAACCUUUUUAGCAUAUAACGUGAAAGAAGAAGGACGCAUACAUAUAGCUUUUCAUCAGCCAAAAAAGACUGUCAAUGUGCAUUGACAUGUCCAGAGCUACUUUACCGCUGCUACAAAAUACAUUGGGAUGCUGGAGGGAACUGAUAUUCGGAAGCCCCAUAGUCCCGCCUUUGGUAAUUACGAGGCAUCGAGUAAAAUGACGAUGAGGAAGUAGAAGGUGUCGUUUGACUUUGUUAAGGACGAUAUGUCUGAGCAGGUAGAGCACUUAGGCUGUUCUACAGAAACAUUCUCUUGUUUUUGUUUGUCAGAACUUUAUAAGAUAUUCAUUUGUAUUAAACAUACUCGGAUGGUGUCCUAUAGAAGAGUGGAGGACAUUUCGCAAAGCUUGUGCCGACAACCAAUGAUGUAGUUUUUGCUGGUUCUUUGUGUUCUCUUGAAAAAUAAAAUGUGCUUAGUUUAUUUAUUUUUCAUACUUCCUCCACAAAUAGGAAUUUAGAAGAUCCAUUUUGUUUCCUACAACUUACUUUAAAACAUGCACACAAUGGAAUUAAGAAUCCAUUGCUCUCUUCAGAUAAGAUAUCGCUCUAUGUAUGAAAGCAAUGACCGUUAUACCAAUUACAAACUUAAAUGGUGUAUGGAAAACAAAUAAUAAUAAAAUGUUGUCUUCUUUUCAUAAAGGGGUGAUCUCUUUAUGACUAACAGAUGCCUGAUUUUCUCUUCUUCAAAAGGUCUUAUUUUGUGGCAAUUCUGAUUCAAAUUAAAUUACCACAUAUUUUUACAUCGAAGUAUGCAUUAAAUUACCCCAUGUAUGUGCUAGUAAUGCUAGUUAGUAAAGCCAUUUUUGUGUUGGAUUGGAAUCAUAGUAAUCAGCGAAACCCCAUGUCACCUAGAAAAAUCACCAUCAAAACAUUCAAAUGCAAUAUUUUUCUGGAUGUGGAAAAUUCAUACAAACAUGAUGCUCUCUCUGUUUCGCUUGCACGCAUAAGUACUGAAUUUUCGGUGCAAUGCAUUACCCCCUUGUGUUUUGGAGAUUGCUGUCAGAAACAGUCAUGGACUGAUUUGCUUGCUAGUGCACACAGAGAGAAUUAGUCCAUGAAAAUCCGAGAAGAAUGAUAUAUUCUGUCUAGAAGUUCGAAGAACUUCAUCGAAGAUUAUCUAUGUUGUGGAGAAGAAGAAAGUAUAUCUCAAGAAAAGAUGACACUGAGAAGAAUAUGUGAAUAGAUUGAUCCCAUAAAAUGUUGCUGACGCAAAGCAAUUUUCAUUCGUGUGUCCCAAGUAGAAUGACUUUAGCUGAGAAAUGUGACGAUGAAGUGAAGAUGUAGCAUUUGUUUUGUUGUUCUUAUUUGUCUUAUUUAAGUCAUAGUACCACCUACUAUUAAGAGGGGUAUAGGUCAUCGAAGCUUAGGUACAUUGUGUUGCUUAGUCGAAACCUAUGAAGGACUGAGAGAAAUCUCUUUGUGCUCUGAAUGGUUACUUGACAGCAAGAGACAAAGUUCUUUUGAGAUAUCCUUAGAACCGAGGAUUUGGCUUUACUUGCUCCGCAAGGAAACACUACAUCGGGAAGGUCCUAAGAUGACACGUGUCUCGCAGACCAUUCGGCCAAACUGUAUGCGAUGAUAAAUCACAAACGCUAAUAAAAUAAAGUCGCGUGCAAGAAAAUGAAAUGUGUGACAUACCAUCCAUUAGGCGUGAUAAUGGUAUGCACACCAUGUGUGAUAGUGGGCACACACUUAGAGGCAAAAUUAUGUGUGAUAUAUGUAGUCGUAACGCGCACGGUUGCAAUGUUCUAAGUGACUGUGUUUGUUGGAAAACACUUUAUAGAAACAAAUUGUUUGCGAUAGUUAGGACCAUCUCACAUGUUGCGUAGUGUGAGUACUCAUGUAUUAUGAUUUAAAAGUUACUAGUACCGAGAAACUGGAGAUGGACUUGUUAGUUUUGUUGAUUCUGAUUUUGCUGGUGAUUUGGAUAAGAGAAGAUCACUCACAUGUUAUGUUUUCAUCAUUGGUGGUUGUGAUGUGAGUUGGAGAGCAACUUUGCAGUCUAUUGUGGCUUGUUCCACUACUAAUGCCGAAUAUAUGGCUAUUUCUGAGGCAUGCAAAGAAGCUAUCUGGUUGAAAGGUUUAUACACUGAGCUUUGCGGAGAUUCAUCUUGCCCUACCAUAUUUUCUGACAGUUAAAGUGCUAUAUAUCUUACAAAGAAUCCAAUGUAUCAUGAGAGAACGAAGCACAUUGAUGUCAGAUUUCACUAUGUUCGAGAUGUUGUUGCUAAAGGUGAUUUGAAGGUAUUAAAGAUAAGUAUUCAUAAGAAUCCAGCUGAUAUGAUGAAAAAGUCAGUUCCUACCAAUAAGUUUGAGCUUUGCUCAAGCUUAAUUGGUAUUUCGCACUAGUCCUUUGGACUUUGACGCACAAGGUGUUUAUGCUGAUUUGGAUGGAGUUAUUCACUUUCUUCGACUACUGGAAGGAAUCUGGCUCAAGGUGGAGAUUGUUAAUUUGUGAUCUAAAUUCUACUGUAUUGGACUAGACGUAGUACAAAUGGUGUGGGCUUUUGCGUUGGUACCGACAUGUACGAGUACAACUCGUUUACUUGUCCUCCAAGGACUCUCAUGUAUUGCCCCUCAUAUAUACUUCAUGUAGUCGCACCUAAAGACGACCUGUCGUCUCGUGCUUGUAAUACUCCAUCCUUAUAGUGAUUGCGCCUUCGUGCGUCCGUGGUUUUCUUCCGCAAGGGUUUGCACGUAAAAAUUUGUUUGAUCUGUGGUCCACGGAGCAGUGGGACAUGGCCUCAACUGAUUUACCCUGCCUAAGUCAUUCACUCGUCACUUGGUAUGCCACUUGGUAUGCCAGUUCAAACUGGAGAAGGAUUUUGCAAUUAUCAAAACACGCUACCAAUAUGCCGCUUUUGCGGAUAAGGAAAAAACAUCACUUGACGGCGAAAUUCUAAGGCAGUGCAAAUUUCAUGCAAACAUGGUGCUCUAUCUGUGUUGGUUGCCUGGAUAGCUAUAGCAUGACUACACACAUUGUUGGUUGCUCAUGCGUAUUGGCAUGGGAAGGUGAAAGAAUUGGAUAGAUUGGUCUAUAAAGUGAGCCAUCUUUUAGCCAGUUUAGCGUAGUUAGCAGCAGCAGGAAACUAUCACUGUGUUAAUAUAGGUUCAGAAGAGAUUGAUGGGAACAAAAUGUAUUGUGAUGUUGGAGGAAACUGAUAUCGUAGUGUGUACGUUCAGGACUGGUUUCAGAAUUUGUGCUGACUUGACGACUGUGGGAUGGAGAGUAAGAAGCCAAAGUGAGGAAUGCAAGAAAAUUAUCAGAAUAAUUGCUUACCUGUGAAUAUGCAUCUGAUUGCGUUUAUAUAAAAUAAUAUUUGUCUUAUGUAUUGUAACAUCUUGAUUUCAGCAAGAUAUUAGGAAAACUGUAUGGCUUCAUGUUUGAAACCAUCAAAACAUUCCCUGCUUCCUUCAAAUGAGUUUUUGUGUGCAAAAUAUAUAUGAUACUAUAUAUCAGUUACCACUGUUUAUUUUGAGAAAAAGAUUGAAGGGGGUCCCUAUAGGGUAAUAAUUAGAAGCCAAAAUCCGAGUCCACUAAACUUGAAUUUACAUGGUGAAAUUGCACAAUCACUGAUUAGGAUCAACAACAGCAACAAACAAUUCUAACAGUCCAUUAACAGCAAGACCCAACUACAGAUGAUAACAAUGAUCCAGGUGCCAUGAGCCCUCCCUGAACGCAUGCUAUUCACACGCUGGCACUCCACUAAUCCUCCUUACAGAUUUUAAGCAUAUGAUAAACUCCCUUGCUUUCGCCCAUGCUACUUUUCUCCGAUCAUGCGCUUUGCCAACAAGAAUCACACAACUCUCGUCGGUCGGAGCCGUGCCUUCAAAGCCAAUAAUGGCAAGCUUAGCCAGGACCAUCAUCAUCAUAAUCAUCAUGAUCCUAACCGCUAAAGCUCACGCGAAACAUUUCCCAGCCGAUCGAAUCCAUGGUAGUAUCACAUCACCACGCCGGUCGUGGGCGAGCGGCCACCAAAUCUUCCACUUAGCAUCAAUCAGUCUGCUCACUGCUGUGUGAGAUCACCUAACCUAGUAAAUGUAGCAUUAAUAGGCUGGUAAAUUGCAAUUGAUAUACUAUAGCCCAUAAGCAAAAUGUAAAAUUCUUAUAACUUACUAGUCUUUUGGCAAACUUAUGGAUGCGAAUUUGGAACUUUUAGGGUAUCCUCCGACCCUUCUUCUGUUGUAUCGUUUCAAUUUUAUCCGAGGGGAUCCUCCGACCCUUCUUAGUUCAACUAAAUAAACUAAAUUUCGCCUGCCUAGGCAAACUCUUACUGUGAUUUAGCAGUUCGUCAGCUUUGAUCCAUGUGCUCCUUUCACAUUCUUCUUCAGUUGAGCUGGCCCAUCCACAGUAUGCAAGCAUGUGUGUCUGAAACUUCCAUUGUGCAGCUCAAAUUUUGGUUAACUACUACAGUCGCAGCAUGCCUUUUGCACCUACCACCACCACCGAUCUAACCCAGGAGGCAAGUGCAAGAUGGGGCCAAAGUUGGGCACCACACAGAUCACCACAGAAUAUUUUCAGGCCUGUUUGUGGAGGCUCUCCCUCCCUUGCCUUCGAAGCCAAGAACCCAUCAUCGAAACGGAACGAAAUACACACAACCAACCAAACGGGAGCAGCACACGCGGUUCACAGCCAUCAUCACAUUUCACAAUCACCCUCCAAAACGCCCCACUAAAACCCCACUUACGAGCGCAGACAAAACCCAACCCAACGCACGCCACGCACACUCACACUCACACACGCCACCGCGCUCUGUUAGCUCGACACCGCUGCCCAGCUCCACGGGGGCACGAUCGAUCAACAACGACAAUGAGGAGAUUCGAUGCGCUGCUGAUGCUCGUUGUGGUCGUCGUCCUUCCGAGCGGCGGGGCGGCGGCGGCGGGGGCGCCGGGGCGGUGCACGACGUCGACGCCGGUGAAGGCGUACGCCAAGUGCAUCGCGCUGCCGACGCAGGGCGCGACGCUGGCGUGGACGUACGACGCGCGCAACGCCACGCUGGACGCGGCCUUCACGGGGUCCUUCAUCUCGCCGUCGGGCUGGGUGGCGUGGGGCGUCAACCAGGACGCGCCGGCCAUGGCCGGGGCGCGCGUGAUCGCCGCCUUCUCCGACCCGUCCACGGGCGCGCUGCUCGCGCUCCCGUUCGUGCUCUCCGCCGACGUCAAGCUCCAGGCCAAGCCCCUGGUGUCCCGCCCGCUCGACAUCCCGCUGCUGGCCUCCUCGGCGUCCCUCGUCGCGCCGGCCCGCACCGUCCGCGACGGCGCGACCGUGACCAUCGCCGCCACCAUCCGGCUCGCCCCGAACCGCACCAGGGUCCACUUCGUGUGGAACCGGGGCCUGUACGUGCAGGGCUACUCCCCGACCAUCCACCCCACGGACGCCUCCGACCUGGCGUCGCACGCCACCGUCGACAUCCUCACCACGGCGACGGAGUCGUCCCCCAUCGCGUCCCCCAGGCUGCAGUGGGCGCACGGCUCCCUGAACGCGCUCUCCUGGGGCCUCCUGCUGCCGGUGGGCGCGGCGCUGGCGCGGUACCUCCGGCCCUGCGCGUCGGCGGGGCCGGCGUGGUUCUACGGGCACGCGGCGGUGCAGGCGACGGGGUACGCGCUGGGGGCGGCCGGGUUCGCGCUGGGGAUCGCGAUGGGGGCGGCGUCGCCCGGGGUGACGUACAAGCUGCACCGCGGGCUGGGCAUCGCGGCGGCGACGGCGGGGAGCCUGCAGACGCUGGCGGUGUUCUUCCGGCCCAAGACGACGAACCGGUACCGCAAGUACUGGAAGUCGUACCACCACCUGGUGGGGUACGGGUGCGUGGUGAUCGGGGUGGUGAACGUGUUCCAGGGCUUCGAGGUCAUGGGGCUCGGCGCGUCCUACUGGAAGCUCGGCUACUGCAUGGCGCUGGCGACGCUCGUCGGCGGCUGCGUGGCGCUGGAGGUGAACGCAUGGGUGGUGUUCUGCCGGAGGCAGCACGAGGAGAAGCUCAUGCGGCGGGAGGUGGAGGACGUCGUCGUCAAGGACAGGGCCGCCGCCUUCUAGGUUCUAGCUAGCGCGCCGCGCCAUGAUCGGCGCCGUUGCUUCCCUCUGUUUUACACCGGCACGCAGGGCUUUUUUUUGAGAGAGCGAAGAUACAUUGAGAAUGCAGACACGGCCACGAAGUAAUUGAAUGGGUGCGGUCACGCGCCACGUUACCGGGGACAGGCAGUGCUUAUUGGUUUGUCGGAAGGUGGGCGUGUGAAUUCCUUCCCGGGCUGGUGUGUGCCGUUGUACUCCACUGUUUUUCUUCUCCUAGUUCUUGAUCUAUAGUUCUACUAUACGAUAGUACAUAGAGGAAUUCAUGUACAAGUUGUUCCACUUUUUCAGUUUCUCAGUAUAACUUUGCACCUAGCCGAUUCUUGGUAAAGAAACCACGUCAUGAAUUGUGAAAAAAGGUCUGCUUUUUUUACGAAAGAGGCACCACAUCUCUUUUUUUUUUUGGCAGAGCUCUGCGCCGGUGCGCCUGCCGAAACUUUUGGCCGGCUGCGCGCGGGUCAUACGAUCCAUCAACCCCCGCGCGUCUGCAUCCUUGGAUCUGCAUGCAACAUCUUUUUCCCCGAUGCAGCAAAAAUCUGACACGACGCAGCAAUUUUUUCAACGCUUGCAACAAAAAACAAAAAAUAUAGUAAAAAAAUAUCUACGUGAUCGUAGCAAAAAAACGAAGCUGAUGUUGCGUGGUAGCAAAAGUCAAACGCCGUUUGUAACAAAUAUCUACGUAAACGUGUAUGCAACUUUUUAGUGAACGGUUGCAGCAAAAAAUAAUGCAGGUUGUAGCAAAAAUUAACACGGUUGUAGCAAAAGUAAAAAACAUCGAUUGUAACGAAAAAUCCGACGAACUGGAGUUGCAACCAAACGUAUAUGCAUCUUUUUUACUGAACAUAUGUAGAAAAUAAAAACGUUUGUAGCAAAUAUGACGCUGGUUGCAAUAUUUUAGACAGAAAAAUGUUGCAUGCCCAGUCAGCGCUCAGCGCGCGAGCCGCGUGCGGCCGGCCGAACGGUUCGACCGGCGCACCGGCCAGAAACGAUUCCCUUUUUUUAAGGAUAACCUCCGGCCUCUGCAUGAGAGCAAUGUAUGUGGUCCCUUAAAUAAGAAUGCAAACACAAAGUCUGAAGUUCCGAAUAAUCUCUAACGAGUAAACAUAAACCAAAUAAUAAAAGUAAAGGAUGCCACAACCGGGAAAAAUAGGCCAAGUUGCCUAGCCAUCUAUCCUAUUACUGGACCGUCAUGGAGACCGGUUAUAGAUAUCCCGUGCUACUGUCUCCCAUCGGAUAGACCCAGUAACCAAAGGCUUCUUGAUUUCCGCAUGAGUGAGUAAGGACCACAUACGGAUGAAUGCCGACGCCCUGUGAAGUACCUGCAAAAAAUUUAUAUGUGUUUGUCUGUUUAAAGACCAAGUCAUUCCUUCAAUUCCAUAUCGCCCAAAGAAGUGUGCAAACUCCUAUGUGAAUAUGUCUAGCCAUAAUCAAGUCCACUCCAUUGAGCCACGCACCAAACAACGUGUCAAUGCUAUCAGGCGGUAUGAUAUUACAUGCUAUGAGGAUUGUCUGCCAUAAGAUUUUCGCUAAUGGGCAAUGGAGAAAAAGGUGUUUGAUUGUCUCCUCAUCAUCACAAAAGCUACAACGAGUACUCCCCUCCCAAUUGCGUCGUGUCAAAUUAUCCUUAGUGAGAAUCACCUUCUUGUGAACAAACCACAUGAAUACUUUGAUUCUUAAAGAAACCUUGAUCUUCCAAAUAUGAAUCGACUUGGGGACUACUGUUGUGUCAAUAAGGUUCACAUGCAUGGAUUUCAUAGAAAAGAUGCCCUUAUUUGUUAGCUUUCACUGAAGCUUGUCAGACUCAUCCGAUAGGUGAACAUCCAUUUGUCUUCUCACUAAGUGGAUCCACUCAUCCCAUCGAUGUCCUAUCAAAUCACGUCUGAAUUGAAUAUUUAGAGAAUUUGAUUGAAAUACUAUGGCAACGUACGCAUCCUUACGUUGCACAAUAUUGUAGAGAGACGGAUAUUGUUUGGCUAGAGGCGUCUCCCCCCCAACAAAGUAUCUUUCCAGAAUCUCGUAGACCGACCAUCUCCAAUGAUAAAUUUAGUUCUAUGGAAAAAUGAUGCUUUCACUUUCAUCAAACCUUUCUAGAAUGAUGAAUCAUUGGGUCUUGGUGUGAGCUGGGUCAAGCUUUUAGAAUGCAAGUACUUAUUACGCAAAAUUUGUAUCCACCUACCUUCAGUCUCUACAGAUAGUCUCAAUAGCCACUUACUAAGCAGGCAUUUGUCCUUAACCUCUAAAUUUUCAAUUCCAAGACCUCCCUCGUCCUUGGGUCUACAUAUAAUGUCCGAUCUAGUAAGUCUGUACUUCUUAUUUAUUUCAUCAUUUUGCCAAAAGAAACGAGAUCGAUAAAAGUCCAAUCUUUUGCGUACUCCUACAGGUACCUCAAAGAAGGAGAGAAGGAACAUAGGCAUACUUGUCAUGACCGAGUUAAUCAAAAUCAGCCUACCGCCAUAAGGCUAAAGCUUGACCUUCGAGCAGCUUAGCUUUUUCUCAAAAUGAUCCUCAAUACACUUCCACUCUUUGUUUGAAAGUUUACGAUGGUGAAUGGGUAUGCCUAAAUAACUGAACGUAAGCUCCCGAACUCAUAUCUGAAGAGUUGUUUAUAAUCAUCUUGUUCAUCUUUGGCUCUUCCAAAACAGAAAAAUUCGAUCUUGUGGAAAUUAAUUUUAACCCCGGCAACUGUUUGAAAAGGCAAAGGAUAAGUUUCAUGUUUCUUGCUUUUGCUAUAUCGUGCUCCAUAAACAAUAUAGUAUCAUCAGCAUAUUGUAGAAUAGACACCCACCAUAAACUAGAUGUGGUACCAGUCCACCUACCUGACCUUCCUCUUUAGCCCUUCCUAUUAGAAUUGCUAACAUGUCCGCAUUUACAUUAAAUAGGAUGGGUGACAUAGGGUCUCCCUGCCGGAGCCCUUUGUGCGUUUGGAAAAAAUGACCAAUGUCAUCAUUGAUUUUAAUUCCAACGCUCCCUUUUUGUACAAAUGAUUUGACAUUCCCUCUCCAUAUGUCAUCGAAUCCCUUCAUACGCGAAGCUUGUUGUAGGAAAGACCAUUUAACCUUGUCGUAUGCCUUCUCGAAAUCCACCCUGAAGAUAAACCCGUCUAGUUUACUCGAGUGGAUUUCAUGUAGGGUUUCGUGAAGGACAAGCACACCCUCAAGUAUGUUUCUCCCCGACAUGAAGGCUCUUUGACUAGGUUGCACGACAACAUGUGCAUUCUGUGUCAAUCUAUUAGUUCCAACCUUUGUGAACAUUUUGAAGCUCACAUUAAGAAGGCAAAUUUAUCUGAAGUUUUCAAUGUGUACUGCCCCUCCUUCUUUGACAACAACAUAACUGUCCCAAAGUUAAGGUGGAAAAGUUGCAGAUUGUCAUUAAACAAAUCCUGAAACAUCGCUAGUAAAUCACCUUUAAUAAUGUGCCAACAUUUAUUAUAAAACUUGACCGGGAACCCAUCCGGUCCUGGCGCCUUAUUAUUUUUCAUUUGUGAAAUUGCCUCAAACACCUCUUUCUUCAUAAAGGGUGCGGUUAAUAUCUCAAUCUCGUUUGUCCUGAGGAAUAUCACCCACCCACUGCUCAUUCAUGGACAACGUAUUGUCCUCAGGAGGUCCAAAUAGUUGCUUAUAAUACUCAGAUAUGUACACCUUUAGGUUUUCAUGCCCAACAACUGUACCAUCAUCUUGUUCAAGUUGAUAUAUUAUUUUCUUUGUGUUUUCCAUUGGCAAUAAGAUGGAAAAAUUAUGUGUUGUCAUCCCCUUGAAUGACGUGAUGCACUUUCACUCUAACUGCCCACUUCAGUUCUUCUUCUGUGAGGAUCUGUUUCAGAUUUUGCUCUGCCUCCGCUCUUAAUGCCCUCUCAUUAUCUUCCAAGAGGGCGGAUUCGGCUUUUAAAUCAAGCUCAUUUAUAAAUUGAGAUGACAACCAGUGAUACAAAGCUCCCCAAUAAAAAAUUGCAAUUGGGUACUUGGAUAAUCGACCCAACGCCCCCAUAGAAAGGGAGAUGAAGCAGGAUGAAGUACCACCAGAAAGGAGAUGAAGUGUCCCUCGCUGACGAUCAAGAAGGAGGAAAAUCUGAUGCCCUCCAUAAGAGACCAACGCAGCGGCGGCGACCCAACACACAAAUACAAGCUUUGUGACUCCACACCGACUUUGGAUCAUGCAUCGACACAACAACGAACCAGAGCAAAAUAUCCCUUUCAAGGUUUAAGUCGCCGCUACACCAGCCUUGAUCCAUUCCCAAGGGACAGCAGGAACACAUCUCCUUCACACAUUAACAGAUAUGUGUCAGGGUUGGUUGUUCUAGGAUUUUAAAUUUCCAUCAAAAUGACCCUUGUGCAUACGAGCCCCAGGAAUACUGUUAGGUAGUGCACAAUUCCUUCAUACAAAUAUCCAAGCAAUUACAUAAUUUUGGAGUACAAGACCAUCAUGGCCUAUGGAGUACAACAAAAUUGUGGGUGGUCGGGAUGCUGCCGACCUUUUUAGUGAGAAAACAUGGCAGAAUUAUCGCGUGUAGUGAUGAGGACAUCGAUACCAUAGUUACACCCACGACCCCUGUUACUACAUAUAUUGGGCCAAUUACUAGAGCUCGUGCACGCCAAUUAAAUGCUCAGGUGCAUCCAUUUCUUGGGAAUGAUUCUAAUGUUCAUGAGAAUAUUAUGCUGCCUAAACUAGAUACAUUUAUGUUUAUUACUAAUGAAGGGACUAGGAUGGACAAGAGGGGUGAACACUGGAGCAGGAUCAAGCAUGAAGAUGAAGGCGUGCACAAAGGAAACUAGAACCUCGUUUCUAGUGGAGUUUUCAGCAUUUUGAAGCCACAUGAUGACAUGCAAGGACAUGGUCGAAAUAUACAAGAUGAUCUUCCAUGAAUUUUCUCCAAAGUUUAUUAUAGGUUCCGCGUCACCUUAUUUUGGGGUUAGGUCCAUGUAAUUUCGAAAUACAAUUUAGUAGGAUCGUUUUAGAGUUUGUAUUAUAAGGGAAACAACUUAUGAGGUGUUUUCACUCCCAUCUUGUUAAGGUUGGACGAAAUCCCCUCCUUUCCCCCUAUAAAUACAACACUUAAGGCAUUGUUUAAACUUGGGCUUUGUUUAGAUUAAAGUUUGCUGCAGCUGCAACCCAUUCUGCAACUAGACCAAGAUGUCACAUAACCCCACUUUUAUCAAUAAAUCUUUCUUCUUAUAUUCGUAAUAUUCAAAUUGUAAUUUCAGUUUCUUACUUGUUCUUCAUUUGCAUGCAGGGAACAGAUCCUCGUGAUCAGGUUGAUCAUGCUCCGACAUGAUCAAUAACCUCUCAGAGUUGGUUUAGCAAUUGCUAAGGCGAAACCUCUUUGCACUGUCGUAGUCGGAUCAUCAAAAUCUAUUACACCGAAAAGGAUAGUUACCAUCUCAUCAAAAGAUGGUCCACCUUCACCUCUAUCAGGUAGUUGGCAUGCAACGAUCGUCAUUAAUUAGCUAAAUUCCCGAUGGGAUGGAAAUUCGAUCGUGUGUAUCCUUAACAGAGGGGGAAGGUGGGCCGCACAGGAGGACGAGGAGGGGCUAAAAUUUUCCUCCUCCGCAAACGGUUAGCAUGGAAAACCCUAUUCGGCGCUCCACGCGCCGGUUUAAGGGCAAUUUUCCUAACCGGUGCGUGCACCGUGUUAGCAGGCCUGGCCCAUUUACCUGUUUUUUCUUCCUCGUGUGAAAGGUAAAAAAGGAAGGCGACGGGGAGUUCGAACUCAGAAUCUGUUGGUUUACGUACUAGCGCACUCACCACUAUGGCAAAUACACCGAUGUGAAAAGUCAUAUUUUUCCCUUUUUUAUUUUCUCGAGUUCGCAAGAAGCCCCGAUUUUGGGAUGCUUGUAGAACUUUCUAAACCGGUUUUAUGUGGUUCGUUGGGUAAUUUUCCAUCUGGUUCUUAUUCGUUUUUUCUCUCUAUUUUAACGUUUCUUUUUCAAAAAUGAUGAAUUUUUUAAAAUUUUGAUGAACUAUUUAUAAAAAACUAUGAACUUUUUUACAAAUUUGGUGAACUUUUUUUAAGAUCGUUGAACUUUUUUUAAGAUCAAGGAACUUUUUCAGACAUGAUGAACUUUUUCGGAAUUGAUGAGAUUUUUUUCAAAUUCGAAUGGACUUUUUUAAAAUUCAUGAUUUUUUUCAUUUUUUGGAAAUCGAUGAACUUUUUUCAUUUUUUAAAUUGUACCUUUUUCCUUUUUAAGUGCAUAAUUGAAAGGAGGGAGCAGAAAAAACCAAACGGAUUUUAGCGAACGAAUAGUGACGAAUAGAGAACGAGCGAAGGAUUAGUGGGUGAGGCCUAAUAGGGAUCCCUAGUGUGCGGCAACUAAGUUAUUGGGCGCUGAAGGCCGGCAUUUCGUAUUUGACUCUAAAAACGUUAGUUAAUGUGCAUUUUUGUUAACUGAUGCCCGUGUCGUUCAAACUGGGCCAACCCAUCUAGGCGCUUAUGAUGUUUUUGUUUUUUUGAAAAUUCUAUGAACUUAUUUGAAUAUCGAUGAACUUUUUUUCAAUUUCAAAGAAUAAUUUUCACAAUAAAUGAACUUUUUUAAAUAAGGAUAAUUUUUUUUGAAAUUUUAUGAACAUCUUUUUGAAAAUGGAUGGACUUUUUUAAGAUUUAUGAACUUUUUUUUAGUUCAAUGAACUUUUGUAAAGAAUACAUGAACUUUUUUUGAACUUUUAUGCACUUUUUUUCAAAUUUAUUGAACUUUCUAAAAAAUUACUAAACUUUUUCUAAAUUGGAUGAAAAUUUUUCAUUUUAAAUGAACUUUUUUUCAAAUCCUGAACUUUUUCCAUAAUUGAUGAACCUUUUUUAAAGAUAUGAACUUUUAUCUUCAAAUGUGUAAACCUUUUUUAUUUUAUAUUUUUUCGUAAUAGAAAAUUAAAAAGGAAGAAACUGGACAACUUUUUAAUGGACCGACCCAUGCUUGCAGCGCUGCACGCGCCGGAUCGGUAACGGCUGCCUGUAGCGCUGCAUAGGAGCUUCCGUGGAGGCGUCGUAUAGGAGCUUGAUACGUCUCAAACGUAUCUAUAAUUUUUUAUGGUUUCAUGCUGUUAUCUUAUCAACUUUGGAUGUUUUAUGUACCUUUUAUAUCUUUUUGGGACUAACUUAUUAAUUCAGUGCCAAGUGUCAGUUCCUGUUUUUUUUUGUGUUUUUGACUCUUUUCAGAUCUGAUUUUGGAACGGAAUCCAAACGGAAUAAAAUCUCCGAGAUAAAUUUUUCAGAACAAAAGAAGAUCGGGGGACUUGAGGGCUGAUGACCCACAAGUAUAGGGGAUCAAUCGUAGUCCUUUUGAUAAGUAAGAGUGUCGAAUCCAACGAGGAGGAGAAGGCUGUGAUAAACGGUUUUCUGCAAGGUAAUAACUGCAAGCACUGAAAGUAGCGGUAACAAGUGAUGGUGUAGUGAGGUGAAACAUAACAAGCGAAAAGUAACAAGUAACAAGUAGUAGCAACGGUGAAGCAAGUGGCCCAAUCCCUUUUGUAGCAAGGGACAAGUCUGAAGAAAGUCUUAUAAGUGGAAAGCGCUCCCGAGGACACACAAGAAUUUCUGUCAUGCUAGUUUCAUCAUGUUCAUAUGAUUCGUGUUCGUUACUUUGAUAGUUUGAUAUGUGGGUGGACCGGCGCUUGGGUACUGCCCUUACUUGGACAAGCAUCCCACUUAUGAUUAACCCCUCUCGCAAGCAUCCGCAACUACGAAAGAAGAAUUAAGACAACGUCUAACCAUAGCAUUAAACUAGUGGAUCCAAAUCAACCCCUUACGAAGCAACGCAUAGACUCGGGCUUAAGCUUCUGUCACUCCAACAACCCAUCAUCUACUUACUACUCCCCAAUGCCUUCCUCUAGGCCCAAAUAUGGUGAAGUGUUAUGUAGUUGACGUUCACAUAACACCACUAGAGGAAAAACAACAUACAUCAUAUCAAAAUACCGAACGAAUACCAAACUCACAUGACUAUUAUUAGCAUGACUUAUCCCAUGUCCUCAGGAACAAAAGUGACUACUCAUAAAGCAUAAUCAUAAUCAUGAUCAGAGGUGUAAUGAAUAGCAUCAAGGAUCUGAACAUAAACUCUUCCACCAAGUAAUCCAACUAGCAUCAACUACAAAUAGUAAUCAACACCACUAGCAACCUUACAAGUACCAAUCGGAGUCAUGAGACGGAGAUUGGUUACAAGAGAUGAACUAGGGAUUGGAGAGGAGAUGGUGAUGAUGAAGAUGCCUCCCCUCCGACGAGAGGAGUGUUGAUGAUGACGAAGGCGACAAUUUCCCCCUCCGGAAGGGAAGUUUCCCCGGCAGGAUCGUCCUGCCAGAGCUCUAGAUUGCAUCUGCUCAAGUUCCGCCUCGUGGCGGCGGCGAAACCACGAAAAAGCUCCCGAAUGAUUUUUUCUGAAAUAAAUCCUUCAUAUAGCAAAAGAGGGGGGCCAGUGGGCCGCCAGGGUCCCCACAAGCCCUGUUGCCGCGACCAGGGGGGUAGGCUGUGGCAACUAGGCUUGUGGGCCCCUAGUUGCUCCCCUCUGACACUUCUUUCGCCUAGUAAUUUUUAUAAAAUCCAAAAAAAAUCCACGUUGAUUUUCAUGACAUUUGGAGUUGCGCGGAAUAGAGCACUCAGACUUGCUCCUUUUCCAGUCCAGAAUUCGAGCUGCCGGUAUUCUCCCUCUUCAAAUAAACCUUGCAAAAUAAGAGAGAAAAGGCAUAAGUAAGGUUCCACAAAGUAUAAUAACAGUCCAAAAAGCGAUAAAUAUCAACAUGAAAGCAUGAUGCAAAAUGGACGUAUUAACUCCCCCAAGCUUAGACCUCGCUUGUCCUCAAGCGAAAACCAAGACCCAAAACAUGUCCACGUGUUUAGGGAUGAAGGUGUUGAUAAAACAAAAUACGGACAUGAGGGCAUCAUGACCAUACAUAGAACAGGAACACAUCAUAGAGAUUCUUAUGGGAAAGUAACAAUUGCUUCACAAAGCAAAGUAUGAAACAAAAACCUUAUCGAGAAGUGGCCAACAACCGUCCAAAGUCAUUGAAGCAAUUGCAAUUUAUCACAUUAUCAGAAAGAGUCCAAUAAGAGCUUGUAAGGCAAAUCCACAUACUCAAUCAUCUCUUUUGUUUUCCAUCAUUGUUACUACUCACGUGGUACUCAUGGUAUUGAAGUUUCAGUUGGACACAGAGAAAGAUAGGGGCUUAUAGUUUGCCUCCCAACCAUUUACCUCAAGGGUAAAGUCAACAAUAAUAAAGCAUAAGUACUUAGCUCCAAGUUGAUAUAUGAAUAUAGAUCUUUCCCAAGCAUAUGACGUUCACCAAGAAAAAGGCUAAAUAAGGAAUUGGUGAAGAUCACCAUGACUCUUACAAGGGCAAAAAGUAAAUGUACAAGAUAGGCCCUUCGCAGAGGGAAGCAGAGGUUGUCAUGCGCUUUUGAUGUUUGGAUGCGUGUCCUCUUAGUGCGGAGGAACGUCACUUUAUAUUGCCUCCUAUGAUAAAGAACUUUAUUAUGCAGUCUGUCGCUUUUAUGUCUUCCUCAUCACAGGUUCGUACAAAGCUUAUUUUCCACACACUAAUAGAGCAUACAUAUUAGAGAGCAAUUUUUAUUGCUUGCACCGAUGACAACUUACUUGAGGGAUCUUAUUCCAUCCAUAGGUAGGUAUGGUGGACACUCAUGGCAAAACUGGGUUGAAGGUUUAUGGAUGCACAAGUAGUAUCUCUACUUGGUGCGGGAUUUUUGGCUAAUAUGAGGUGGAAGCAAUCGUCACAUGCUAAGGGAUCUCUAAUCAUAUAACAUUGUUUGGAACUAAGCAAACACAAUUCAUUAUGUUGUCUUCCUUGUCCAACAUCUACUUCUAAGCAUGUAAUAGUUUGGCUAGUGCUCACAAUUAUAGAAAGUGCCUAAGAUGAUAUAUUUAUAUGUGAACCUCUCUGUCCUUAUUACUUCUUAUUAAUUGCAACAAUGAUUGAGGUCUAUGUUGGUCUAUCUCAACAAGUUUCAAUCAUCAUACUUGUUAUAAGUGAAGCUAUCACUUUCCAUAAUAUCAUCUCAUGAUCUCUCAUGCUAUCGUUCUUUUCAUACUUUUGAUCACGGCACAAAACAAAGCCCUUGACUAAGAUACUCUUUAUUAUAUAGCUCGCAAGCUCGAAUACAUCGGGGGAGAGACAAAAGUAAAAGACUCAAUCUAAAACAGUAAAGACUUAUUCCACUAAGAGAAGAAAUAAAAACUGAAAAGGAAAGGACUAAAACAAAGGUAAAAGCAAAAGAUAUAAAGGUGAUACGAUACCAGGGCAACUCCCCCAAGCUUGGCAAAAGCCAAGGGGAUUGCCCAUACCAAUGCUUAGUUGUCUUCCUUUGGUGGUGAUGGUGGUGGUGUUGUUGAAGUAGUCUUGAGCUUGUCUAAUUUCCACUUGAGCAAAAAGUUCUGCUCCCUCAGAUCGUCAUUUUCCUCCGCAAGCUUCAACACUCUAUGACAAAGUUCCUGCUUACUCUCGUGCAAGAAACGAGAAGGGAUAAACAAGGUCUUAGGCUUCUUCCUUUGGUCAGGGAGGCUUGACUUCUUGAACUCCACGUGAGUGCAUCCAGGUUGGGGUAAAGGAGCCUCCUCUUCAUCGGAACUCGUUUGUUCCUUCCCCUUGGGCUCAUAGUCCUCUUCCUCGUCAGUAGUCCAGCCAUAAGGCUCCAAGUCCCCAUUAAUCCUGGAGUUAGCAUGAUCAUCGGCCAUAUAGAUCUCUUCUUCUGAAUCUUGAGAAGACAUCUUGACCUAAAUCUGCGGCAGACAACAUGCUCGAAACAUCUUGACCUAAAACUGCACGAUACGGAGAUCAAAACCAUCUGGACCAGAAGGAGUGCUCCGCAAGAAAACAGAGUCCGGGAGGCACACGAGCUGCCGACAAGCCCUGUUGCCGCGGCCAGGGGGGAGGCCGCGGCAACCAAGCUUGUGGCCGCCUCCUGCGCUCUCCAGACUGCUUUUUAUUUUUCUAAUUUUCCAUAAAUUCCAAAACGGAGAAAAAUUCCUAUUGGAAAAGUUUCGGAGUCCAAUUACUUACUGAGACAUAUACCUCUUGGUUUUUAGGGUCUCAAACAGGCUGAUAAACAUCCCUUAUGUACUCCUCUGGAGUUAUGAUAUUGAUGAUAUUGGUCUCAACAUUUAUGGGAGUACCAGAGAUAUAAUGCUUGAUUCUUUGCCCAUUUACCACUCUAGGAAAAUUGCCUUCCGUAUUACUGAUUUUGAUGGCACCGGAAUGAUAUACUUCCUCGACAAUGUAGGGACCUUCCCAUUAAGAGAGAAGCUUGCCUGCGAAGAAUCUCAAACGAGAAUUGUAUAGUAGGACAUAGUGACCUACAUUGAACUCUCGUUUUUGUAUUCUUUUAUCGUGCCAUCUCUUAACCUUUUCCUUGAACAACUUGGCAUUCUCGUAUGCCUGGGCCCUCCAUUCAUCUAAUGAGCUGAUAUCAAACAAUCGCUUCUCACCGGCAAGUUUGAAAUCAAAGUUGAGCUCUUUGAUUGCCCAAUAAGCUUUGUGUUCCAGCUCAAGAGGUAAAUGAGAAGCCUUACCGUAAACCAUUUUAUACGGUGACAUGCCCAUGGGAUUCUUAUAAGCAGUCCUAUAAGCCCAUAGUGCAUCGUCAAGUUUGCUAGACCAAUUCUUUUGAGAUCUAUUCACGGUCUUUUGUAAGAUCAAUUUGAUCUCCCUAUUACUCAACUCCACUUGACCACUAGACUGAGGAUGAUAAGGAGAUGCAACUCUAUGGUUGACAUCGUACUUAGCGAGCAUCUUGCGGAAAACACCAUGAAUGAAGUGUGAACCGCCAUCAGUCAUCAGAUAUCUAGGGACUCCAAAUCUUGGGAAAAUGUCUUCUUUAAGCAUCUUAAUAGAGGUGUGGUGAUCAACAUUUUUAGUGGGGAUAGCUUCUACCCACUUAGUGACGUAGUCCACAGCAAGUAAGAUGUGAGUGUAUCCAUUGGAGCUCGGGAAGGGUCCCAUAUAAUCAAAGCCCUAGACAUCAAAUGGUUCAAUGACCAGUGAAUAGUUCAUAGGCAUUUUCUGACGCUUACUGAUGUUCCCUAUUCUUUGGCAUUCGUCACAAGACAGUACAAACUUACGGGCAUCCUUGAAGAGUGUGGGCCAAUAGAAAUCUGAUUGCAAUACCUUAUGAGUUGUUCUGUCUCCAGCAUGGUGUCCUCUGUAAGCCUCGGAAUGACACUUCUUCAGGAUCUGUCCCUGUUCAUGUUCAGGCACACAAUGUCUAAUAACACCAUCUACUCCUUCCUUAUAGAGGUGAGGAUCAUCCCAAAAGUAGUGUCUCAAAUCAAAGAAGAAUUUCUUCUUUUGCUGGUAGGUGAAACUGGGUGGUAUGUAUUGGCUACGAUAUAGUUUGCGUAAUCAGCAUACCAUGGUGCACUAUGUGAAGUGCGGAUGACAUUCAAUUGCUCAUCAGGAAAGCUGUCAUCAAUAGGUCGUGGUGUUGGGGAACGUCGCAAGGGAAACAAAAAAUUUCCUACGCGCACGAAGACCUAUCAUGGUGAUGUCCAUCUACGAGAGGGGAUGAGUGAUCUACGUACCCUAGUAGAUCGUACAGCAGAAGCGUUUAGAGAACGCGGUUGAUGUAGUGGAACGUCCUCACGUCCCUCGAUCCGCCCCGCGAACAAUCCCGCGAUCAGUCCCACGAUCUAGUACCGAACGGACGGCACCUCCGCGUUCAGCACACGUACAGCUCGACGAUGAUCUCGGCCUUCUUGAUCCAGCAAGAGAGACGGAGAGGUAGAAGAGUUCUCCGGCAGCGUGACGGCGCUCCGGAGGUUGGUGAUGAUCUUGUCUCAGCAGGGCUCUGCCCGAGCUCCGCAGAAACACGAUCUAGAGGAAAAACUAUGGAGGUAUGUGGUCGGGCAGCCGUGAGAAAGUCGUCUCAAAUCAGCCCUAAUACCUCAGUAUAUAUAGGAGGGAGGGGGAGGGAAGAGGCAGCCUCAAACCCUCAAGGUUUGGCCGAAAUUGGAGGUGGAGGAGUCCUACUCCAAUCCUACUUGGAGUAGGAUUCCACCUUCCCACUUGAAAACUCUUUCCACCUUGUGUUUUUUCCUUCUCAAACCUUAUGGGCCUUAGUGGGAACUUAUUCCAGCCCACUAGGGGCUGGUUUAUCUCUUCCCAUAGCCCAUGAUACCCCUUGGGGCGUGACACCCCUCCCGAUGGUCCCCGGCACCCCUCCCGGCACUCCCGGUACACUACCGAUGAGCCCGAAACUUUUCCGGUGACCAAAACAGGACUUCCUAUAUAUCAAUCUUUACCUCCGGACCAUUCCGGAGCUCCUCGUGACGUCCUGCAUCUCAUCCGGGACUCCGAACAACAUUCGGUAACCAACCAUAUAACUCAAAUACGCAUAAAACAACGUCGAACCUUAAGUGUGCAGACCCUGCGGGUUCGAGAACUAUGUAGACAUGACCCGAGAGACUCCUCGGUCAAUAUCCAAUAGCGGGACCUAGAUGCCCAUAUUGGAUCCUACAUAUUCUACGAAGAUCUUAUCGUUUGAACCUCAGUGCCAAGGAUUCAUAUAAUCCCGUAUGUCAUUCCCUUUGUCCUUCGGUAUGUUACUUGCCCGAGAUUCGAUCGUCAGUAUCCGCAUACCUAUUUCAAUCUCGUUUACCGGCAAGUCUCUUUACUCGUUCCGUAAUACAAGAUCCCGCAACUUACAUUAAGUUACAUUGCUUGCAAGGCUUGUGUGUGAUGUUGUAUUACCGAGUGGGCCCCGAGAUACCUCUCCGUCACACGGAGUGACAAAUCCCAGUCUCGAUCUAUACUAACUCAACGAACACCUUCGGAGAUACCUGUAGAGCAUCUUUAUAGUCACCCAGUUACGUUGCAACGUUUGAUACACACAAAGCAUUCCUCCGGUGUCCGUGAGUUAUAUGAUCUCAUGGUCAUAGGAACAAAUACUUGACACGCAGAAAACAGUAGCAACAAAAUGACACGAUCAACAUGCUACGUCUAUUAGUUUGGGUCUAGUCCAUCACAUGAUUCUCCUAAUGAUGUGAUCCCGUUAUCAACUGACAACACUUGCCUAUGGCCAGGAAACCUUGACCAUCUUUGAUCAACGAGCUAGUCAACUAGAGGCUUAAUAGGGACAGUGUUUUGUCUAUGUAUCCACACAAGUAUUGUGUUUCCAAUCAAUACAAUUAUAGCAUGGAUAAUAAAAGAUUAUCAUGAACUAAGAAAUAUAAUAAUAACUAAUUUAUUAUUGCCUCUAGGGCAUAUUUCCAACACGUGGGUCAUCAAGGACAUUCUCUAGCCUAGACAAGUUAUCUGCUACAGGGUUAUCAACACCCUUUCGGUCAACAACAUGCAAAUCAAAUUCCUGUAGCAGAAGAACCCAUCUGAUUAGCCUAGGCUUAGCGUCCUUCUUCUCCAUGAGGUACUUAAUAGCAGCAUGAUCAGAGUGAAUAAUGACUUUGGAGUCAACUAUAUAAGAUCUGAACUUUUCACAUGCAAAUACGACUGCUAAAAACUCCUUCUCCGUAGUGGCAUAGUUUCUUUGGGCACUGUCUAGAGUUUUACUAGUGUAGUGAAUGACAUUCAACUUCUUGUCAACUAUUUGUCCUAGAACAGCACCAACAACAUAAUCACUAGCAUCGCACAUGAUUUCAAAGGGCAAGUUCCAUUCUGGUGGUUGAACAAUAGGUGCGGUUAUCAAGGCCUUCUUAAGUAUUUCGAAAGCUUCCUCACAAUCCUCAUCAAAAACAAAAGGAACAUCCUUCUGCAAGAGGUUGGUAAGAGGCCUAGAAAUCUUAGAAAAGUCUUUAAUGAACCUUCUAUAGAAACCAGCAUGACCUAGGAAACUCCGUAUACCUCUGAUAUCUGUGGGGCAAGGCAUUUUCUCAAUUGCAUCAACCUUAGCCUUAUCAACUUCAAUGCCUCUCUCAGAGAUUUUGUGUCCUAAGAUGAUGCCUUCAUUAACCAUGAAGUGGCACUUCUCCCAGUUCAAGACGAGGUUGGUAUCUUUGCAUCUCUGUAAGACUCGAUCAAGGUUGCUGAGGCAAUCGUCAAAGGAAGAACCGUAGACGGAGAAAUCAUCCAUGAAAACCUCAACAAUAUUUUCACAAAAGUCGGAGAAUAUAGCCAUCAUACAUCUUUGAAAGGUGGCUGGUGCAUUGCACAAGCCAAAAGGCAUGCGUCUACAAGCGAAUGUACCAAAGGGGCAUGUGAAGGUGGUUUUCUCUUGAUCAGAUUGUGCAACAGGUAUUUGCGAGAAACCUGAAUAACCGUCUAGAAAGGAGAAGUGUGUGUGUUUAGAUAGCCUUUCUAGCAUCAGGUCAAUAAACGGCAAAGGAUAAUGGUCUUUCCUAGUUGCCGUGUUCAGUUUCCGGAAGUCUAUCACCAUCCUAUAGCCAGUAAUAAUCCUGUGCGGGAUUAGUUCAUCCUUAUCAUUAGGAACGACAGUGAUACCUCCCUUCUUAGGUACGCAAUGUACUGGACUUACCCAAUCACUAUGAGCAACAGGAUAAAUGAUUCCUGCUUCAAGAAGCUUUAAUAUUUAUUUUCUCACGACCUCUUUCAUCCUAGGAUUUAAUCUCCUUUGAUGAUCAGCAACUGGCUUAGAAUCAGGAUCGGUUUUAAUCUUGUGCUGACAUAGAGUGGGACUAAUACCCUUAAGAUCAUCAAGAGUAUAUCCAAUAGCCUCACGGUGCUUCCUCAAAGUUUUAAUAACUUCUUCUCUUCGUGAUUCGAGAGGUGAGCACUAAUAAUAACAGGAUAUAUCUCCUUCUCAUCAAGAUAAGCAUACUUAAGAGUAUAUGGUAACUGUUUUAGCUCGAACACAGGAUCACCCUUUGGUGGGGGAGGAUCCUCAAGCAGUUCAACAGGCAGAUUAUUCUUGAGAAUAGGAUAUUGUUCUAAAACAAUUUUAUCUAUCUCAUCUCUUUCCUCCAUAUGCAUAUCAUUUUCAUGCUCAAGCAGAUAUUGCUCUAAAGGAUCCGUAGGAGGUACGGCAAUAGAGGCAAGAGCAAUGAUUUCAUCCCUACCAGACGACUCUUUUUCAUGGGGUUGUCUUCCAAACUUGGAGAAGUUAAAUUCAUGAGACACACCUUCGAAAGUAACAGUGACAGUCUGUUUAAUGCAAUCAAUGUGAGCAUUGACAGUGUUGAGAAAGGGUCUACCAAAUAUGAUGGGACAAAAGCUAUCUUGUGCAGUACCAAGGACGAGGAAAUCAGUAGGAUACUUUGUCUUACCACACAGGACUUCUAUGUCUCUCACAAUUCCUAGAGGGCAAAUAGUGUCUCUAUCAGCUAGCAUAAUAGUGACAUCAAUCGGUUCUAACUCAGCAGGUGCAAUCUCAUCUUUGAUUUUGUUGGGGAACGUCGCAAGGGAAACAAAAAUUUUCCUACGCGCACGAAGACCUAUCAUGGUGAUGUCCAUCUACGAGAGGGGAUGAGUGAUCUACGUACCCUUGUAGACCGUACAAAAGAAGCGUUAGAGAACGCGGUUGAUGUAGUGGAACGUCCUCACGUCCCUCGAUCCGCCCCGCGAACAAUCCCGCGAUCAGUCCCACGAUCUAGUACCGAACGGACGGCACCUCCACGUUCAGCACACGUACAGCUUGACGAUGAUCUCGGCCUUCUUGAUCCAGCAAGAGAGACGGAGAGGUAGAAGAGUUCUCCGGCAGCGUGACGGCGCUCCGGAGGUUGGUGAUGACCUUGUCUCAGCAGGGCUCCGCCCGAGCUCCGCAGAAACGCGAUCUAGAGGAAAAACCGUGGAGGUAUGUGGUCGGGCUGCCGUGGAAAAGUCGUCUCAAAUCAGCCCUAAAACCUCCGUAUAUAUAGGUGGGAGGGAGGGGGCCUUGCCUUGGGGUCCAAGGACCCUCAAGGGGGUCGGCCGAGCCAAGGGGGAGGACUCUCCCCCCCAAAACCGAGUUGGACUAGGUUUGGUGGGAGGGAGUCCCCCUCCCUUCCCACCUCCUCCUUUUUUUUCCUUUGAUUUCUUAUCCUUGGCGCAUAGGGCCCUUUUGGGCUGCCCCACCAGCCCACUAAGGGCUGGUGCUCCACCCUUAUGGCCUAUGGGCUUCCCCGGGGUGGGUUGCCCCCCCCCGGUGAACUCCCGGAACCCAUUCGUCAUUCCCGGUACAUUCCCGGUAACUCCGAAAACCUUCCGGUAAUCAAAUGAGGUCAUCCUAUAUAUCAAUCUUCGUUUCCGGACCAUUCCGGAAACCCUCGUGACGUCCGUGAUCUCAUCCGGGACUUCGAACAACAUUCGGCAACCAACCAUAUAACUCAAAUACGCAUAAAACAACGUCGAACCUUAAGUGUGCAGACCUUGCGGGUUCGAGAACUAUGUAGACAUGACCCGAGAGACUACUCGGUCAAUAUGCAAUAGCGGGACCUGGAUGCCCAUAUUGGAUCCUACAUAUUCUACGAAGAUCUUAUCGUUUGAACCUCAGUGCCAAGGAUUCGUAUAAUCCCGUAUGUCAUUCCCUUUGUCCUUCGGUAUGUUACUUGCCCGAGAUUCGAUCGUCAGUAUCCGCAUACCUAUUUCAAUCUCGUUUACCGGCAAGUCUCUUUACUCGUUCCGUAAUACAAGAUCCCGCAACUUACACUAAGUUACAUUGCUUGCAAGGCUUGUGUGUGAUGUUGUAUUACCGAGUGGGCCCCGAGAUACCUCUCCGUCACACGGAGUGACAAAUCCCAGUCUUGAUCCAUACUAACUCAACUAACACCUUCGGAGAUACCUGUAGAGCAUCUUUAUAGUCACCCAGUUACGUUGCGACGUUUGAUACACACAAAGCAUUCCUCCGGUGUCAGUGAGUUAUAUGAUCUCAUGGUCAUAGGAAUAAAUACUUGACACGCAGAAAACAGUAGCAACAAAAUGACACGAUCAACAUGCUACAUCUAUUAGUUUGGGUCUAAUCCAUCACGUGAUUCUCCCAAUGACGUGAUCCAGUUAUCAAGCAACAACACCUUGUUCAUAAUCAGAAGACACUGACUAUCAUUGACUAACUGGCUAGCCAACUAGAGGCAUGCUAGGGACGGUGUUUUGUCUAUGUAUCCACACAUGUAAAUGAGUCUUCAUUCAAUACAAUUAUAGCAUGGAUAAUAAACUAUUAUCUUGAUACAGGAAUUAUAAUAAUAACUACAUUUAUUAUUGCCUCUAGGGCAUAAUUCCAACAGUCUCCCACUUGCACUAGAGUCAAUAAUCCAGCCCUCACAUCACCAUGUGAAUUACAUUGUAAUAAAUCUAACACCCAUACAGUUCUGGUGUCGAUCAUGUUUUGGCCGUGGAAGAGGUUUAGUCAGCGGGUCUGCUACAGUCAGAUCCGUGUGCACUUUGCAUAUAUUCACGUCCUCUUCCUCGACGUAGUCGCGGAUGAGGUUGAAGCGUCGUUUGAUGUGUCUAGUCUUCUUGUGAAAACGCGGUUCCUUUGCUAAGGCAAUGGCACCCGUGUUGUCACAGAACAAGGUUAUUGGAUCCAGUGCACUUGGCACCACUCCAAGAUCCGUCAUGAACUGCUUCAUCCAGACACCCUCCUUAGUUGCCUCCGAGGCAGCCAUGUACUCCGCUUCACAUGUAGAAUCUGCUACGACGCUUUGCUUGGAACUGCACCAGCUUACUGCACCCCCAUUAAGAAUAAAUACGUAUCCGGUUUGCGACUUAGAGUCGUCCGGAUCUGUGUUAAAGCUUGCAUCGAUGUAACCUUUUACGGCGAGCUCUUCGUCACCUCCAUACACGAGAAACAUCUCCUUAGUCCUUUUCAGGUACUUCAGGAUAUUCUUGACCGUUGUCCAGUGAUCCACUCCUGGAUUACUCUGGAACCUACCUGCCAUACUUAUGGCCAGGCUAACAUCCGGUCUAGUGCACAGCAUCGCAUACAUGAUAGAACCUAUGGCUGAAGCAUAGGGGACGGAGCGCAUAUGCUCUCUAUCUUCAUCAGUUGCUGGGCACUGAGUCUUACUCAAUCUCGUACCUUGUAAAACUGGCAAGAACCCUUUCUUGGAUUGUUCCAUUUUGAACCUCUUCAAAACUUUAUCAAGGUAUGUGCUUUGUGAAAGUCCUAUCAGGCGUUUUGAUCUAUCCCUAUAGAUCUUAAUGCCUAGAUUGUAAGCAGCUUCUCCUAGGUCCUUCAUAGAGAAACUUUUAUUCAAGUAACCUUUUAUGCUCUCCAAAAGCUCUACGUUGUUUCCAAUCAGUAAUAUGUCAUCCACAUAUAAUAUUAGAAACGCCACAGAGCUCCCACUCACUUUCUUGUAAAUACAAGAUUCUCCAACCACUUGUAUAAACCCAAAUGCUUUGAUCACCUCAUCAAAGCGUUUGUUCCAACUCCGAGAUGCUUGCACCAGUCCAUAAAUGGAUCGCUGGAGCUUGCACACCUUGUCAGCAUUUUUAGGAUCGACAAAACCUUCGGGUUGCAUCAUAUACAACUCUUCCUUAAGGAAACCGUUAAGGAACACCGUUUUGACAUCCAUCUGCCAGAUUUCAUAAUCGAAAAAUGCAGCUAUUGCUAACAUGAUUCUGACGGACUUAAGCAUCGCUACGGGUGAGAAAGUCUCAUCGUAGUCAACUCCUGGAACUUGUGAAAAACCCUUUGCCACAAGUCGAGCUUUAUAAACGGUCACAUUACCGUCAGCGUCCGUCUUCUUCUUAAAGAUCCAUUUGUUCUAAAUAGCCUUGCGGCCCUCAGGUAGUAUCUCCAAAGUCCACACUUUGUUCUCAUAAAUGGAUCCUAUCUCGGAUUUCAUGGCUUCUAGCCAUUUGUUGGAAUCUGGGCCCACCAUUGCUUCUUCAUAAUUUGCAGGUUCAUUGUUGUCUAACAACAUGAUUGAUAAGACGGGAUUACCGUACCACUCUGGAGCAGCGCGUGAUCUCGUCGACCUGCGUGGUUCAACAGAAACUUGAACUGGAGUUUCAUGAUCAUCAUCAUUAACUUCCUCCUCAACCGGCGUCGCAACGACAGAGGUUUCCCCUUGCCCUGCGCCACUAUCCAGAGGGAUGAGAGGUUCGACAACCUCGUCAAGUUCUAUCUUCCUCCCACUCAAUUCUCUCGAGAGAAACUCCUUCUCGAGAAAAGCUCCGUUUUUAGCAACAAACACUUUGCCCUCGGAUUUGAGAUAGAAGGUGUACCCAACUGUCUCUUUUGGGUAACCUAUGAAGACGCACUUUUCCGCUUUGGGUUCCAGCUUUUCAGGCUGAAGCUUUUUGACAUAAGCAUCACAUCCCCAAACUUUAAGAAACGACAACUUUGGCCUUUUGCCGUACCACAGUUCGUAUGGUGUCGUCUCAACGGAUUUUGAUGGUGCCCUAUUUAAAGUGAAUGCAGCUGUUUCUAAUGCAUAACCCCAAAAUGAUAACGGCAAAUCAGUAAGAGACAUCAUAGAUCGCACCAUCUCUAACAAAGUACGAUUACGACGUUCGGACACACCAUUACGCUGUGGUGUUCCAGGCGGUGUUAACUGCGAAACAAUUCCACAUUGUCUUAAGUGAGCACCAAACUCGAAACUCAGAUAUUCACCCCCACGAUCAGACCGUAGGAACUUGAUCUUCUUGUUACGAUGAUUUUCCACUGCAUUCUGAAAUUGCUUGAACCUUUCAAAUGUUUCAGACUUGUGCUUCAUCAAGUAGACAUAACCAUAUCUACUUAAAUCGUCAGUGAAGGUGAGAAAAUAACGAUAUCCGCCGCGUGCCUCUACGCUCAUUGGACCACACACAUCGGUAUGUAUGAUUUCCAACAAGUCACUUGCACGCUCCAUUGUUCCGGAGAACGGAGUCUUAGUCAUCUUGCCCAUGAGGCAUGGUUCGCACGUGUCAAGUGAAUCAAAGUCAAGUGACUCCAAAAGUCCAUCAGCAUGGAGUUUCUUCAUGCGCUUUACACCAAUAUGACCUAAACGGCAGUGCCACAAAAAUAUGGCGCUAUCAUUGUUUACUCUAACUCUUUUGGUCUCAAUGUUAUGUAUAUGCGUAUCGCUAUCAAGAUUCAAUAUGAACAAUCCUCUCACAUUCGGUGCAUGACCAUAAAAGAUGUUACUCAUAGAAAUAGAACAACCAUUAUUCUCAGACUUAAAAGAGUAACCGUCUCGCAAUAAACAAGAUCCAGAUAUAAUGUUCAUGCUCAACGCAGGCACUAAAUAACAAUGAUUUAAGUUCAUCACUAAUCCCGAUGGUAGCUGAAGUGACACUGUGCCGACGGCGAUUGCAUCAACCUUGGAACCAUUUCCUACGCGCAUCGUCACUUCAUCUUUCGCCAGCCUUCGUCUAUUCCGCAGUUCUUGUUUCGAGUUGCAAAUGUGAGCAACAGAACCGGUAUCGAAUACCCUGGCACUACUACGAGAGCCGGUUAAGUACACAUCAAUAACAUGUAUAUCAAAUAUACCUGAUUUUUCUUUGCCCGCCUUCUUAUCUGCCAGAUACUUGGGGCAAUUGCGCUUCCAGUGACCCAUACCCUUGCAAUAGAAGCACUCUGUUUCAGGCUUAGGUCCAGCCUUGGGUUUCUUCGGCGGAUUGGCAACAGGCUUGCCGAUCUUCUUCGAAUUGCCCUUCUUGCCUUUGCCGUUUCUCUUGAAACUAGUGGUCUUGCUCACCAUCAACACUUGAUGCUCUUUACGGAGUUCAGACUCUGCGACUUUCAGCAUCGCAAACAACUCGCCGGGAGACUUGUUCAUCCCUUGCAUGUUGUAGUUCAACACAAAGCCUUUAUAGCUUGGUGGCAGUGAUUGAAGGAUUCUGUCAGUGAUAGCUUCUUGCGGGAGUUCAAUCCCCAGUUCAGCUAGACGGUUUCAGUACCCAGACAUUUUGAGCACAUGUUCACUGACAGACGAGUUUUCCUCCAUCUUGCAAGCAUAGAAUUUAUCGGAGGUCUCAUACCUCUCGAUCCGGGCGUUCUUCUGAAAGAUAAACUCCAACUCCUGGAACAUCUCAAAUGCUCCAUGGCGCUCAAAGCGACGUUGAAGUCCCGGUUCUAAGCCAUACAAGACUGCACAUUGAACUAUUGAGUAGUCCUCCUUACGUGCUAACCAAGCGUUCUUAACAUCCUGAUCAGCCGUAGCGGGUGGUUCAUCUCCUAGCGCAGCAUUAAGGACAUAAUCCUUCUUCCCAGCUUGUAAGAUUAGCUUAAGAUUACGAGCCCAGUCUACAAAGUUGCUUCCAUCAUCUUUCAACUUAGCUUUCUCUAGGAACGUAUUAAAAUUCAGGAUGACAGUCGCGUGAGCCAUGAUCUACAACACAAAUAUAUUCAAAGUGGACUUAGACUAUGUUCAAGAUAAUUAGAGUUCAACUUAAUCAAAUUAUAUGCUAAACUCCCACUCAAAAAGUACAUCUCUCUAGUCAUUUGAGUGGUUCAUGAUCCACUUACACUAUCCCAAGUCCGAUCAUCACGUGAGUUGAGUAUAGUUUCAGUGGUAAGCAUCCCUAUGCUAAUCAUAUCAACUAUAUGAUUCAUGAUCGACCUUUCGGUCUCAUCUGUUCCGAGGCCAUGUCUGCACAUGCUAGGCUCGUCAAGCUUAAUCCGAGUGUUCCGCGUGCGCAACUGUUUUGCACCCGUUGUAUGUGAACGUUGAGUCUAUCACACCCGAUCAUCACGUGGUGUCUCGAAACGACGAACUGUAGCAACGGUGCACAGUCGGGGAGAACACAAUUUCGUCUUGAAAUUUUAGUGAGAGAUCACCUCAUAAUGCUACCGUCGUUCUAAGCAAAAUAAGGUGCAUAAAAGGAUUACCAUCACAUGCAAUUCAUAAGUGACAUGAUAUGACCAUCAUCACGUGCUUCUUGAUCUCCAUCACCAAAGCACCGGCACGAUCUUCUUGUCACCGGCGCCACACCAUGAUCAUCCAUCAACGUGUUGCCAUCGGGGUUGUCGUGCUACUUAUGCUAUUACUACUAAAGCUACAUCCUAGCAAAAUAGUAAACGCAUCUGCAAGCACAAACGUUACUAUAAAGACAACCCUAUGGCUCCUGCCGGUUGCCGUACCAUCGACGUGCAAGUCGAUAUUUCUAUUACAACAUGAUCAUCUCAUACAUCCAAUAUAUCACAUCACAUCGUUGGCCAUAUCACAUCACAAUCAUACCCUGCAAAAACAAGUUAGACGUCCUCUAAUUUUGUUGUUGCAUGUUUUACGUGGUGACCAAGGGUAUCUAGUAGGAUCGCAUCUUACUUACGCAAACACCACAACGGAGAUAUAUGAGUUGCUAUUUAACCUCAUCCAAGGACCUCCUCGGUCAAAUCCGAUUCAACUAAAGUUGAAGAAACCGUCACUUGCCAGUCAUCUUUGAGCAAAGGGGGUUGCUCGUAAUGAUGAAACCAGUCUCUCAUAAGCGUACGAGUAAUGUCGGUCCAAGCUGCUUCAAUCCAACAAUACCGCAGAAUCAAGAAAAGACUAAGGAGGGCAGCAAAACGCACAUCACCGCCCACAAAACCUUUUGUGUUCUACUCGAGAAGACAUCUACGCAUGAACCUAGCUCAUGAUGCCACUGUUGGGGAACGUCGCAAGGGAAACAAAAAUUUUCCUACGCGCACGAAGACCUAUCAUGGUGAUGUCCAUCUACGAGAGGGGAUGAGUGAUCUACGUACCCUUGUAGAUCAUACAGCAGAAGCGUUUAGAGAACGCGGUUGAUGUAGUGGAACGUCCUCACGUCCCUCGAUCCGCCCCGCGAACAAUCCCGCGAUCAGUCCCACGAUCUAGUACCGAACGGACGGCACCUCCGCGUUCAGCACACGUACAGCUCGACGAUGAUCUCGGCCUUCUUGAUCCAGCAAGAGAGAUGGAGAGGUAGAAGAGUUCUCCGGCAGCGUGACGGCGCUCCGGAGGUUGGUGAUGAUCUUGUCUCAGCAGGGCUCCGCCCGAGCUCCGCAGAAACACGAUCUAGAGGAAAAACUAUGGAGGUAUGUGGUCGGGCAGCCGUGAGAAAGUCGUCUCAAAUCAGCCCUAAUACCUCAGUAUAUAUAGGAGGGAGGGGGAGGGAAGAGGCAGCCUCAAACCCUCAAGGUUUGGCCGAAAUUGGAGGUGGAGGAGUCCUACUCCAAUCCUACUUGGAGUAGGAUUCCACCUUCCCACUUGGAAACUCUUUCCACCUUGUGUUUUUUCCUUCUCAAACCUUAUGGGCCUUAGUGGGAACUUAUUCCAGCCCACUAGGGGCUGGUUUAUCUCUUCCCAUAACCCAUGAUACCCCUUGGGGCGUGACACCCCUCCCGAUGGUCCCCGGCACCCCUCCCGGCACUCCCGGUACACUACCGAUGAGCCCGAAACUUUUCCGGUGACCAAAACAGGACUUCCUAUAUAUCAAUCUUUACCUCCGGACCAUUCCGGAGCUCCUCGUGACGUCCUGGAUCUCAUCCGGGACUCCGAACAACAUUCGGUAACCAACCAUAUAACUCAAAUACGCAUAAAACAACGUCGAACCUUAAGUGUGCAGACCCUGCGGGUUCGAGAACUAUGUAGACAUGACCCGAGAGACUCCUCGGUCAAUAUCCAAUAGCGGGACCUGGAUGCCCAUAUUGGAUCCUACAUAUUCUACGAAGAUCUUUAUCGUUUGAACCUCAGUGCCAAGGAUUCGUAUAAUCCCGUAUGUCAUUCCCUUUGUCCUUCGGUAUGUUACUUACCCGAGAUUCGAUCGUCAGUAUCCGCAUACCUAUUUCAAUCUCGUUUACCGGCAAGUCUCUUUACUCGUUCCGUAAUACAAGAUCCCGUAACUUACACUAAGUUACAUUGCUUGCAAGGCUUGUGUGUGAUGUUGUAUUACCGAGUGGGCCCCGAGAUACCUCUCCGUCACACGGAGUGACAAAUCCCAGUCUUGAUCCAUACUAACUCAACUAACACCUUCUGAGAUACCUGUAGAGCAUCUUUAUAGUCACCCAGUUACGUUGCGACGUUUGAUACACACAAAGCAUUCCUCCGGUGUCAGUGAGUUAUAUGAUCUCAUGGUCAUAGGAAUAAAUACUUGACACGCAGAAAACAGUAGCAACAAAAUGACACGAUCAACAUGCUACGUCUAUUAGUUUGGGUCUAAUCCAUCACGUGAUUCUCCCAAUGACGUGAUCCAGUUAUCAAGCAACAACACCUUGUUCAUAAUCAGAAGACACUGACUAUCAUUGACUAACUGGCUAGCCAACUAGAGGCAUGCUAGGGACGGUGUUUGGUCUAUGUAUCCACACAUGUAAAUGAGUCUUCAUUCAAUACAAUUAUAGCAUGGAUAAUAAACUAUUAUCUUGAUACAUGAAUUAUAAUAAUAACUACAUUUAUUAUUGCCUCUAGGGCAUAAUUCCAACAGAUUUCAUCAUAUAGGGAACGGUGUAUUGCACUAACACUAGCACCCAUAUCACAUAAACCGUGGUAACAGUGAUCUGCUAUCUUGACAGAAACAACGGGCAGGCCAACUACAUGUCCGUAGUUGUCUUUCGCGUGAGGUUUAGCAAUUCUAGUGGAGUCCUCACAGAAUUUGAUAACAUGCCCGUCUAUGUCUUCGGCUAAGAGAUCUUUGAUAAUAGCAACACUAGGUUAAAGUCUAAUUUCCUCACGGGGUGCAAGUGGUCUAAUGUAACCCCUACGUAUCACAGUUGGAGCUUUAGAAUAAUCCUUUAUCCUAGCAGGGUAAGGUGGUUUCUCAGCGUAGGCACAAGGAACAACAAGAUCACUAAAAGCAAUGACUUUCUCCUCAACUAGAUUGGUUUUGGCUAUGUUGCUUUCUACAGGAGGAUGAUAUUUAAACCACUUCUCUUUGGGAAGAUUAACAUGAGCACCAAAAGAUUCACAUAGAGAAGCUAUUAUCUCAGAGUCAAGUCCAUACUUAGCGCUAAAAUCUCUAGAAGUGUUUGUCUCAACAAAAGAUUUAACGCAAUCAAACUGGAAAUUCAUACUUGGCUCCUUACCUUCUUCCAGCUCCCAAUCUUCAGAGUUACGUUUGAUUAUUUCCAAUAAAUUCCACUUGUGGUCAAUAUCCUUCUUCAUAAAAGAACCAGUACAAGAAGUGUCAAGCAUGGUACGAUCUUCAUGAGAAAGCCGAGCAUAAAAGUUUUGAGUGAUAAUUUCUCUCGAGAGCUCAUGAUUGGGGUAUGAAUAUAGCAUUGAUUUAAGCCUCCCCCAAGCUUGAGCUAUGCUUUCCCUGUCACGAGGCCAAAAGUUAUAAAUAUAAUUCCGAUCACGAUGUACUAAAUGCAUAGGAUAGAACUUUUGAUGAAAUUCCAAUUUCAACCGAUUGUAGUCCCAUGAUCCAGUAUCAUCACAUAGCCUAUACCAUGUCAACGCCUUAUCCUUCAAAGAUAAAGGAAAGACUUUCUUAUUUACCUCAUCCUCGGGCAAACCUGCAAGCUUAAAUAAACCACAAACUUCAUCUACAUAGAUUAGAUGCAAGUCUGGAUGUGAAGAUCCAUCUCCUGUAAAAGGAUUAGCCAGCAGUUUCUCAAGCAUACCCGAAGGGAUUUCAUAAGAGAUAUUUUCAGUAGGUACCUCAGGUUGAGGAACAACUCCUCGUGCUUCCGUUCGUGGUGAAGAUACCCCGAACAAACUCCUCAAAGGAACAGUUUCCAUAGUGACAAGUGACAAUGAAUUUCAGCACAAUAUAUAAAUGUUUCCUUACCAAAUUCCACUUACCAAAGGCGCUUCCUCCCCGGCAACGGCGCAUGAAAAGAGUCUUGAUGACCCACAAGUAUAGGGGAUCAAUCGUAGUCCUUUCGAUAAGUAAGAGCGUUGAACUCAACGAGGAGGAGAAGGCUCUGAUAAAAGGUUUUCAGCAAGGUAAUAACUGCAAGCACUGAAAGUAGCGGUAACAGGUGAUGGUGUAGUGAAGUGAAACGUAGCAAGCGAAAAGUAACAAGUAACAAGUAGUAGCAACGGUGCAGCAAGUGGCCCAAUCCCUUUUGUAGCAAGGGACAAGCCUGAACAAAGUCUUAUAAGAGGAAAAGCGCUCCCGAGGACACACGGGAAUUUCUGUCAUGCUAGUUUCAUCAUGUUCAUAUGAUUCACGUUCGUUACUUUGAUAGUUUGAUAUGUGGGUGGACCGGCGCUUGGGUACUGCCCUUACUUGGACAAGCAUCCCACUUAUGAUUAACCCCUCUCGCAAGCAUCCGCAAAUACAAAAGAAGAAUUAAGACAACGUCUAACCAUAGCAUUAAACUAGUGGAUCCAAAUCAGCCCCUUACGAAGCAACGCAUAGACUGGGGUUUAAGCUUCUGUUACUCCAGCAACCCAUCAUCUACUUACUACUCCCCAAUGCCUUCCUCUAGGCCCAAAUAUGGUGAAGUGUUAUGUAGUCGACGUUCACAUAACACCACUAGAGGAAAAUCAACAUACAACAUAUCAAAAUACCGAGCAAAUACCAAACUCACAUGACUAUUAUUAGCAUGACUUAUCCCAUGUCCCCAGGAACAAAAGUAACUACUCACAAAGCAUAAUCAUAAUCAUGAUCAGAGGUGUAAUGAAUAACUUCAAGGAUCUGAACAUAAACUCUUCCACCAAGUAAUCCAACUAGCAUCAACUACAAAUAGUAAUCAACACUACUAGCAACCUUACAAGUACCAAUCGGAGUCGCGAGAUGGAGAUUGGUUACAAGAGAUGAACUAGGGAUUGGAGAGGAACUGGUGCCGAUGAAGAUGUUGAUGAAGAUGCAUCCCCUCCGACGAGAGGAGUGUUGGUGAUGACGAAGGCGACGAUUUCCCCCUCCGGGAGGGAAGUUUCCCCGGCAGGAUCGUCCUGCCGGAGCUCUAGAUUGGAUCUGCUCAAGUUCCGCCUCGUGGCGGCGGCGAAACCACGAAAACGCUCCCGAAUGAAUUUUUUUUUCUGGAACGAAACCCUUCAUAUAGCAAAAGAGGCGGGCCAGUGGGCCGCCAGGGUGCCCACAAGCCCUGUUGCCACGGCCAGGGGAUAGGCUGCGGCAACCAGGCUUGUGCCCCCCUGGUUGCUCCCCUCUGACACUUCUUUCGCCCAGUAUUUUUUAUAAAAUCCAAAAAAAAUCCACGUUGAUUUUCAGGACAUUUGGAGUUGCGCGGAAUAGAGCACUCAGACUUGCUCCUUUUCCAGUCCAGAAUUCCAGCUGUCGGUAUUCUCCCUCUUCAAAUAAACCUUGCAAAAUAAGAGAUAAAGGCAUAAUUAAGGUUCCACAAAGUAUAAUAACAGUCCAAAAAGCGAUAAAUAUCAACAUGAAAGCAUGAUGCAAAAUGGACGUAUCAAGGGCCAAGGCAGGAGAGCUACAGGGGGCCCACAAGCCAUGUAGCCGCCACCAGGGGGGCCGGUGGCUACCAGGCUUGUGGCCUCCCUGGCGCUCCCCUGCCCUAUCUCUUUCACCUAUAUAUUCCCUAAAAUCCAGAAAAAAAUGAGGUCAUCCACGAAAACACUUUUUCGCCGCCGCAAGCUUUCGUUUCCGCGAUAUCUCAUUUGGAGACCCUUCCCGGUGCCGUGCCGGAGGGGACUUUGGAGUUGGAGGGCUUCUACAUCAACAUCAACGCCUCUCCAAUGACUCGUGAGUAGUCCACUUCAGACCUACGGGUCCGUAGUUAGUAGCUAGAUGGCUUCUUCUCUCUCUUGGAUCUUCAAUACAAAGUUCUCCAUGAUCUUCUUGGAGAUCUAUCCGAUGUAAUCCUCUUUGGCGGUGUGUUUGUCGAGAUACGAUGAAUUGUGGAUUUGUGAUCAGAUUAUCUAUGAUAUAUAUUUGAGUCUUUGCUCAUUUCUUAUAUGCAUGAUUUGAUAUCCUUUUAAGUCUCUCCGAGUCUUGUGUUUUGUUUGGCCAACUAGAUCUAUGAUUCUUGUAAUGGGAGAAGUGCUUGGUUUUGGGUUCAUACCGUGUGGUGACCUUUCCCAGUGACAGAAGGGGCAGCAAGGCACACAUCGUGUUGUUGCCAUCAAGGGUAAUAAGAUGGGCUUUUAUCGUAGAUAUGAGAUUGUCCAUCUACAUCAUGUCAUCUUGCUUAAGGCGUUACUCUGUUCUUAUGAACUUAAUACACUAGAUGCAUGCUGGAUAGCGGUCGACGUGUGGAGUAAUAGUAGUAGAUGCACAAAGUAUCGGUCUACUUGUUUUGGACGUGAUGCCUAUAGAUAUAAUCAUUACCAUAGAUGAUGUCACGACUUUGCGCGGUUCUAUCAAUUGCUUGACAGUAAUUCGUUCACCCACCGUCUACUUGCUUUCAUGAGAGAAGUCACUAGUGAACACUACGGCCCCCGGGUCUAUUCACAACUAUCGUUUCCACUUUCGCUUUUACUUUGCUUUGUUUAUUUUUUGCUUUCAGUUCUCACUUUGCAAACAAUCUAUAAGGGAUUGACAACCCCUUCAUAGCGUUGGGUGCAAGCUCUUUGUGUUUGUGGAGGUACUUGUGACUCGACACGAUUCUCCCACUGGAUCGAUACCUUGGUUCUCAAACUGAGGGAAAUACUUACCGCCGCUGUGCUACAUCACCCUUUCCUCUUCAAGGGAACAUCAACGCAAGGCUCCAAGGCCGCGGGGAAAUACUUUGCAUAUUUGCCAAGGAAGUCCCUAUAGGCGUAGCCCGUGACAGAAGGAUUCCUGGCGCCGUUGCCAGGGAAGGUUUGUUGUCGCAGUAGCAGAAGGAUUUCUGGCGCCGUUGCCGGGGAGGAGGAUCGCUUGCGGAGGAGAGAUCAAGUCAAGAUCUAUCCAAGUAGGUGUCACAAACUCAUCUCUUGCAUUUACCUUUUUGCCAGUUGCCUCUCGUUUUCCUCUCCCCCACUUCACAUUUGUCGUUUUCAUUUGCCUUUUUCGUUUGCCUUUUCCGUUCGCCUUUUUGUUCGCCCUUUUUUCUCGCUUUCUUUCUGUUCGCUUGUGUGCCAUGUGCCUUCAGUAUGCUUGCAUCUUCGCUUGCUGAAAAUCUAGUGAUAUGGAUCCUCAUCAACUUGCUAAUCUCUUUAAGAGAUCCAAUUAUGUUGAUCCAAUUGCUAGUAAGUUGAGUGCACUUGACUUUCUUUAUAGAGUUUUGCUUGAGAUGCGUGAAUCUUAAAAUUGUGAGGAAGAAAUUUAUGAAGUGAUUCAUGAGGGCUCCUUGGAUGAAAAGCAUGAUUGCAAUGGUUUCACUAUAAAUUCUAUUAGUGACAAUCAUGCUAAAAAUAUGCAAAACCCUAACCUCAUGAUGAAUAUGAUAUUUGCAAUAAUAUUGAAAGUGGGUUUGGAGAAUUCAUGACUUUAGUUGAUGAUAAUCCCACUAUUUUUGAAGAGCAUCAACUUUGCAUGCAUGUGGAUCAUGAAAACAAUAUCCUAUGUGAUAUUUACAUUGUUGAAUUCGAAUAUGAUCCCACAUGUAAUUAUUAUGAGAGAGGAAAAUAUGGUGGUAGAAACUUUCAUAUCACUAAAUUACCUCUCGUUAUGUUGAGAUUGCUAUUGUCUCUUUCUUCUUCCUUGCAUAUGGUAACUAUUGGUUGUCUUGACGAUCUGUUUUCCUAUAAAAUGCCUAUGCAUAGGAAGUAUGUUAGACUUACAUGUGAUUUUUACAUGCUUCAUGAUGCUCUCGUUGUGCUUCAAUUCUUGUCUUUUGUGUGAGCAUCAUUGAACUAUCAAUGCCUAGCUAAGGGCGUUAAACAAUAGCGCUUGUUGGGAGGCAACCCAACGAAUCUAUCCUUUUUCUUUCUGUUUUGUGUUUUCCACACUUUCAUAAUUCUGUUAUGAUUGUGUUUUUUGUGUUUCCUUUUGCGUUUGUGCCAAUUAAAACCGUUAUGAUUAGUCUUGGGGAUGAUCGUUUGGUCAUGCUGGAAAAGACAGAAACUUUCUGCUCACGAAAAGAAUUUUCAUUUUUUUCCGUAAGAGCUUUUGAGUUGAUUCUUUUUGCUUCUGAUUGCUACACAAAUUCUUCAGACUGUCGUAAUUUUUCAGAAUUUUUGAAGUACAGAAGUAUACGAAGUAUACAGAUUGCUACAGACUGGUUUGCUGUUAACAGAUUAUGUUUCUAUUGAGUUGGUUGCUUAUUUUGAUGAAACUAUGGAUAGUAUCGGGGGGUAUUUGUUGGAAAUAUGCCCUAGAGGCAAUAAUAAAUUAGUUAUUAUUAUAUUUCUUAGUUCAUGAUAAUCGUUUAUUAUCCAUGCUAUAAUUGUAUUGAUUGGAAACACAGUGCAUGUGUGGAUACAUAGACAAAACACUGUCCCUAGUAAGCCUCUAGUUGACUAGCUCGUUGAUCAAAGAUGGUCAAGGUUUCCUGACCAUAGGCAAGUGUUGUCACUUGAUAACGGGAUCACAUCAUUAGGAGAAUCAUGUGAUGGACUAGACCCAAACUAAUAGACGUUGCUACUGUUUUCUGCGUGUCAAGUAUUUGUUCCUAUGACCAUGAGAGCAUAUAACUCACUGACACCGGAGGAAUGCUUUGUGUGUAUCAAACAUCGCAACAUAACUGGGUGACUAUAAAGAUGCUCCACAGGUAUCUCCGAAGGUGUUCGUUGAGUUAGUAUGGAUCGAGACUGGGAUUUGUCACUCCGUGUGACGGAGAGGUAUCUCACGGCCCACUCGGUAAUACAACAUCACACACAAGCCUUGCAAGCAAUGUGACUUAGUGUAAGUUGCGGGAUCUUGUAUUACGGAACGAGUAAAGAGACUUGCCGGUAAACGAGAUUGAAAUAGGUAUGCGGAUACUGACGAUCGAAUCGUACGGGAAAGUAACAUACCGAAGGACAAAGGGAAUGACAUACGGGAUUAUAUAAUCCUUGGCACUGAGGUUCAAACGAUAAGAUCUUCGUAGAAUAUGUGGGAUCCAAUAUGGGCAUCCAGGUCCCGCUAUUGGAUAUUGACCGAGGAGUCACUUGGGUCAUGUCUACAUAGUUCUCGAACCCGCAGGGUCUGCACACUUAAGGUUCGACGUUGUUUUAUGCGUAUUUGAGUUAUAUGGUUGGUUACCGAAUGUUGUUCGGAGUCCCGGAUGAGAUCACGGACGUCACGAGGGUUUCCGGAAUAGUCCGGAAACGAAGAUUGAUAUAUAGGAUGACCUCAUUUGAUUACCGGAAGGUUUUUGGAGUUACCGGGAAUGUACCGGGAAUGACGAAUGGGUUCCGGGUGUUCACCGGGGGGGGCAACCCUCCCCGGGGAAGCCCAUAGGCCUUGGGGGUGGCGCACCAGCCCUUGGUGGGCUGGUAGAACAGCCCAAGAAGGCCCUAUGCGCCAAGGAUAGGAAAUCAAAAAGAAAAGAAAAAAAAGAGGUGGGAAGGAGAGAAGGACUCCACUUUCCAAUCCUAGUUGGACUAGGAUUGGAGGAGGACUCCUCCUCCCUUGGUGGUGCAGCCCUUGGGGCUCCUUGAGCCUCAAGGCAAGCCUCCCCUCCCUCCUCCUAUAUAUAUGGAGCAAUUAGGGCUGAUUUGAGACAACUUUUGCCACAGCAGCCCGACCACAUAUGUGACAGCCCGAUGCCGACGUUCCAGAAGAUUCCCCUCUCUUUCCGUUUUCGUCGUGUGUCUAUUCUCUUUUGUCGCAUCAUCAUCAUCGCAUCAUGCGCAUCAUAUGCAUUGCAUCAGCAUCCCGUUGCCGCCCGUUUUCAAAACCUGCAUUCGCUAGUAGUCGCCGGUUCUCGUCGUUGUCCGUUCUGAGCCCGACCGCACUCGCACGCGCCCGCGGCACCGUCGAAACCCUGUUUUAAAAGUGUGCAUAAAACCUUCUCUGAUUGGGUUGAGAUUUGACGUGCGGUCGUUUUUUUAAUAUAGGUAGGCCGCCUGUCAAGUUUCGUCGCAAUCGGAGUCCGUCUGGUACCCGAACGGUCGUCCGUAGCGGCACCGUCUUCGGUCUAUCGCGGUCGUUUUCCCUCUCACCUCCGCCUAGCCACUCUUCACAGCCACCUAGACAUUCACGCGUCUGUGGCCGUUCGAUCGCGAUCACGUGGUCGAAAACGGAGUCGGAUUCGGAUAACCCUAGCCCCCUUUCCUAUUUAAUCUCCUCCUCCUCUCAUUUUGGACAGCCAAUCCCCCUUGCCUCGUUUUCCGUGCAAACCUAACCCUAGUCUAUCCACCUUUUCCACCUUUCAGAUCUGAUCUAGCCUCUCCAUCGAUCUAGACCGUUGGAUCGGAGAUCCAACGGAUGAAAAUACUCUUGAGCCUUCCAUGGAGCUCCUCCCGUGUCUCUCCUCGUGCCCGAGCUCCUUCCUCCCGAGCAUGGCCGCAGCUCCUCCCCGCUGCCGGAGCACCACCGGCCAGGCAGCAGCAGCCGUCGGAGCUUCUUCGCCGGGCCACCACCUUCUCCUCCCCUUUCCUCUCUCCUUCCUCUCCCUCUCCUUCCCUGCCUCGUCCUCACCUUCUUCUUCUUCUUUGCAGGUUCAAUGGCCGUCGUUGAGCUCGCCUGUGCGCCUCUCCAUGUCCUAUCUCUGGCCAGAUCCGGGAUGGAGCUGCCAGAUCCGCUCGUUCCCAUGCUCCUGUGGCCGCCCUCGCCCCAACCAGCCUCGUCACCCGGUUGCCGGCGCGUUCGUGCAUCUCCAUGGCCGACGGGAUCGGUUCCCCUGUAAGCUUCGUUCUGAAUCUGUUGCCUAGAGGUAAUAUAUGUUAGACGCUGACUUUAAUCAUGUGUUCAACGCUAGCUGAGUUGGCUAGGGCAGCCGAUCCCAUCUCCUAGCACCAGCAGGUCGAGGGUUCAAGUCCCCGUGAAUGCAUGUUUUUUAUAUGCAUUUUUUUCCUCUUGAGGAUGACCUCCUUCCUUUAUUUUAGUGUCUGUCCAGCCACUAUUAUUUCACAAACACUCGGUAGCCCAAUUGAUCAACUUUUGUUAGCAACCAUUGGAGUCCUGGGAUCAAAUCCCAGUGUCCUCCUUUUUUUUUGCUUUCGGGAAGAUUCUUUUUAGCUUUUGUAAAAUCCAUAUAAAUUCAACCGUGCGUCGGAUUGCGACAAGUUAGAUAUGUAACUCGUGUACAAUUUCGCGUAGAUUACGAAUUUGUAACUUGCAUAAAUGUUUGAAAUAGUUUGACCCGCCGAAUCCCUACAAACGCGUGCUGACCUAUUAUGUUUUGUCCCGUAUUAAUUUUCUCGUGCGUGUCUGGACUGUCCGUAUACCGGAGAUUAAAUGUCCAUGUUUUAGGGACCAUUUUUCCAUGAAUGUUAGAGCGGUCAUUGGUAUUUUUGCGUGUAGGGUUUGCCGGUAGUUUAUUUUCCAGUAUAUAGGUGAUUAUCUCGCAUUAAUGUGUGGCAUUAUUUUGUGUUGCAACCCCACAUAUUUUAUAUGUUUUCGGGGUAGAAAAAUACCAUGGAUUUUUAUGUGCAAUUAGUUUUGCCAUUAGAGCAAGUUAGUUCGUGAGAUAUUUUGCCAUGUUGCCCUUUUGUUUAAUUCGUAGGAUUUAUUCCGUGCGUUGUUUGACGGAGUUGUCAACUAGAGAGUUGAUCUUGGAUGUUUUGUUUAGCCUCUGGUAUUUUUAGUUGUAAUAGAAAUGCAUGUUUAGGUGUGUUUUUCUUGCUCGUAAGUUGCUAGAAAUAGUGCUGUUUUAGGGGUGCUGAAAUAUUUCUAAGUCUGGAAUCUGUUAUAUUUUGUUGCUGUCUUGUCUUGCUUGCAUCUUGUGAUCUGUAGCUCUUUUGAGGUUGGUCCAAUGGAGUUAGUUGUACCCCUUGUGUUUCUCUAGCAUGCUGUGAAUUUUCAUGCCAUUUGGAGACCUCUGGCUUAGGAUUUUGCUGCUGUCAAUAUGCCUUCAGGCUGAAAACUGCACUUUCAUGAUGUGUUAUUUUCACUAAGUCUGAAAUAGUGUGUGAGAUGCCAUUUUGUGUCUUCUUUUCCUAGUGCUCCUUGCUGCCAUGCUAGUUGUUGUUAGCUGUUCGUAGUAAUGCUUCUUUCCCUCUUCCAUGCCAUGCCUUACUUGAGCAUAUCGGAGUUGUGUAGCCGUAGUUGUGGGGCGUAGAAAAUGGUAUGUGGCUGAUUUUGGCAGAUUGUAGUGUUUUCUUGUUAUGCUCGUAGUUUUCGAACCGUAGCUCCGUUUUUUCUUGCUUAGAAUCUCGUGUAGUUUCAUUUUCUCUUGCUGUUUGUAUGUGUUGAAGUGCUCGUAGCCGCCGUUGCACACAUUUUUGCAUUCAUGCUAUCAUAUCUUGCGGUGCUUGUAUCUUUUGAUCCGUAGCUCCGUUGGAGAUGUUCUUUAUGUGUAGAUUGCUUGCCUUGAUGCGUAGAAUCAUGUGAACCUAUUUGUUUUGCGGUUUAACAACUAAUCAAAUGCAUUAGUUCAGAUCUGGACAGAAUUGUAAAUUAACAUGUGAGGUCGUCUCGGAGAUGCUAUAUGUCAUUUCGGACCUCACUUAAAAUGCCUAGAUAGGUAGUUUAACUUCCGCUUCACCUCUUACAUGUUUGACAACAUUAAUAUUACCGUGUAGAUAACCGGGAGUGAACUAAAUAAUUAACGUGGAAUUUCGUCAAUAUGCAACUCGUUGCAUAUUGAACUUCACUUAAUGUGUAGUUUUGAUUGUGUGAAUUUGUCAUGCCGUGACUUGCAUGUAUUUAGCUGUUCAUGCAUCAUAUGUGUUGUGCUUCGUGUGGUGAAUAUCGUGUGUUGAUGCUUGUUUCCGGUUUCCCCGUCUCGAUAGAGUUCCGCAAGCGAGUCGGAUGUGAGGACCCGUUCGACUACAUCGGUUCGUCUGCUUCACGGAGGCAUUCUUCUUCCAAGCGGGAUCUCAGGCAAGAUGAUCAUUUCCCCAGAUACCAUUACUAUCAUUGUCAUGCUAGUUAUUUCGAUGCUAUCGCUUAUGUCUCGUUGCCUACCACUGUUAAUUAUCAGCCUCUCAACAAUGCCAUGAAACCUUCAACCUCUUCAACCUAGCAAACCACUGAUUGGCUAGGUUACUGCUUGCUUAACCAUGUUGAUAGCGUUACUAGUUGCAGGUGCAGAUGCUUCCAUGCGAAAGCAUGGGUUCCUUGUUAUAUCACCAUAUUUAACUGCUAUUUAAUUUAAUGCACCUAUAUACUUGGUAAAAGGUGGAAGGCUCGGCCUUUCUAGCCUGGUGUUUUGUUCCACCUUUGCCCCUUUUAGUUACCGGCUACCGGUGUUAUGUUCCAUAAAUGAGCGCUCCUAACACGAUCGGGGUUGUUAUGGGGACCCCCUUGAUAAUUCGUUUUAGAUUAAAGCUGGUCUGGCAAGGCCCAACAUUGGUACUACAUUUGCCUAAUCACCUAAUAAAUUGCAUAGGGACCCGCCGGCACCCGCGGACUAUUUUAAUCAACCCCCGGGCCAGUGCUCCUCAUGAGUGUUGGUCCAAAACAGAGCAGCUUAUUAACGCUACCCGGGGCAACUCGGCGUUUGGCGUGGUAACCAUAGCUCAUCCGUCGUGUCCUGAGAACGAGGUACGCGACUCCUAUCGGGAUCAUCGACACGUCGGGCGGCCUUGCUGGAUUAGUUUUACCUUUGACGAAAUAUCUUGUGCAUCGGGAUUCCGGUGAUGCUUUGGGUAAUCUCAGAGUUGAGGUUUUCCACCAGGGAAUCCGUCGAGAUCGCGAGCUUCGUGAUUGAGGAUUUCUAUGCGGCUUGUGGUAAUUUGUGAUGGACUAGUUGGAGCACCCCUGCAGGGUUAAAUCUUUCGGAAAGCCAUGCCCGCGGUUAUGUGGAACAUGGAAGCUUGCAUGCNNNNNNNNNNNNNNNNNNNNNNNNNNNNNNNNNNNNNNNNNNNNNNNNNNNNNNNNNNNNNNNNNNNNNNNNNNNNNNNNNNNNNNNNNNNNNNNNNNNNCCCCCAAACCCAAAACCUUACGUACCAACGUUCGGUUUUGGGGGGGGAGAGUCCCUCCCCCUUGGCUCGGCCGACCCCCUUGAGGGUCCUUGGACCCCAAGGCAAGGCCCCUCCCUCCCACCUAUAUAUACGGAGGUUUUAGGGCUGAUUUGAGACGACUUUUCCACGGCAGCCCGACCACAUACCUCCACGGUUUUUCCUCUAGAUCGCGUUUCUGCGGAGCUCGGGCGGAGCCCUGCUGAGACAAGGUCAUCACCAACCUCCGGAGCGCCGUCACGCUGCCGGAGAACUCUUCUACCUCUCCGCCUCUCUUGCUGGAUCAAGAAGGCCGAGAUCAUCGUCAAGCUGUACGUGUGCUGAACGUGGAGGUGCCGUCCGUUCGGUACUAGAUCGUGGGACUGAUCGCGGAAUUGUUCGCGGGGCGGAUCGAGGGACGUGAGGACGUUCCACUACAUCAACCGCGUUCUCUAACGCUUCUUCUGUACGGUCUACAAGGGUACGUAGAUCACUCAUCCCCUCUCGUAGAUGGACAUCACCAUGAUAGGUCUUCGUGCGCGUAGGAAAAUUUUUGUUUCCCUUGCGACGUUCCCCAACAGUGGCAUCAUGAGCUAGGUUCAUGCGUAGAUGUCUUCUCGAGUAGAACACAAAAGGUUUUGUGGGCGGUGAUGUGCGUUUUGCUGCCCUCCUUAGUCUUUUCUUGAUUCCGCGGUAUUGUUGGAUCGAAGCAGCUUGGACCGACAUUACUCGUACGCUUACGAGAGACUGGUUUCAUCGUUACGAGUAACCCCCUUUGCUCAAAGAUGACUGGCAAGUGACGGUUUCUCCAACUUUAGUUGAAUCGGAUUUGACCGAGGAGGUCCUUGGAUGAGGUUAAAUAGCAACUCAUAUAUCUCCGUUGUGGUGUUUGCGUAAGUAAGAUGCGAUCCUACUAGAUACCCUUGGUCACCACGUAAAACAUGCAACAACAAAAUUAGAGGACGUCUAACUUGUUUUUGCAGGGUAUGAUUGUGAUGUGAUAUGGCCAAUGAUGUGAUGUGAUAUAUUGGAUGUAUGAGAUGAUCAUGUUGUAAUAGAAAUAUCGACUUGCACGUCGAUGGUACGGCAACCGGCAGGAGCCAUAGGGUUGUCUUUAUACUAACAUAUGUGCUUGCAGAUGCGUUUACUAUUUUGCUAGGAUGUAGCUUUAGUAGUGAUAGCAUAAGUAGCACGACAACCCCGAUGGCAGCACGUUGAUGGAUGAUCAUGGUGUGGCGCCGGUGACAAGAAGAUCGUGCCGGUGCUUUGGCGAUGGAGAUCAAGAAGCACGAGAUGAUGGCCAUAUCAUGUCACUUAUGAAUUGCAUGUGAUGUUAAUCCUUUUAUGCACCUUAUUUUGCUUAGAACGACGGUAGCAUUAUGAGGUGAUCUCUCACUAAAAUUUCAAGACGAAAUUGUGUUCUCCCCGACUGUGCACCGUUGCUACAGUUCGUCGUUUCGAGACACCACGUGAUGAUCGGGUGUGAUAGACUCAACGUUCACAUACAACGGGUGCAAAACAGUUGCGCACGCGGAACACUCGGGUUAAGCUUGACGAGCCUAGCAUGUGCAGACAUGGCCUCGGAACACAUGAGACCGAAAGGUCGAGCAUGAAUCGUAUAGUUGAUAUGAUUAGCAUAGAGAUGCUUACCACUGAAACUAUUCUCGACUCACGUGAUGAUCGGACUUGAGAUAGUGGAUUUGGAUCAUGUACCACUCAAAUUACUAGAGAGAUGUACUUUUUGAGUGGGAGUUCUUAAGUAAUAUGAUUAAUUGAACUAAUUGUCAUGAACAUAGUCUAAUGGUCUUUGCGAAUUAUGAUGUAGCUUGCGCUAUAGCUCUACCUUUUUUAUAUGUUCCUAGAGAAAAUUUAGUUGAAAAUUGAUAGUAGCAAACUUUGCAGACUGAGUCUGUAAAACCGAGGAUUGUCCUCGUUGCUACGCAGAAGGCUUAUGUCCUUAAUGCACCACUCGGUGUGCUGCACCUCGAGCGUCGUCUGUGGAUGCUAUGAACAUCCGACAUACACGUUGCUGAUGACUACACGAUAGUUCAGUGCAAAAUACUUAAUGGCUUAGAAGCAAGGCGUCGAAAACGUUGUAAAACGUCACGGAACAUAAGUGAUGUUCUAAAGAGAUGAAAUUUGUGAUUUCAUGCUUGUGCCCUUGUUAAGAGGUACGAGACCUCCGACAAGAUUCUUUGUCCACAAACCACAGGAGAAAAGGCUCAAUCGUUGAGCAUGUGCUCAGAUUGUCUGAGUACGACAAUCGCUUGAAUCAAGUGGGAGUUAAUCUUCCAGAUGAGAUAGUGAUAGUUCUCCAAAGUCACUGCCACCAAGCUGUGAGAGCUUCGUGAUGAACUAUAACAUAUCAAGGAUACAUACAAUGAUCCUUGAGCGAUUCACGAUGUUUGACACUGCGAAAGUAGAAAUCAAGAAGGAGCAUCAAUAGUUGAUGGUUUGUGAAACCACUAAGUUUCAAGAAAGGCAAGGGCUAGAAGGGAUACUUCGUGAAACGGCAAAACAGUUGCUGCACUGAUGAAGAGACCCAAGAUUGAACCCAAACCCAAGACUAAGUGCUUCUAUAAUGAGGGGAACAAUCACCGAGGCGGAGCAACUCAAGAUACUUGGUAAAUAAGAAGGCUGGCAAAAGUCGAAAGAAGAGUGUUUGAUGUGCAUGAUGUUGAUGUGUACUUUACUAGUACUCCUAGUAGCACGAGGGUAUUGGAUACCGGUUCGGUUGCUAAGUGAUUAGUGACGCGAAAUGAAAGCUACGGCAUAAACGGAGACUAGCUAAAGGCGAGGUGACAAUACGUGUUGGAAGUGUUUCCAAGAUUGAUAUGAUCAAACGUCGCAUGCUCCCUCUACCAUCGGGAUUGGUGUUAAACCUAAAUAAUUGUUAUUUGGUGCUUGCGUUAAGCAUGAACAUGAUUGGAUCGUGUUUAUCGCAAUACGAUUGUUCAUUUAAGGAGAAUAAUGGUUACUCUAUUCUCUUGAAUAUUCACCUUCAAUGGUUUAUUGAAUCUCGAUCGUAGUGUUACACAUGUUCAUGAUAUUGGUGCCAAAAGAUACGAGUUAAUGAUGAUAGUACCACUUACUUGUGGCUCUGCCGCUUGAGUCAUGUUAGUAUAAAUUGCAUGAAGAGGCUCCAUGCUGAUGGAUCUUCGUACUCACCUCAUUUCAAAUCACUAGUGACAUGCAAAUCAUACCACAUGAGCAAGGCCUUGUUUUCAUUGAGAUGAAAUAAGAUAGUAACUUGUUGGAAGUGAUACAUUUUGAUGUAUGCAGUCCAAUGGGUGCUGAGGCACGUAGUGGAUAUCAUUAUGUUCUUACUUCACUGACGAUUUGAGUAGAUACAGGAGUAUUUACUUAAUGAAUCACAAGUCUGAAAUGUUGAAAAGUUCAAUUCCGUUUCAGAGUGAAGUUCGUCGUAACAAGAGGAUAAACUGUCUACGAUAUGAUCAUGGAAAUGAAUAUCUGAGUUACGAGUUUUGGUACACAGUUAAGACAAUGUGGAAAUUGUUUCGCAGUUCAUGCCACCUGGAACAUCAUAGUGUGAUGAUGUGUCUGAACGUCAUAGCCACGCACUAUUUGGUAUGGUGCAUACUAUGAUGUCUCUUAUCGAAUUACCACUAUCGUUUAUGGGUUAUGCAUUAGAGACAACCGCACUCACUUUAAAUAGGGCACCGCAUAUUUCCGUUGAGAUGACACAGUAUAGACUGAGGUUUAGAGAAAUCUAAACUGUCGUUUCUUGAAAGUUUGGGGCUUCGACACUUAUGUGAAGAAGUUUCAGUCUGAUAAGCUCGAACCCAAAGCGGAUAAAUGCAUCUUCAUAAGGAUAUCCAAAACAGUUGGGUACAUCUCCUAUCUCAGAUUCGAAAGCAAAGUGUUUGUUUCUAGAAACGGAUCCUUUCUCGAGGAAAGGUUUCUCUCGAAAGAAUUGAGUGGGAGGGUAGUAGAACUUGAUGAGGUUGUUGAACCAUCACUUCAACCAGUGUAUAGCAGGGCGCAGGAAGUUGUUCAUGUGGCGCCUACACCAAUUGAAGUGGAAGCUGAUGAUGAUGAUCAUUGAGCUUCGAAUCAAGUUACUACAAACCUCGUAGGUCGACAAGGUCGCGUACUGCUGCAGAGUAGUACGGUAACCCUGUCUUGGAGGUCAUGUUGUUGAGCAACAGUGAACCUACGAGUUAUGGAGAAAGCGAUGGUGGGCCCAGAUUCCGACAAAUGGCUGGAAGCCAUGAAAUCCGAGAGAGGAUCCAUGUGUGAAAACAAAGUGUAGACUUUGGUAGAACUACUUGAUGGUCAUAGGACUAUUGAGUAAAAUGGAUCUUUAAAAGAAGACAGACGAUGAUGGUGAUAAGUCACUAUUAAGAAACGCUCGACUUGUCGCAAAGAUGUUUUCGAUAAGAUCAAACAGUUGACUAUGAUGAGACUUUCUCACUCGUAGCGAUGCUAAAAGUCUGUUAGAAUUAUGUUAGUUGUUGAUGCAUUAUUUAUGAAAUAUUGCACGUAGGAUGUCAAAACAUUGUUUUCUCGACGGUUUCCUUGAGCAAACAUUGUAUGUGAUACAACUAGAAGGUUUUGUAGAUCCUAAAGAUACUAGCAAGUAUGCAAGCUCCAGUGAUCCUUCAAUGGACUGGUGCAAGCAUCUCAGAGUUGGAAUAUACACUUUGAUGAGAUGAUCAAAGAUUUUGGGUUUGUACAAGGUUUAUGAGAAACUUGUAUUUCCAAAGAAGUGAGUGGGAGCACUAUAGAAUUUCUGAUAAGUAUAUGUGGUUGACAUAUUGUGGAUCAGAAGUAAUGUAGAAUUUCUGUAAAGCAUACAAGGUUGUUUGAAAGAAGUUUUCAAAGGAAUACCUGGAUUACGCUACUUGAACGUUGAGCAUCAAAGAUCUAUGGAGAUUGAUCGAAAGCGCUUAAUAGAAGUUUCAACAAGAUGCAUGCCUUGACAAGUUUUUGAAAGAGUUCAAAAUAGACCAGCAAAGAAGGAGUUCUUGGUUGCGUUGUGAGGUGUGAAUUUGAGUAAGACUCAAAACCCGACCACGGCAGAAUAAAGAGAAUAGACGAAGGUCGUCUUCUAUGCCUUAGCCGUAGAAUCUAAAGUAUGCCAUGCUGUGUACCGCACCUGAAGUGUGCCUUGACUCAAAGUGUGUUAAGAGGUACAGAGAGUGAUCCAUGAUUGAAUCACUAGCAGCGGUCGAAAUUUAUCCUUAGUGACUAAUGGACUAAGGAAUUUUUCUCGAUUAUGGAGGUGGUUAAAGAGUUUGUCGUAAAGGGUUACGUCAAUGCAAGCUUUGACACUAAUCCGGAUAACUAUGAGUAGUGAAACGGAUUCGUAUAGUAGAGCAGAUAUUUGGAGCAUUUCCGAAUAGCGCGUAGUAGCAGCAUCUAUAAGAUGACAUAAAGAUUUGUAAAGAACGCACGAAUCUGAAAGUUUCAGAACCGUUGACUAAAACCUCUCUCACGAGCAAGACGUGAUCAGACCCCAUAACUAUAUGGGUGUUGGAUUCGUUGGAAUCACAUGGUGAUGUGAACUAGAUUAUUGACUCUAGUGCAAGUGGGAGACUGUUGGAAAUAUGCCCUAGAGGCAAUAAUAAAUUAGUUAUUAUUAUAUUUCUUAGUUCAUGAUAAUCGUUUAUUAUCCAUGCUAUAAUUGUAUUGAUUGGAAACACAAUACUUGUGUGGAUACAUAGACAAAACACUGUCCCUAGUAAGCCUCUAGUUGACUAGCUCGUUGAUCAAAGAUGGUCAAGGUUUCCUGGCCAUAGGCAAGUGUUGUCAGUUGAUAACGGGAUCACAUCAUUAGGAGAAUCAUGUGAUGGACUAGACCCAAACUAAUAGACGUAGCAUGUUGAUCGUGUCAUUUUGUUGCUACUGUUUUCUGCGUGUCAAGUAUUUGUUCCUAUGACCANNNNNNNNNNNNNNNNNNNNNNNNNNNNNNNNNNNNNNNNNNNNNNNNNNNNNNNNNNNNNNNNNNNNNNNNNNNNNNNNNNNNNNNNNNNNNNNNNNNNGGUGUUUGCGUAAGUAAGAUGCGAUCCUACUAGAUACCCUUGGUCACCACGUAAAACAUGCAACAACAAAAUUAGAGGACGUCUAACUUGUUUUUGCAGGGUAUGAUUGUGAUGUGAUAUGGCCAACGAUGUGAUGUGAUAUAUUGGAUGUAUGAGAUGAUCAUGUUGUAAUAGAAAUAUCGACUUGCACGUCGAUGGUACGGCAACCGGCAGGAGCCAUAGGGUUGUCAUUAUACUAACGUUUGUGCUUGCAGAUGCGUUUACUAUUUUGCUAGGAUGUAGCUUUUGUAGUAAUAGCAUGAGUAGCACGACAACCCCGAUGGCGACACGUUGAUGGAGAUCAUGAGGAUGGAGAUCAUGGUGUGACGCCGGUGACAAGAAGAUCGUGCCGGUGCUUUGGUGAUGGAGAUCAAGAAGCACAUGAUGAUGGCCAUAUCAUGUCACUUAUGAAUUGCAUGUGAUGUUAAUCCUUUUAUGCACCUUAUUUUGCUUAGAACGACGGUAGCAUUAUGAGGUGAUCUCUCACUAAAAUUUCAAGACGAAAUUGUGUUCUCCCCGACUGUACACCGUUGCGACAGUUCGUCGUUUAGAGACACCACGUGAUGAUCGGGUGUGAUAGACUCAACGUUCACAUACAACGGGUGCAAAACAGUUGCGCACGCGGAACACUCGGGUUAAGCUUGACGAGCCUAGCAUGUGCAGACAUGGCCUCGGAACACAUGAGACCGAAAGGUCGAGCAUGAAUCGUAUAGUUGAUAUGAUUAGCAUAGAGAUGCUUACCACUGAAACUAUUCUUGACUCACGUGAUGAUCGGACUUGAGAUAGUGGAUUUGGAUCAUGUACCACUCAAAUGACUAGAGAGAUGUACUUUUUGAGUGGGAGUUCUUAAGUAAUAUGAUUAAUUGAACUAAUUGUCAUGAACAUAGUCUAAUGGUCUUUGCGAAUUACGAUGUAGCUUGCGCUAUAGCNNNNNNNNNNNNNNNNNNNNNNNNNNNNNNNNNNNNNNNNNNNNNNNNNNNNNNNNNNNNNNNNNNNNNNNNNNNNNNNNNNNNNNNNNNNNNNNNNNNNUUUCCUCGACGGUUUCCUUGAGCAAACAUUGUAUGUGAUACAACCAGGAGGUUUUGUCGAUCCUAAAGAUACUAGCAAGUAUGCAAGUUCCAGCGAUCCUUCAAUGGACUGGUGCAAGCAUCUCGGAGUUGGAAUAUAUAUACUUUGAUGAGAUGAUCAAAGAUUUUGGGUUUGUACAAGGUUUAUGAGAAACUUGUAUUUCCAAAGAAGUGAGUGGGAGCACUAUAGAAUUUCUGAUAGGUAUAUGUGGUUGACAUAUUGUGGAUCAGAAGUAAUGUAGAAUUUCUGUAAAGCAUACAAGGUUGUUUGAAAGAAGUUUUCAAAGGAGUACCUGGAUUACGCUACUUGAACGUUGAGCAUCAAAGAUCUAUGGAGAUAGAUCAAAAGCGCUUAAUAGAAGUUUCAACAAGAUGCAUGCCUUGACAAGUUUUUGAAGGAGUUCAAAAUAGAUCAGUAAAGAAGGAGUUCUUGGUUGCAUUGUAAGGUGUGAAUUUGAGUAAGACUCAAAACCUGACCACGGCAGAAUAAAGAGAAUAGACGAAGGUCGUCUUCUAUGCCUUAGCCGUAGAAUCUAAAGUAUGCCAUGUUGUGUACCGCACCUGAUGUGUGCCUUGACUCAAAGUCUGUUGAGAGGUACAGAGAGUGAUCCAUGAUUGAAUCACUAGCAGCGGUCGAAAUUUAUCCUUAGUAACUAAUGGACUAAGGAAUUUUUCUCGAUUAUGGAGGUGGUUAAAGAGUUUGUCGUAAAGGGUUACGUCAAUGCAAGCUUUGACACUAAUCCGGAUAACUAUGAGUAGUGAAACGGAUUCGUAUAGUAGAGUAGAUAUUUGGAGCAUUUCCGAAUAGCACGUAGUAGCAGCAUCUAUAAGAUGACAUAAACAUUUGUAAAGAACGCACGAAUCUGAAAGUUUCAGAACCGUUGACUAAAACCUCUCUCACGAGCAAGACGUGAUCAGACCCCAUAACUAUAUGGGUGUUGGAUUCGUUGGAAUCACAUGGUGAUGUGAACUAGAUUAUUGACUCUAGUGCAAGUGGGAGACUGUUGGAAAUAUGCCCUAGAGGCAAUAAUAAAUUAGUUAUUAUUUUAUUUCUUAGUUCAUGAUAAUCGUUUAUUAUCCAUGCUAUAAUUGUAUUGAUUGGAAACACAAUACUUGUGUGGAUACAUAGACAAAACACUGUCCCUAGUAAGCCUCUAGUUGACUAGCUCGUUGAUCAAAGAUGGUCAAGGUUUCCUGGCCAUAGGCAAGUGUUGUCACUUGAUAACGGGAUCACAUCAUUAGGAGAAUCAUGUGAUGGACUAGACCCAAACUAAUAGACGUAGCAUGUUGAUCGUGUCAUUUUGUUGCUACUGUUUUCUGCGUGUCAAGUAUUUGUUCCUAUGACCAUGAGAUCAUAUAACUCACGGACACCGGAGGAAUGCUUUGUGUGUAUCAAACGUCGCAACGUAACUGGGUGACUAUAAAGNNNNNNNNNNNNNNNNNNNNNNNNNNNNNNNNNNNNNNNNNNNNNNNNNNNNNNNNNNNNNNNNNNNNNNNNNNNNNNNNNNNNNNNNNNNNNNNNNNNNCGUUCCAGCGCCACCGGCUGGGUCGCCUGGGGCAUCAACCCCGGCGGCGCCGGCAUGGCCGGCAGCAACGUCUUCCUCGCCUCGCAGGGCGGCGGCGGCGGCGCCGCCGUCUCCGUGCUCACCACCGUCCUGAGGAGCACGGCCCCGGCCCUGGACAACACCACCCUCCAGUUCGGCGUGCCGGUGCCGCCCACCGCCGAGUACGCGGCCGGCGCCUACACGAUCUACGUGACGGUGGCGCUGCCGGGGAACUCCACGCAGCAGAACACGGUGUGGCAGGCGGGGCCGGUCAGCGGCGGGGCCAUAAUGCCGCACCCGGUGUCCGGGCCCAACUUGCAGAGCGUUAAGAGGCAGGACUUCCUGUCCGGCUAGAGCGCCCGACGAGGCAUAUGUUUGUACGCAAAUACUGUCAGUGUCAUGAUCAUGGAGUAUAAAAUAAAUCGCACGGCUUAUUCCUCAUGUUCCUGCUAUUAGACGUCGACGUCGUAUCAAAUGAAGUGUGCGCUAAACACUGUUUAUACGCUCCCAGCCGGAUUUAGGGACAUGGCUUACGGCGAUUAGUAUUUUUUUUCCGACGAAUUCACAAAGCUUUAUUAAUACUAGCAAAAGGGCCCGUGCGUUGCAACGGGAGAAAGAAAAUACCACACGCUUUUAAUCUUUUUAUAAUCAUUUUGAUUUAUUAGAAUAAUAAGUUAACUAACUAAUGUAGCCAGUCCUAUCCUAUUUUGUUGAGAAAUCAACCCGUCCAUUGUUAAUUCCACCGUGAUGAGAAAUCGAACGGGACAAGCAAAGCAAAACAAAGAGGCUACGUGAAUUGAUCAAUGGACUGUUAUCUUAUUUCACCCAUGGGGUAGAGAAUGUGGGAUCAGAUGACAAACUGAAGGUGGUGUUCCAUUUUCUCUCUCUACAACAAUGCAAUCUUACAUUCAAUACAUUCAUUCAUCAGCAAAAAAAUUCUCACAAAACAAAAUUUCUUGCCGGUGCUUGGCACACGGUUGGAGAGCAUGGGGAGGGGAUCUCACCAAAUGAUGAGUUCCUGCCGGAGGAGGGGAUACGAUGAGGGGAGCAAGGGUUAGGCGCCUCUAUCUGGCCAUAAGGAGUCGCCGUUGCCGCGCCAUAACCUCGGAGUUCCCCGUGUGAGCCAUGGAGGCCCGCCUCCACCUGCAAGUACUUCGCUCCGCCGCGCCUUAUCCGCACGCCGUCGCCGUUCUGCAUCGAGUAGACGCAUCAUCCCAAGUCGAUGUAGCUGUCGCGUUGAUUUGAUCCAGAAGCUGUGCUCGAGCGCCGAAACAGGGGCAACAAACGGGCAGAGGUACGACCGCGGAGGCGGCUGGGUUGAGAUCGACAACAAUGGUGGUUGAGGUCGGCCGCGGCGACGAGUGGUGUGGCAGCGGCCUGGGCACAGGCCAGGGUGGACCAGGGUCAACGCGAUGCGCUCGAGCGCCGCAACGGGGGCAGUGAGCGGGGAGAGGUACAACCGCGGAGGCGGGUGGGUUGAGAUCGGCAGCGGUGGCGGUUGAGGUCGGCCGCGACGGCGAGUGGUGUGGCGGCCGCCUAGGCAUAGGCCAGGGGUGGCCGAGGGUCGAUGGGAGGAGGCGGUGCGUACGGGUAUAAUUUUUGCAGCGAAUCGUUUUUUCCUUUUGCGAUUACGAGAAGUAAAUGAUGGAGUGCGGGUUGAAUAACAAAAAUUACAGUUUUUUWWUAAAAUGCCAUGAUGGGUUUUCCGACGGAAGCAAUAGCCGCUUUAUUAUUAGGUAUAGACUAGCAAAAGGUCCGUGGUUGCAACGGAAGAAAAAAUAUCACACGGUUUUAAUUUUUAUAAUCAUUUUAAUUUAUUAAAAUAAUAAGCUAACUAACUAAUGUAGUAAGUCCUAUCCUAUUUUGUUGGAAAAUCAACCCGUCCAUUGUUAAUUCCAUCAUGAUGAGAAAUUGAGCGGGACAAUCAAAGCAAAACAAAGAGGCUACCUGAAUUGAUCAAUGGACUGUUAUCUUAUUUCACUCAUGGGCUAGAGAAUGUGGGAUCAGAUGACAAACUGAAGGUGGUGUUCCAUUCUCUCUCUCUACAACAACGCAAUCUUACAUUAAAUACAUUCAUUCAUCAGCAAACAAAUUCCCACAAAACAAAAUUUCGUGCCGGUGCUUGGCACACGGUUGGAGGCAUGGGGAGGGGAUCUCACCAGAUGAUGAGUUCCUGCCGGAGGAGGGGAUACAUUGAGGGGAGCAAGGGUUAGGCGCCUCUAUCUGGCCAUAAGGAGUCGCCGUUGCCGCGCCAUAACCUCGGAGUUCCCCGUGUGAGCCAUGGAGGCCCGCCUCCACCUGCAAGUACUUCGCUCCGCCGCGCCUUAUCCGCACGCCGUCGCCGUUCUGCAUCGAGUAGACGCAUCAUCCCAAGUCGAUGUAGCUGUCGCGUUGAUUUGAUCCAGAAGCUGUGCUCGAGCGCCGAAACAGGGGCAACAAACGGGCAGAGGUACGACCGCGGAGGCGGCUGGGUUGAGAUCGACAACAAUGGUGGUUGAGGUCGGCCGCGGCGACGAGUGGUGUGGCAGCGGCCUGGGCACAGGCCAGGGUGGACCAGGGUCAACGCGAUGCGCUCGAGCGCCGCAACGGGGGCAGUGAGCGGGGAGAGGUACAACCGCGGAGGCGGGUGGGUUGAGAUCGGCAGCGGUGGCGGUUGAGGUCGGCCGCGACGGCGAGUGGUGUGGCGGCCGCCUAGGCAUAGGCCAGGGUGGCCGAGGGUCGAUGGGAGGAGGCGGUGCGUACGGGUAUAAUUUUUGCAGCGAAUCGUUUUUUCCUUUUGCAUUACAGAUAAAUGAUGGAGUGCGGGUUGAAUAACAAAAAUUACAGUUUUUUUAUAAAAUGCCAUGAUGGGUUUUCCGACGGAAGCAAUAGCCGCUUUAUUAUUAGGUAUAGACUAGCAAAAGGUCCGUGGUUGCAACGGAAGAAAAAAUAUCACACGGUUUUAAUUUUUAUAAUCAUUUUAAUUUAUUAAAAUAAUAAGCUAACUAACUAAUGUAGUAAGUCCUAUCCUAUUUUGUUGGAAAAUCAACCCGUCCAUUGUUAAUUCCAUCAUGAUGAGAAAUUGAGCGGGACAAUCAAAGCAAAACAAAGAGGCUACCUGAAUUGAUCAAUGGACUGUUAUCUUAUUUCACUCAUGGGCUAGAGAAUGUGGGAUCAGAUGACAAACUGAAGGUGGUGUUCCAUUCUCUCUCUCUACAACAACGCAAUCUUACAUUAAAUACAUUCAUUCAUCAGCAAACAAAUUCCCACUAAAACAAAAUUAACUUGUCGGUCGGCGUGUCGUCGACGUACGGUACGGGUCGGANNNNNNNNNNNNNNNNNNNNNNNNNNNNNNNNNNNNNNNNNNNNNNNNNNNNNNNNNNNNNNNNNNNNNNNNNNNNNNNNNNNNNNNNNNNNNNNNNNNNUGCAAGCRAUGUAACUUAGUGUAAGUUACGGGAUCUUGUAUUACGGAACGAGUAAAGAGACUUGCCGGUAAACGAGAUUAGAAAUAGGUAUGCGGAUACUGACGAUCGAAUCGUCGGGCAAGUAACAUACCGAAGGACAAAGGGAAUGACAUACGGGAUUAUACGAAUCCUUGGCACUGAGGUUCAAACGAUAAGAUCUUCGUAGAAUAUGUAGGAUCCAAUAUGGGCAUCCAGGUCCCGCUAUUGGAUAUUGACCGAGUAGUCUCUCGGGUCAUGUCUACAUAGUUCUCGAACCCGCAGGGUCUGCACACUUAAGGUUCGACGUUGUUUUAUGCGUAUUUGAGUUAUAUGGUUGGUUACCGAAUGUUGUUCGGAGUCCCGGAUGAGAUCACGGACGUCACGAGGGUUUCCGGAAUGGUCCGGAAACGAAGAUUGAUAUAUAGGAUGACCUCAUUUGAUUACUGGAAGGUUUUCGGAGUUACCGGGAAUGUACCGGGAAUGACGAAUGGGUUCCGGGAGUUCACCGGGGGGGGCAACCCACCCCGGGGAAGCCCAUAGGCCAUAAGGGUGGAGCACCAUCCCUUAGUGGGCUGGUGGGGCAGCCCAAAAGGGCCCUAUGCGCCAAGGAUAAGAAAUCAAAGGAAAAAAAGGAGGAGGUGGGAAGGGAGGGGGACUCCCUCCCACCAAACCUAGUCCAACUCGGUUUUGGGGGGGGAGAGUCCUCCCCCUUGGCUCGGCCGACCCCCUUGAGGGUCCUUGGACCCCAAGGCAAGGCCCCUCCCUCCCACCUAUAUAUACGGAGGUUUUAGGGCUGAUUUGAGACGACUUUUCCACGGCAGCCCGACCACAUACCUCCACGGNNNNNNNNNNNNNNNNNNNNNNNNNNNNNNNNNNNNNNNNNNNNNNNNNNNNNNNNNNNNNNNNNNNNNNNNNNNNNNNNNNNNNNNNNNNNNNNNNNNNGAGAUAUAGUGAGUUGACUAUUUAACCUCAUCCAAGGACCUCCUCGGUCAAAUCCGAUUCAACUAAAGUWGGAGAAACCGUCACUUGCCAGUCAUCUUUGAGCAAAGGGGGUUACUCGUAACGAUGAAACCAGUCUCUCGUAAGCGUACGAGUAAUGUCGGUCCAAGCCGCUUCAAUCCAACAAUACCGCGGAAUCAAGAAAAGACUAAGGAGGGCAGCAAAACGCACAUCACCGCCCACAAAAACUUUUGUGUUCUACUCGAGAAGACAUCUACGCAUGAACCUAGCUCAUGAUGCCACUGUUGGGGAACGUCGCAAGGGAAACAAAAAUUUUCCUACGCGCACGAAGACCUAUCAUGGUGAUGUCCAUCUACGAGAGGGGAUGAGUGAUCUACGUACCCUUGUAGACCGUACAGAAGAAGCGUUAGAGAACGCGGUUGAUGUAGUGGAACGUCCUCACGUCCCUCGAUCCGCCCCGCGAACAAUUCCGCGAUCAGUCCCACGAUCUAGUUACCGAACGGACGGCAACCUCCACGUUCAGCACACGUACAGCUUGACGAUGAUCUCGGCCUUCUUGAUCCAGCAAGAGAGGCGGAGAGGUAGAAGAGUUCUCCGGCAGCGUGACGGCGCUCCGGAGGUUCGGUUGACUGACCCUUCGUUCCUACGUACGUCCGACGGGCGUCCCGUCCCGGACGCUGNNNNNNNNNNNNNNNNNNNNNNNNNNNNNNNNNNNNNNNNNNNNNNNNNNNNNNNNNNNNNNNNNNNNNNNNNNNNNNNNNNNNNNNNNNNNNNNNNNNNAGCAAUGUAACUUAAUGUAAGUUGCGGGAUCUUGUAUUACGGAACGAGUAAAGAGACUUGCCGGUAAACGAGAUUGAAAUAGGUAUGCGGAUACUGACGAUCGAAUCUCGGGCAAGUAACAUACCGAAGGACAAAGGGAAUGACAUACGGGAUUAUAUGAAUCCUUGGCACUGAGGUUCAAACGAUAAGAUCUUCGUAGAAUAUGUAGGAUCCAAUAUGGGCAUCCAGGUCCCGCUAUUGGAUAUUGACCGAGGAGUCUCUCGGGUCAUGUCUACAUAGUUCUCGAACCCGCAGGGUCUGCACACUUAAGGUUCGACGUUGUUUUAUGCGUAUUUGAGUUAUAUGGUUGGUUACCGGUAMUGUAGCAUCAUUCCCACUCUUCUUUUGUACUGAUUUUGUUUUUUUUCAGAUUUCUUCAUUUCAUUGUUUCCACUGUUUCGCUUUGGUUUCCUUCGAUUUUCUUCGGGUUUCUAUUCGUUUCCUUYGUUUYCYAACGGUUUUUCGUUUUUCCUCUUUGUUGUUUCUUUCUUUUUUUUCUAUGGUUUUGCAUCUUUUUUAACUCAUGUCUAUUUUUUUACACACAAUGUACAUUUUUUGUAUACAUCAGAAAUAACUUUUAUACAUGGUUAAAUAUAUGAUUACCAGUUUUCUUAAACACAUGUUUCGANNNNNNNNNNNNNNNNNNNNNNNNNNNNNNNNNNNNNNNNNNNNNNNNNNNNNNNNNNNNNNNNNNNNNNNNNNNNNNNNNNNNNNNNNNNNNNNNNNNNCGGAACGAAACGUAAAACUAAAACUUACCGUACGACCGACCGAACGAACGUAACCUACUACUAGUGGUGAUCGUCCAUCUACGAGGAGGGAGUGAGUGAUCUACGUACCUAGUAGAUCGUACAGCAGAAGCGUUAGAGAACGCGGUUGAUGUAGUGGAACGUCCUCACGUCCCUCGAUCCGCCCCGCGAACAAUCCCGCGAUCAGUCCCACGAUCUAGUACCGAACGGACGGCACCUCCGCGUUCAGCACACGUACAGCUCGACGAUGAUCUCGGCCUUCUUGAUCCAGCAAGAGAGACGGAGAGGUAGAAGAGUUCUCCGGCAGCGUGACGGCGCUCCGGAGGUUGGUGAUGAUCUUGUCUCAGCAGGGCUCCGCCCGAGCUCCGCAGAAACACGAUCUAGAGGAAAAACUAUGGAGGUAUGUGGUCGGGCAGCCGUGAGAAAGUCGUCUCAAAUCAGCCCUAAUACCUCAGUAUAUAUAGGAGGGAGGGGAGGGAAGAGGCAGCCUCAAACCCUCAAGGUUGCCGAAAUUGGAGGUGGAGGAGUCCUACUCCAAUCCUACUUGAGUAGGAUUCCACCUUCCCACUUCGAAACUACUUUCCUACCUUGUGUUUUUCUUUCUUCUAACCUUAACUUAGGUCCGUUACGUUGGGUACGUUAGUUACUACGNNNNNNNNNNNNNNNNNNNNNNNNNNNNNNNNNNNNNNNNNNNNNNNNNNNNNNNNNNNNNNNNNNNNNNNNNNNNNNNNNNNNNNNNNNNNNNNNNNNNAAGGGUUGGGUUUGAGGGAUUCUGUUAUAAGGGUUGCAUUUGAGGGUUCUAGUCUUUGCCUCAAUCCCAACCCUUAAAACUGUCAUUUGAUAUAUCAUAAUUUUCAUCAUCUCAAUAACAUCGAAUAGUAUUUUCAAACACAUAAUAUUAAUUCAAUUUAUUACAACAAUGUUUUAAAGCAAAUUAUAAUAAUUGUUUGAAUCAAAUAGAACAUGGAAAAGUAAACAAAGGUAGAUCAUGGGACUUGGCGCCGUCCAGCCAACUGCCACUGGUGCUCUACUUGAUCAUCCCGGAGCUGCCACUGGUACGCACUAAACCCCAUGAUACCGACGGCGUAUCUACGAUGCUUGAAGUAAUCUGAGUCAGCCUCACAAUCGGUGACAAUUUUUACAAACAAACUACGACACAUUCGGUACCUUCUCCGGAAGAGGCGAGGUGGGUAUGUCGGUACCUCCGCGAAGUAGUCUCGCAUCAAAUGUUCAUGUCCGAGACAGCGGUUCCGGUAGAUGGUGACUCGCGCCAUCUUCGACCCUCUCCUCUGAUCCAUCAGCUUCACGCGGUCUUCAAACUCUUUCACGUCGACGAGGAGGCCCAUCAUCUCGAUGUCAUUGUCUUGAAGCAAGUCCUCAAUGUCCGAAUCGUCCGAUGACGACCAACCGGAAUCAUCGGACAACACAUCCAUCUACACAACACAAAACAAAAAAUGUAGUGUUGUUCUGUAACAAAAAUACAGGAAACAGGGCCGGCCGGAGCCCACGAUGGAGGAGGCCGACGGUGUGGACGAGCUCAGGGCGGUGGAGGAGCUCGGGGNNNNNNNNNNNNNNNNNNNNNNNNNNNNNNNNNNNNNNNNNNNNNNNNNNNNNNNNNNNNNNNNNNNNNNNNNNNNNNNNNNNNNNNNNNNNNNNNNNNNUUUUUUUUUUUUUUUUUACAACAGUUUGCACUUUGCAGCGGCCUAGAUAUCACAGCAGGAACCGGUCUCCCUCCCUCGGUUAUUCAGCGCCUUUUUUUAGACGAAGGUUUAUCGUUCAGCAGCCAACAAGACUCUGUCCCGCGUACCGGCGUGGAAGUUUCCACCCGCACGGCAACCUCCCCAACAACCGCGCCAUCACGUCGCCGGCUCGCCGGCAGUGGUACAUAUACCUCCUCCCCCCCCACCUCCUCCUCUCACCACCACCAGCUCCCAGCACCACCAUCUCCAUCGCCUCCCGCGCUCCAUUUCGCGCCUCGAACCUCGUGCUCUGACCUCCACCGCUGCCAUGGCGCGGCCAGGCCACUCCACGGCGUGGCUCCCCGUCCUGGUGCUGCUGCUCUCCGCGGCGGGCGCGACGGCGCAGAGCUGCCUCUCCGCGACCUUCACGUCCGGCCGCACGUUCCUCAAGUGCAACCAGCUGCCCGUGCUCGGCGCCAGCCUCCACUGGACGUUCCACGCCCAGAACGGCACCGCCGACGUCGCGUUCCGGGCCCCGUCCGGCGCCGACGGGUGGGUCGCCUGGGGCAUCNNNNNN